rnacentral:lncRNA from 1 species
AUUGAGUAGUCAUAAGUGCUAAGUACAUUAUUGGUCACUUGUCCAUACGAAGAAAGCACAUCUUGCAGAUAUCUUAGCUCACUUGUAUUGACAAUUUUCAUGGCAUUCCAACACAGGAAACUCUUUGAUGGAAGCUUUCCAGUAAAUCUGUUGUCAGAUAGGUCAAUAAUGCGGAGUUUCGAAAAUCCACAACCAGUUCUGGGUUCUUCUAUAAUGCCAUAAAAUGUGUUGGAUCGUAGGAUGAGAACAUUCAAUUUUGGAAGAGUUCCUAACCAAGACGGAAAAGUGUCACUAAUCUGGUUGUUCCCAAGACCAAGAAAUUCCAACUUUGAACAGUUGAUCAAUGAUCUUGGAAUUCUUCCUUGAAACAGAUUAUGGCUUAAAUCAAUCACGCCUAAUCUACUUUCUUUAAUGAAAGUAUUUGGGAUGGUCCCAAAGAAGUUGUUAGCCUCCAAGUCGAGCACUGAAAGUUCAUCGCUGAAAUUGCCUAAACACUGAGGAAGCAAGCCACUUAAGUUAUUGUGAGACAAAACAAGGCUUUCAAGAAUAUUCAAAUUGCAUAUCCACGAUGGAAUUUCCCCUGUUAACCUAUUGUUUGAAGCUAGAUAGUUAACGGUUCCGGGGGGUGGAACUGGGAGUGGUCCUUGUAAAUUAUUAGAGCUAAGAUCAAAAGUCACCGCAUCACUUUUAUNNNNNNNNNNNNNNNNNNNNNNNNNNNNNNNNNNNNNNNNNNNNNNNNNNNNNNNNNNNNNNNNNNNNNNNNNNNNNNNNNNNNNNNNNNNNNNNNNNNNNNNNNNNNNNNNNNNNNNNNNNNNNNNNNNNNNNNNNNNNNNNNNNNNNNNNNNNNNNNNNNNNNNNNNNNNNNNNNNNNNNNNNNNNNNNNNNNNNNNNNNNNNNNNNNNNNNNNNNNNNNNNNNNNNNNNNNNNNNNNNNNNNNNNNNNNNNNNNNNNNNNNNNNNNNNNNNNNNNNNNNNNNNNNNNNNNNNNNNNNNNNNNNNNNNNNNNNNNNNNNNNNNNNNNNNNNNNNNNNNNNNNNNNNNNNNNNNNNNNNNNNNNNNNNNNNNNNNNNNNNNNNNNNNNNNNNNNNNNNNNNNNNNNNNNNNNNNNNNNNNNNNNNNNNNNNNNNNNNNNNNNNNNNNNNNNNNNNNNNNNNNNNNNNNNNNNNNNNNNNNNNNNNNNNNNNNNNNNNNNNNNNNNNNNNNNNNNNNNNNNNNNNNNNNNNNNNNNNNNNNNNNNNNNNNNNNNNNNNNNNNNNNNNNNNNNNNNNNNNNNNNNNNNNNNNNNNNNNNNNNNNNNNNNNNNNNNNNNNNNNNNNNNNNNNNNNNNNNNNNNNNNNNNNNNNNNNNNNNNNNNNNNNNNNNNNNNNNNNNNNNNNNNNNNNNNNNNNNNNNNNNNNNNNNNNNNNNNNNNNNNNNNNNNNNNNNNNNNNNNNNNNNNNNNNNNNNNNNNNNNNNNNNNNNNNNNNNNNNNNNNNNNNNNNNNNNNNNNNNNNNNNNNNNNNNNNNNNNNNNNNNNNNNNNNNNNNNNNNNNNNNNNNNNNNNNNNNNNNNNNNNNNNNNNNNNNNNNNNNNNNNNNNNNNNNNNNNNNNNNNNNNNNNNNNNNNNNNNNNNNNNNNNNNNNNNNNNNNNNNNNNNNNNNNNNNNNNNNNNNNNNNNNNNNNNNNNNNNNNNNNNNNNNNNNNNNNNNNNNNNNNNNNNNNNNNNNNNNNNNNNNNNNNNNNNNNNNNNNNNNNNNNNNNNNNNNNNNNNNNNNNNNNNNNNNNNNNNNNNNNNNNNNNNNNNNNNNNNNNNNNNNNNNNNNNNNNNNNNNNNNNNNNNNNNNNNNNNNNNNNNNNNNNNNNNNNNNNNNNNNNNNNNNNNNNNNNNNNNNNNNNNNNNNNNNNNNNNNNNNNNNNNNNNNNNNNNNNNNNNNNNNNNNNNNNNNNNNNNNNNNNNNNNNNNNNNNNNNNNNNNNNNNNNNNNNNNNNNNNNNNNNNNNNNNNNNNNNNNNNNNNNNNNNNNNNNNNNNNNNNNNNNNNNNNNNNNNNNNNNNNNNNNNNNNNNNNNNNNNNNNNNNNNNNNNNNNNNNNNNNNNNNNNNNNNNNNNNNNNNNNNNNNNNNNNNNNNNNNNNNNNNNNNNNNNNNNNNNNNNNNNNNNNNNNNNNNNNNNNNNNNNNNNNNNNNNNNNNNNNNNNNNNNNNNNNNNNNNNNNNNNNNNNNNNNNNNNNNNNNNNNNNNNNNNNNNNNNNNNNNNNNNNNNNNNNNNNNNNNNNNNNNNNNNNNNNNNNNNNNNNNNNNNNNNNNNNNNNNNNNNNNNNNNNNNNNNNNNNNNNNNNNNNNNNNNNNNNNNNNNNNNNNNNNNNNNNNNNNNNNNNNNNNNNNNNNNNNNNNNNNNNNNNNNNNNNNNNNNNNNNNNNNNNNNNNNUGACACCUAUUUAUGAGAGACAUAAAAAUUCCAAAUUUUUCCAGCUAGUAAGUAAAUCAUCUAACUCUAUCGUUCCGCUAUAAGAAUUUCGAGCCAUGUCAAGGACCAUAAGUUGGGUAAGAUUCCUAAGUGAAGAUGUAAUUUGACCUGAAAAAUUACACUUAGUGAUAUGUAUUACUUCCAAUGACCUAAGAUUUCCAAUGGAACCAAGUAAGUCACCCGAAAAACUAUUCAAUCCAAGAUACAAAAAUUGUAGCCGGGUGAAAUUACCAAUCGAAUGUGAAACUUUGCCCCAAAAACUACAUGACCUCAGAUCUAAUAACUUCAAAGAACUAAAAUUCCCCGUCGACCAUGGAAACUCACCCGAAAAUUUAUUGAAUGAAAGGUCAAGUUUUUCCAAAGAAAAAAGAUUUCGAAUGGAAGUAGGAAUCUCACCAAAAUAUCCAUUUUGUGAAAGGUCAAGUUCUUUCAAAGAACCAAGAUUUCCCAUGGAAAUAGGCAAUUCACCAAAAAAUCUAUUUUGUGAAAGGUCAAGUUCUUUCAAAGAACUAAGAUUUCCAAUGGAAAUAGGCCACUCACUCGACAAAAAAUUUGCAGAGAGAUCAAGUUCUUCCAAUGAACAAAGAUUACCAACGGAAACAGGCAGCUCACCCUGUAAUUCAUUUAGUGAAAGGUCUAAAUGAAGGAGCUUGGAUAGAUUACCGAGUGAGGAUGGAAUUCUUCCUGAAAUUUGUUAAAAAAGAAAAAAGAACACAUUGCUUAAGUAGAAAAUUAAAAAUAAUAAUAGUUUUUACUAAUGAAUUUAACAUUGCAUGUAUAUUAAUUAAGGAGAAAAUAUAUAAAAUUGAAUUACCUUGCAAUUCACAGUUUUGAAGAGAAACAAACAUCGAAGAAGAUAGAUUUGUGAUGUUAUGAGGUAUCGUUGACUGAAUAGAAACAUCACCAAGGUCAAGUGUUUUUAGAUUGCUUAACUUCUCCACUAAAUUUACGAGACUGGGCUUCUGGAGUUCAAGUCUACCACCAGGAACAUCAUUUAGUGAUAAAUCAAGGGACACCAAGUUGGAGAGCUUUAGAAUUUCUGAUGGUAUUUGGCCAGAUAAAGAAGUUCCAGAGAGGUUCAAGUAUGAUAACCUGGAAAGGUUGAUGAUUUCUGGUGGGAUUUCGGAGGAAUUGAAGUCAUUCAAAGCAAGAUUAAGCCACUCGAGAUGGACAAGCUUGAAAAGGCUGCUGCUAGAGUUGAUAGAACCAAAAAGACAGCUAUGGGAGAGGUCAAGCUUGAUGACAUGACCAGUGUUCUUAUUGCAAUGAACGCCGUCCCAAGAGCAGCAAUCAACGUUACCUUCUUCUGGCUUCCAUGAUGCCAUUGUAGGACGACAGUCAAAUUUCCAAGCAUAAAAAUCACCACUGAUGCGGCUUUCUUUGAAUUGCAACAAAGCAGAGCGCUCAUCAUCAUGGCAGAGUGGCAGCAUAGAAGAAGUAGUGACGUUAGCAAUUGUUAAAUUAAAGAAAAUGAAGGGAAAAACUAACCGUAUGAAUAUUGUGAAUAAACAUAUAAAGGAUAAAGCCAUAGUUUUCUCAAAAAUAAAAUUUGUUUAACUUUGUAGAUGUGAAGAAAUUUAAGGAUCUUGGUUUGCUUUUAUAGGCAAAUUGCAGCAAUUCAAACAUUGAAGUCAUUGGACUCUUUUUUGUUUUUUUAAAGUCAACCAAAGUUAGUCUUAAUAAUAUUUAUUUUUUAUAUUUGAUGUGAUGUCAUAAACUUUUACCAUUUCGUCACCACCGAAAAUACGUUUAUAACAAACGUGAGGAUUAAUUUAUUAGUAGAACUCGCAUUAAAUAGGGUUCAUUGACUUUAACCCAUUUGUGUGGAAAUUGAUUAAAUUCCGAAAAUUGCUUUUCAAAAUCGUCCAUUCAUCGCUACCGCCGCUAUUUGAGGGUCUUUGCAUUUAUAUUUGCGGUGUGGAAAUAUGAAGAGACAUCGAUAUUAAUAAACCCGUAGGGCAAGGCAACAUACGAUAAGAUGUUGAUACUUUGAAUAAUAUUUUUGACGCAGUAACGUUGAAAAUUUAAAAUAAAAUAAGUGUUGAAAAAUUAUUAGUGUUUCGUUGACCCAUGACUCGGCUGUUUGAAUCUGAGAUCUUACAACUUGCAAUAUGUUAGGUAUAUUUUUAUUUACUGAAGAUUGUACGUAAGUUUCCAUACUAAUUAAUUCACAUUAAAACUCAAAUCUCAAGCUAAAAAUGGGUCUAAGUAAUGAACCUUGUAAAUGUUCAUGUGAAUUUCCAUUUGUAGUUUGAAGCAAUAACAAUUUUUCGUCUUCAUUUAGUUAAUGAAUUUGCUUAUGGCUCAUCUUGAUAUUCAAAAUAUUCAAUAAUGUAUCAUCCACAGAAUGUGUACUACUCUAAUCGCAUUGGUAGGUACAAGUGUAGUGUUUCUAAGAAGCAUAAUUGCAUCCACAAUUAAUCUCCCUUUAAUUCUUGUCAAAAUUAUAAGUUUACCAUUAAAGGAAAAAAAAAAGAAUGAAUGAAUACAUCAAGACGCUAUUUGGUAUAACGCUCAUUUUCUAACUUAAAGAUAUAUUAUCUAUGCUAUUAUAAAAAAUUGGUGUAAACGAUAAAAUUUGAGUGCAAAAACCAAAAAAAAGAAUUUCCCAAGGAAGAGUGGGCACAUUUUCUCAUUCUUCGUACCAAAGUUGCAUAUGUAUUAAAGCGUUCUAAACUCAUUUAAAAACAAGAAAACGAACGUGGCAGACUUUGAUGACGAAAUCCAACGGCCUCGGUGUAAAGGUUGAUUUUCGUAAUCAAGUCAGCACACGCGUCGCUAUAUGAUUGGUUGGAAUAGUCGUGUGUUAAUAAGGGCCGAUCAAGAUCGCCGACCUUUUUUUUUCCUCCCAGUGGGUUCCGCCAAAUUGAUGAGCCAAGUUUGGCUCUUGGUACUUCUGAAAUCUUUUACACCACAAAACGCAAGAGCAUUUAUUCACUUGAAAAGCCAUACACGCCAUUUUAUUGUCAUUUUUUCCAAAGCACGAAUGGAUGGUCCCUUCGUUGUGCGAUUGAAAGGACAUUGAUACCAAAGAGGAAAAGGAAAAAUUAGUAAACUUAUGCAAUUUAAUUUAUGAAAUUAAUUACAUGAUUUAUUUUAAUGAUUGAUGUUAUUAUGUUAUGAUAUUUCUGGAGAUUGAUUUCAUCUUGUUAAAUAUAUGAAUUGGACAACACAUCGCAUUUAACCACUACCAAAUAAUCUUAGAUGCAAUCGAGCCUUAGUUGUAGAAAAUAGGUGAAAUAUAAAUAUAUGCAUUUUCAGUCCUUGUCACCAUUGUUAUACGAUAUAUGACACUUUAAUUUUGCCUAAAGAUUCAAAAUGUUUUAAAAAAACAUUGGAGUGCUAAAAAUCAAUAGAAGGACUAAAAUACAACAUUUUCACCCUCACGAAAAACCACAAAUUUUUAUAAUUUUAUUUCAAUCCUCAAAAUAAUGAUCCUCAUAAAUCAACUCAUAUGGGUAAUACAUCAAUUUUAUUUUUGUUUGAAAAAAUGAAAACAUAAUUCCAAAGUGGUCCAGACCAUUUGAAAAAAAAAAUGAUAAAUAUUAUUUGGAUAUGAUAUCAACUCAAAAUUCAAACAAAUCUUACAAACAACUGGCGAAAAAUGGUGAAUUCCAUUCCUUGACCGGGGUUUAUUAAAUUAAAGUGCUGUCAUCGUUUACCAAAACCUCUAACUAGCAAUACCCACUAAUAAUAUCCUAAAUAAUUUAGCCCACAUACAUUUAACAUUUAUUUUUAAAAACAAAUCUAACAAUCCAGCAUUUCAUGGACCGCAAGACUAUAUAUAUAUAUAUAUAUAUAUAUACACGCAACUAAACAUUCCUUGCUCCACAUGACCAAACUUGCACCCAUAUGGUACCAUUUCUUUCAAACAUAAAAAAACAAUUGAAAAAGGGGGCCUCACUUUUCAGCUCAAUAAAAUACACUAGAAAGUAUUAUCAGUUACCAAAUCUAACUCACAAUCAUUAAAAAAAGAAAAAUGAUAAACGAACAAAAAGGAGUGAGAAGGACGAUGGAAACGGCAGCACGAGCUGCCGUUUCACGCGUCCUUCUUACUCUUACCAUUUGGCGUUUAAAAUAUUAAAAUAACACUUUAAAAAGGAAAAUGGUAUUGACAUGAAGGACUAAAGGAGAGCACAAAAAUUUGGGUCUAAAAGCCACCUGUUCGUACGUGCAAACACCACACGCACGGACGCAAAAAUCCAGCAAAAAACUCACGCGUCUCCCUCACCAAGCAGCAAGAUUCUCGAUCUCUCUCUCCCAACAUUCUCCAUGUCUCUCUCCCGUUUCAACACUAGGUCGGUCUCAGCUUCGUUCUCCCUCACCACGCAGCAGCACAAAACCGGUCAUUUUCAACAAUUUCUUAAAAAAAAAAAUGAAACAAAAGCCACAACCUUGCAGUCAAUAGUGCUGCCGUUGAUGUGGUUCUGAUAGUUAAAUAGGUUCUGAUAUAUAGUUAAAGAAGAUUUUCUGGACAUGUCUAGUAGAUGCCCUGCUGUUGACAUAAAUAGUUACAGGACGAUAUUGUAUCAGCAAAUUUUUAUUCAUUCAUCAAGUCAUAGUGCAAGUUGUAGCAAUUAGGGAGAGAACCGAUGAGGAUGGAAAAAGAUCCGAGUGUCUUAUUGUCAGUGUUGUAGAUUUUUGUUCUCUCAAAUGGAGUCCAAAUGCUGAAUUCCGCAGCUGCAAAGAAACCCGAACAAUUUCCAUUCCAUGCCUUCUCAAUGGUCAAUGGCCAAUUUGUGCCACUUAUAUGUAUCAACUGCAAAGCUGCCUCUGUUGACGUGGUGGUUGUCGGCACCAAACUCAAAUCUCGACGGCACCGAAUGCAGAUUUCUCAUCUUUUAAAUAGCAAGCCAAUGAUUUUAUUUUAUUUGGCUAUCGAAGUCGAAGUUCUGCCGCUUGGAGAAAGGAAAUGGCCGCAUUAUUUUUAAAGCUGUAGAACAACUGCAGGAGUAGAUCACAGGCCUCCAUUUCUAAACUUUAUUGCGGGCCAUUGCUUAUUUCAUUGACCAUUAUUUUUGCGCCAUUUUUUAACCAUUAUUUUAAUGUAUUUGUGGACCAUGGGGAAGAGUGAGAAGGACGCGUGAAUCGGCAGCAAAUUCUGCCUUUUCUGUCGUCCCUCUUUCUUCCUUAUGGCUAAAUAGCAUAACUCAAAAAGAAACGUCAACACCAUUGGACCUCAGUUUUGGAUCCAUCCCAAUAAAAAACACUAGUCAAUGAAAAGUGAUAUAUCAUCAAGCAAAAUCAGUUCACACACAUGCAAGCUCUGACUAAAAAAUUACAAAAUAUAACAAAAUUCAGGCAAACCAUUGCCAGCAAGCAUUGUUUAAACAUUGAAUGGAAAGGCAAGUAAAGAAUUGAACAAACCUGAUGCUAGAAAUCGAAUUUGAAAGGGAACAAAGCAGUGAAAUCCCGCAAUUCAGAAAAAAAUAAAAAAAAGGACAUAUUAAAUUAAAUGAUUGAGCAAUUUCAAGAUUUAAUAAAAGGACAAAGUAUAAGCUUCUUGAAUUAAAAAAAUAAAAAAAUAACAACUGAAACAAACAAGAAUUAAAAAAAUAAAUAAUAAAGAUAAACCAUUCAUGAUAGAAAUCCCAAAAACAGGGCAUAAAGUAUGAAGAAAUAAGGGAGAUAACAACAAAACUGAAAAUUAAUUUUAUAAAGCUCAACUAAUUUAUUCAAAAUAAAAAAUAAAAAAGCUAAUUGACAAUAAACCUAAGGAUUCAGCAAUUACAAGAAUGGCUUCUCCACCGCCAAUUAAACAAUGCAAAGAAAUAGCGACAACGACGGCUUCAAUAGCGAACGUGUUGUUCGAAGGCGCAACAAUGAGCAUAUAUGGUGAUUUUGUGCUUAAAAUUUUAUAAUGAAGUGGUUGCUUCAAUAGCAUAUACGAUGAUUUUGGUUUCCAUGCAAUGGAUUUCAAAACCAAUUUGUAGAUUAAAGUAGGCACUACUAAAAAAACGCGUUUUUAUGAUAGAAAAUUUAUGAUACAUAUCGAAUUGUCACGAAAGUAUCAUCAAAGAAUGAUAUUUUCGUGACUAAUAUCUUUUUGUCAAACUGUUAUGACAUAUUCGUGACUCAUUUAUUUAUGUCAUUUAUUAUUGAUAAAAACAUGUCAUGUUCUGUUUUUAUUUUUUUAAUCAUUUAUAAAACUUGAUAGGCAUCAAUCACGGGUUCAAACGACAUCGUAUUUAAAUUGAUUUAUUUUACCAAAAUGCCAUUAACAAAAAAUUUUUACUUUAUAAUUAUUAAAAAAAAAGGUUAAACGAUGUCGUUUAAGCGUUAUAGUUUAAAAGAUCCAAACUUUCAACACUCAGAAAAAUUAAGUGUUUCGUAUGUUUUCUUUUCACACGAAUAAACAGCCCUAACCCUUACUAACAACACAGCCCUAACUCAGUUUCAGCCAAAGAAAACGAAACAUUCACAGCCGCCAUCACCUCAGCCUCUCACUCAACUCAUAUCACUCAACUCAUAUCACUCAACCUCCCACUUAAAUCAGCUGUCAUUAUUCGAUUGGAAAAACCUCAGGCCAUGCGAAGACCCAUGGAAGCGGUGGUAGAGCCAACGCGUGGCGGGAUGCCGCGAAUUGAGAUCCAUGACCCGUACAAACUCGAUGGCUGGUCGCAGCAACUCCCGCGACUUCUGGGCAGUGGUGGCGGUCGGAUUUUGAAGGGGUUGUUGUGAGGAGUAAAACUGAGGUGGUGGUUGAGAGAGGUCUGGUGCAACCGUGGGAAGGGUGACUGGGGAGCUUGAAGUGGGUGGUCAAUUUACUCCAUUUCCUUCUUCACCUCCAAGUUACAUUGGUGUUAAUGGGUUGUGCCCUCUUGCAUACUCUUUAUUGGCCCAGGUAACAAAUCUUUAUUUUGCAUUUGUGUUCUUUUAUUGUUGAUUCUAUCUUGCUUUUUGCAUAAAAAAGGGAAAAGUUCUCUAAUUAAUCACAAUGACAAGAAACUCCCGAAUUAUUUUGAAGUUUUCUAGAAGGUAAUGUUGAAACUUGGCUAUUUAAUUUCCCAAAAUCGUUUUAGUUUUGAAGAAAUCCACCGCUCAUCGUUGCUCUGGUGAAGAAGGUAAAGACGAAAAUAACUUCUUUUUUUUUUUUUUUGGAAACUGAAAAUACACUACUUUAUAUAUGAUUGUCUAGGAUUAACAAGGGAAAUUUCAGCAAGAAACUAACAGAAGUAGAUCAGCCAUGGCUUAACACACUACAUGCACAAUCUUGCAGUGACACAGAAAGUCACUAGAAAAACAUUUACUCUUUAACACUUAUUGCUGGUCAACUUAAGCUAACAUAAAAUUUCAACAGAUGCUAAUACUUAUAACUUAGGGGCACUUGGGUUUAUUGCCCCGAGUAGUCAUAUCAGUGUAGCACUUGCCACACUUCUCUCUGUUGCCAUAAGUUCCUGGCCAACAGAAGCAGAGCAGCUCUGAAAGCCAUUGGAAGACAGAACCCAGCCGAAAGAAACGAAGAAGAAAGUUUGAGAAGCUAGGCACUCCCUGCUUGGUGCUCAAGACGAAAAUAACUUGUUUGAUUUUGAAAAUUAAAUCCGUUGCUCCUUAUUAUUCCUUGAUUUAUUGGCUUUUUCUAUUUAUUAUGCAUAGUUAAAAAUGGAAAUUGAUCUCUCAAUGCCUUGGGUUUUGACCUAACUAAAAUUUGGGUUCUUUGAAAUCGAAGUUGGAGGUUAAUUUGGCUGAUUUUGAAUGAUGAAUUUAUCACUGACAAUUCAAAUUGAUUGAGUUCUCUUUGGUAAAUAAUAAUUGGUUAAUUUGACUGAUUUUGGAUGAUGAAUCUUCUUUGCAAUGUUAGUCAUUGCAAUAACAUUGUUUUGAGUUCAUGUGUAUUCUCUACUAUGCAUUUUUCUUCCCAAAAUUUCCAAUAGCGUAGUGCUUGUACUCAAAGAUUGCUUCGCAGGGAUCAAAAUUGCUUCAAUUCAUCUUGCAGCAACUGGAACUUAAACAUAAGCAUGCCAAUACGAUCGGCAGUUUGUUGGACUUUGCUUGGUCGAUGUUGAAGACAUGAAGAUUCAUUUAAAAGUGGGAAUAUUUUCUGACAUUGGGUUUGGUGUUUAUUUUUUAUGGGAAAGAUUGUAUACCAAAUUGUACAAAUGUUUGUUUACUUGAAUUGUUUGGUUGUAAUGAUUAAAUUAUAGAUGCUGAUUUGGAUGUCAAUUAUAGAAUUAUUUUUGGAUUAUUUAUUUAUUUUUUAGAAUUAAUUGAUAUAUUAUUGAAAUGUGCCAAAAUGAUUUUAAAAUAAUUUUUAAUAAUUCCCGCCCAAAUAUUUUGAAAAAUUAAAAAUAAUUGCGCCAAAUUAAAUAUUUAUCACUUUAAAUAUUUUAAUAUUUAUUUAAAAUUUCAGUUAUUCCUUUUAGAUUUAAUAAAAAUAAUUUUAUUAUUCCAAUUAAAUAUGUCAUGUUUAUGCGAUAGACAAAAGUCAUGAAUGGGAAAUGUUUAUGAUAGAUAUUAGUCAUGGGUGAAAAUUUCUCAUCAAGAUACCCAAUGACAGAAUCGUGAUAGAUAAUAUGUCAUGCUAAACAUGACACAUAAAAAUAGUCAAGGAUUUUUCUUGACACCGGAAUCAAUGACGGUCGCUCAAUUGUCAUGCCAUAGGGUGGAUGACGGGUAAUAACCGUUAUAAAGGACUUUUUUUCUAGUAGUGAGGGCUUGUUAAUUAUGGAUUUUGAGGGGUUUCAAUGCUUAGGUUUCUCAGCCCCGAUGGAGUGAUGAAGUCAAAGGAACUGAAGUGUUUAUUAAAAAUUAGAAUUUUCUUGUAGUUUAAAGUCUAUAGUAAACGACAGUGUUUAGAAGUUAAAAAAUAUUUUUAUUUUUAAAAUUUUUUAAAUUAUGAAAAAUCAACACACAGUGCCGUUUCAUGCCCAAAUUGAUCAAUCCUAAACUCACCGUUUCAUUAAAUAUUAAUAUGCUAUCAUAUUUAUAUGAUGUAUAAAAACUAUCACAAAUUUGUCAUGCCUUUAUGAUGUAUGAAAAUUAUGUCACGUGUCUAGCAUAUUCUUAUGAUAAAUGACUAAUUUUCUAAUAUCUAUCACAAAAAUUCUGUCAUGUUAGCCCAUUAUUCUAGUAGUGAGAUAUUUAUCCAACUAGACUACAAAGUAAUUGAAAUUAAUUGUAACACCUAUGGCCAAAACUUGGACCCAGUGUUAUUCUAUAAUCAAAAUUGAAACCUAUAAUUACAGUCAACUUGAAUCUGAAUCAAAUGGGCAAAUGCGGGCAAAUGCCAUCUCUAGGCUCUAACCAUGAAACAAUAAUCAAAUCGUCAGACUUCUAAAAUAAGCCAAUGAAACAUUACUCACAAACCCAUCUAUUAACAUCUUUAAAGCUUUGGCACUGAAACUUAAAAGAGAGUUUUGUGUUAAAUAGUAUUGAAAGUAAACACAACAACAAUUAUAUAUAGCAAAGAUUAGUGGGAAAACAGAUGUAUUAAAAUUGUUCUUGACUCCCAAUUCUGCCAAAAUAAAAUAAAUGAGCGUAACAAGCAACCGGACCACAGAGAAAGAUAUCUCCAACACCAUAAGCGGUCGCUUCUGAAAAUGCAUUCUGGUUGCAGCUCUACUUCUUGUCACGGUACAAGUAUGUGUGUUGAGUAAUGAAAAGUACCAGCUCAACUAUCUCCUCAUCCCUCACCCCGGAACGAAUCUCCCCAGCUGAAUGGCACGAGCAGUGUCUUGGUAAUAUAUCCUGUACGGAGCAUAUGCCAACUAGAGACGAGUACUGACCAGAGGUACAUACCGACCAGAUAAUCAUCACCCAAAGAAAGAGGACACGAUCUCAAGAACUCACGACAGUUUCUCCAUACCCCAAACCGCUGGGGAGAACAUGACAUUCCACGUUUACCCACGAUUCGGCGGUUGGAGACCCAUGAAGGUCUGUCAUCACCCGAAAAUGAGGGGCAUGAAGAAUACUCAGAAAACGUGGGAUGAUUGCCUAUAAAAGCAUAUGUGUUUAUUUAAUUGUAAUAAACAUUUUUUCUGAUUAAUAAAAUUAAUGAGGUAUUUUAUUCAAAUAUCUUAAUUGCAUUAAUAUUUUGAUCAAAGUCCAUUUAAUCAUAUUAUAUGUAUUUAUGUGAUCACCAUGUGGAUUCACAAAAGACAUAAAUAUAAGUUAUCUUAUGAUUAAAUAAAAUUAGUUCGCAGUUGAUAAAUAAAGUUGGGCACUUUAUUUAGGUAUAGACUGUAAUGAAUUCAUUGAAUGAUUUGUCUUAAUCAUGUAUGAAUUUAUUAAUGUAGUACGACUACAUUGAACAAGAUCACAUAUGAGAUUUAUUUAACCUUGAAAUGACUGUCAGACUUAUUAAAUCUCAUAGGCAUUGAUUUUACUGUAAUCUUAAUCUUGAGUUAAUUAUGAUUUCAUGAUUGUAAUUGUUAUUCCAUUUGAGUUACCAAUCGGCACGACACAUUCUUGUGGUCAAGAUUACCCGGUAUCUUGGUGGGAGCAAUUAUGAGUAUUGGAGUUAUGGAUUAACAAUAUAGAAUUUGUACAACACAUCUCUUGAUGGGUUUUCGACACUUGAUCAUAUAAUUCUCUGGCUAGAGUGUGUCAACAUAUUUAGUAUGUUGAAAAUUAUCAUUAGAGAAAACCAGUAAGUAUCAAGGACCAAGAUGUUAUUAAAUUGAUUGGACAGUUGAGAUAUCAAUUUAAUUAACGAUGUGGUACAAAUGAUUGUGCAGUAAAGAAAUCAAUGUGGCUUGGGACGAAUUAUUAUUCGAGCAUACAAUUAUGGAAGUCAGUUCCAAUCUUUUAGUGGAGUAGAUUUGGAAUUAAAUAAUUGGGCUAGUUUAAUUAUAGGCCUAAUUAUUGUAGCCAUUAGUGUAUGUUCCCAAAUGAUCCCCGGGUUAGCUCAUUUAAUUGACUGCACCACUACUGGAUUAAUAAGCAAGAUAACUAGCUAUUUGGGUCAAAAGCCUAAAUAUAUCAUUUAGUGGGAGGCUCCAUUUAAUUAGCUUGUGUGUAAGGGGCCUUAUGUUAUUUUACAAGGUGGGUCCCCUAUAGAAAAAGCAAGUAACGUGAGUUUUGAUUUUGAUAAUUUGGAGCCUAGGGUUUUCACAAAAGGGAGAUAUAAAAAGACUUAUUUUCUCUAAAGAAAGAGAGAGCAGCCACUUUAUACAGAUGAGAGAAAAAGAUUUUUCUCUCUAUUGUUGAGAGAAAAAUUUUCUCGUGCUAGUUGUUUUAGUAGUGAUAAAGGCGCCCACACGUCAAGUGCAGAUCAAACCUGAGUCAUAACCUGGAAGAUCAUUGGUGACAGUUCGUGAUCUAACAAGCGUGGUGGUGAUGGAUUGUGAUCUAAUAGGCGUGGUGGUGACGGAUCGUGAUCUGGGAGCCUAAAUCACUUCAGCGGAAAAAUCUAAAUCGGAUUUUCAAGGUACGAUUUCUAGAUUACAAAUUCUUAUAUAUUAUAUGAGAGCGAUCUUAAAAGGUUUUAUAAAAAAUUAAAAAACUGAAUUUUCCCCAACAGCAUGUUCUAUGCAUAUGUCGUGUCAGAAAAUUAUUUCUUAGUUUCAUAGACAAGAAUGAUGAAGGAGAGAUGUAAAUAUGAACGCCGUUCUAAGCCAACUAAAGUUGAAUUCGCCAUAUCAUUAUAAUGGAUGUUAAUAUUGCUAAUUUGGAGUCAAAGUCAUGCGUUGAUUGCAUUUGUAUUGUCUGUAUGACUAGGUCGUGGCAAAGGCUCAUGGAAUAAAUCUGCUUCUUUUUACUCUUUUCCCCACUACCACCAGUUCACUUAACUUUUCCUUCACGGCAUGCUGAAUGAGAUCUUCUACUCCAUCAGUGCAUUUAGGAUUAGAUUUCUAAUUUGUCCGAUGUCUCUGCAUUUUCUUGAACUCUCUACUCUUCCUCGUGUAAUUAAGGAGGAUUAAAGUAAAAGAAAAGGGUAGAACCAGUUAUCCCUAUUUGUUGCACUAGCUAUUAGAUUUCCAUAUUAGAGUAAUUAUUGGCCAAAAACAUAAUUUUUUAUUUAAAUUGUCAAAAAGACUUGAAUGUUCUCAUCCUAAAAUAAGUUCCAUUAAAAUGAUCAUAAUAUUUAUGGAAUGUUUAUAACUAAGAAUGAGUGCAAGCAUAUCAUAUUUAUUUCUAUUUAGGUUUAUAAGAAUUAUAAGAGGAAAGAAACUCUUUUUUGGAAAGAAUCCUAGUCUUUUAACUACAAUCUUAAUAAUUUUUUUCACAUCAGCCACAUACUUAUCAAACAACAUAUCAUAUUUAAGGCAAGAUUUAUCCAUUUUUUGUUUAGCACAUGACAUAUAAUCGAGACAAAUUUCAACAUAUUGUAGUAAUGGGCAGCAAUGAUAAACGGUUUCCAUUAUCAAUAAAUUAAGCAACAAAACAAUAUUAAUAUUCAGUUUAUAAAUUAAUGAAAUAAAUAAAUUAAAAACAAAAGCUUGUCAUCAUGUGCAACAAAUAUAACUUCACCAACGUGUUGUCAUCGUUUGCCAAAACCUGUAACUAACAAUACCCAGCUAAUAAUAUCGUAAAUAAUUUAGCCCACAUAUAUCUAACAUUUAUUUUUAAAAAAAAUCUAACAAUCCAGUAUUUCAUGGACCACCAGACUAUAUAUAUAUACAUAUAUAUAUAUAAGCAACUAAACAUUGCUUGGUCCACAUGACCAAACUUGCCCCCACAUGGUACCAUUUCUUUCAAACAUUAAAAAGACAAUUGAAAAAGGGGGCCUCACUUUUCAACUCAAUAAAAUACACUAGAAAGUAUUAUCAAUUACCAAGUCUAAAUCACAAUCAUUAAAAUAUAUGUCAACACCAUUGGACCUCAGUUUCGGAUCCUUCCCAAUAAAAAACACCAGCCAAUGAAAAGUGCUAUAUCAUCAAGCAAAAUCAGUUCACACACAUGCAAGCUUUGACUGAAAAAUUACAAAAUAUAACAACCUUCAGACAAACCAUUGCCAGCAAGCAUUUUUUAAACAUUGAAUGGAAAGGCAAGUAAAGAAUUGAACAAACCUGAUGUUAGAAAUCGAAUUUGAAAGGAAACAAAGCAGUGAAAUCCUGCAAUUCAGAAAAAAAAAAAUUUUUAAAAGAGGGCAUACUAAAUUAAAUGAUUGAGCAAUUUCUAGGUUUAAUAAAAGGACAAAGUAUAAGCUUCUUGAAUUAAAAAAAAAAAUUAAAAAAUAACAAAAGAAACAAACAAGAAUUAAAAAAAUUAAUAAUAAAGGUAAACCAUUCAUUAUAGAAAUCCCCAAAAAAGAGGCAUAAAUUAUGAACAAAUAAGGGAGAUAACAAUAAAACUGACAAUUAAUUUUAUAAUGCCCAACUAAUUUAUUCAAAAUAAAAAAAUAAAAAAGCUAAUUGACAAUAAAGCUAAGGAUUCAGCAAUUACAAGGAUGGCUUCUCCACCGCCAAUUAAACAAUGCAAAGAAAUAGUGACAACGACGGCUUCAAAAGGGAACGUGUUGUUCGAAGGCGCAACAAUGAGCAUAUAUGGUGAUCUUGUGCCUAAAAAUUUAUAAUGAAGUGGUUGCUUCAAUAGCACGUACAAUGAUUUUGGUUUCUAUACAAUGGAUUUCAAAACCAAUUUGUAGAUUAAAGUAGGGCUUGUUAAUUCUGGAUUUUGAGGGGUUUCAAUGCUUAGGUUUUUCAGCCCUUGCUGAUGGAGUGAUGAAGUCAAAGGAGCUGAAGUGUUUAUUAACACUUAGAAUUUUCUUGUAGUUUAUAGUAAACGACAACGUUAAGAAGUUAAAUAAAUACUUUUGUUUUUCAAAUUUUUUUAAUUAUGAAAAAUCAAUCCUCGGUGCCGUUUCAUGCCCAAAUUGAUCUGUACUAAACUCACCAUUUUAUUAAAUAUUAAUAUGCUAUCAUAUUUAUAUGAUAUAUAAAAACUCUAUCACAAAUCUGUCAUGCCUUUACGAUAUAUGAAAAUUCUGUCACGUGUCUAUCAUAUUCUUGUGAUAAAUGACUAAUUUUCUAAUAUCUUUCACAAAAAUUCUGUCAUGUUGGCCCAUUAUUCUAGUAGUGAGAUAUUUAUCCAACUGGACUACAAAGUAAUUGCAAUUAAUUGUAACACCUAUGGCCAAAACUAGGACCCAGUGUUAAUUUAUAAUCAAAAUUGAAACCUAUAAUUACAGUAAACUUGAAUCUGAAUCAAAUGAGCAAAUGGGGGCAAAUGCCUUCUCUAAGCUCUAACCAUGAAACAAUAAUCAAAUCGUCAGAUUUCUAAAAUAAGCCAAUGAAACAUUACUCACAAACCCAUAUAUUAACAUCUUUAAAGCUUUGGCACUGAAACUUAAAAGAGAGUUUUGUGUUAAAUAGUAUUGAAAGUAAACACAUCAGCAAUUAUAUACAGCAAAGAUUAGUGGGAAAACAGAUGUAUUAAAAUUGUUCUUGAGAUAGGAAUGACGAAGGACAGAUGCAGGGGCACCAUUUUAAGUCAACCAAAGUUAAAAGAUGAUUCGAACCCAUAGUUGUUGCAUAAAAACCUUUGUUACCUUUACUUUUGUUGUCAAAAUUAUUAUUAAUAUAAUUUUUUUAAUGGUAGAAGUAGAACCUAAUCCCUCACAAUUAUCAUUUAAUAAUAUGUUAAUUACCAAACACUAUUAUUUUUUUAUUCAUACCUAGUAGUGAUUUAAAUUUGAAAAGCGACAAAUCCAGAAACCAGUUUUUAAUAUAUAAUAACCAGCUUAUAUUUUUAUUUUUUGAGGAGAAAUGUAAGGAUCCUAUAAAAAAAAAAACCGCCAACAUUACAAUGACAGAAUUAGAAACGAAAAUCACAAUAACAUUAUAAUUGCAUUCAGUUUCUACGUCUCCUCCUCCUCCUUGUUGCCUUUUGCUGCGUUCCCAACUUCUCCAGAAUCCAUCCGAUAAUUCCUGUGCUAAAGUUGAACCCGACAACCAAUCCUGCCACAAGUCCGCCCGCGUAGCCAAUCAGAAUGAUUUUCCAAUCAGAUGUGCCCGAAAAUAGAGACUCCUCUGAGCCCUUAGUAUGAUCUUCAUUUGCUGGAGCUACAUCACUCUCACAUCCUUUGGACAAAGGCCUUCCACACAAUCCUGAGUUGCUGUCGAAAGAAGUAUUGUCAAAUGUAGCAAAUUGCUUUCCUGGUGGUAUCAGUCCUGUAAGGUGAUUGUCCGAGACAUUGAAGAAUUCGAGAAAUGUGAGCUCAACUAGUUGUUGAGGAAUCUGUCCUGAAAACUUAUUGUUUGAGAGAUCCAAUGAUUCCAAAUUUGGUAGAUUGCCCAAACAUGACGGAAUAUGGCCUUGGAGACUAUUGUUCUGGAGAUUUAGAACUUGAAGUCCCUUUAAAUUCGCAAUCGAUGCUGGAAUCACCGAAUCAAAACUAUUGUUUGAGAGAAUAAUGCCCGCUAGGAUAUCCGGAAUCUUGUUAUAUGUCAUCAUUCGCCCUUUUGAUGUUCAUUGUCAUUAAGUAGUCGUAAGUGCUAAGUAUAUCAUUGGCCGUUUGUCCAUACGGAGAAAGCACAUCUUGCAGAUAUCUUAGCUCACUUGUUGAUGAAGAGUAGGAAUCCAUAUUAUACUAGGAUUAGUUUCCUUAUUAACUAAAGUUUAAGACUUUUAAAUUCCUUUCUAAUUUAGAAUUUUGUUUCCCUUUCAAUUUAGGAUUUUGUUUUUACUUCAUGAAUUAGGAUAAUUACUACUACUAUAAAUAGCUCCCUCUUGUAGUCUUUGAUGGUAGAAUUUUGAGUUUAAUAAUAUUUCAAUUUUCAAAUCUCUUUGUGAGUAUUUGAACAGUUAAUUCUCGGUAUUCUGCAGAAUCAACGAGUCUUAACCCCUAAAUUCGCGGUAUUCUUUUGAAUCAACGUGAAUUUAGUUGUUCUUUUGUUCCGGUAUUCUCUAGAAUCAACAGAAUAUUUUGAACAUUAAAAUUCCGCUGCAUCACUUGUAUUGACAAUUUUCAUGGCAUUCCAACACAAGAAACUCUUUAAUGGAAGCGUUCCAAUAAAUAUGUUGUUAGAUAGGUCAAUGAUGCGGAGUUUAGAAAAUCCACAAUCAGUUCUGGGUUCUUUUAUAAUGCCAUAAAAUAUGUUAGAUCGUAGGAUGAGAACAUUCAAGUUUGGAAGAGUUCCUAACCAAGAGGGAAAAGUGUCACUAAUCUGGUUGUUCCCAAGACCAAGAAAUUCCAACUUUGAACAGUUGAUCAAUGAUCUUGGAAUUCUUCCUUAAAAUAUAUUAUGGCUUAAAUCAAUCACGCCUAAUCUACUUUCUUUAAUGAAAGUAUUUGGGAUGGUCCCAAAGAAGUUGUUCCCCUGCAAGUCGAGCACUGAAAGUUCAUCACUAGAAUUGCCUAAACACUGAGGAAGCAAUCCACUUAAGUUAUUGUGAGACAAAACAAGGCUUUCAAGAAUAUUCAAAUUGCAUAUCCACGAUGGAAUUUCCCCAGUUAAGCUAUUGUUUGAAGCUAGAUAGUGAAUGGUUCCGGGGGGUGGAACUGGGAGUGGUCCUUGUAAAUUAUUAGAGCUAAGAUCAAAAGUCAGCAAAUCACCUUUAUUCGCUGGAAGAACAACAAGAUGCUGAUCAAACCCAGUUAAAAAGUUAUGCGAAAUGUUCAAGGCAUUGAGAUUCUGCAUAUUGGGGUCUAACAACCAUUUAGGUACUUUUCCUUGAAUUCUAUUGUCAGAAAGGUCCAGGACCAGCAAAUGAUAUUGGUUUUGCAAGAAAUUUGGAAAUUUAGUAAGAUUGCAAGAACGCAGUCCUAUAUACUUAAGUUUCUGUGAAGUGGUAUUAGAAGUGGCUUUGGUGAGCACUGACAACCUAUUUAAUGAGAGAGCUAAAAAUUCCAAAUUUUUCCAGCUAGUAAGUAAAACAUCUAACUUUAUCGUUCCUCUAUAAGAAUUUUUAGCAAGGUCAAGGAAGAAAAGUUGGGAAAGAUUCCUAAGUGAAGAUGUAAUUUGACCUGAAACAUUACACUUAGCGAUAUGUAUUGCUUCCAAUGAUCUAAGAUUUCCAAUGGAACCAAGUAAGUCACCCGAAAAAUUAUUCAAUCGAAGAUACAAAAAUUGUAGCUGGGUGAAAUUACCAAUCGAAUGUGGAACUUUGCCCCAAAAACUACAUGACCUCAGAUCCAAUAACUUCAAAGAACUAAAAUUUUCAGUGGACCAUGGAAACUCAACCGAAAAAUUAUUGAAUGAAAGGUCAAGUUUUUCCAAAGAAAAAAGAUUUCGAAUGGAAGUAGGCAACUCACCAAAAUAUCCAUUUUGUGAAAGGUCAGGUUCUUUCAAAGAACCAAGAUUUCCCAUGGAAAUAGGCAAUUCACCAAAAUAUCUAUUUUGUGAAAGUCAAGUUCUUUCAAAGAACUAAGAUUUCCAAUGGAAAUAGGCCACUCACUCGACAAAAAAUUUGCAGAGAGAUCAAGUUCUUCCAAUGAACGAAGAUUACCAACGGAAACAGGCAGCUCACCCUGUAAUUCAUUUAGUGAAAGGUCUAAAUGAAGGAGCUUGGAUAGAUUACCGAGUGAGGAUGAAAUUCUUCCUGAAAUUUGUUAAAAAAGAAAAAAGAACACAUUGCUUAAGUAGAAAAUUAAAAAUAAUAAUAGUUUUUACUAAUGAAUUUAACAUUGCAUGUAUAUUAAUUAAGGAGAAAAUAUAUAAAAUUUAAUUACCUUGCAAUUCACAGUUUCGGAGAGAAAUAAUCGUCGAAGAAGAUAGAUUUGCGAUGUUAUGAGGUAUCGUUGACUGAAUAGAAACAUCACCAAGGUCAAGUGUUUUUAGAUUGCCUAACUUCUCCACUAAAUUUACGAAACUAGGCUUCUGGAGUUCAAGUCUACCACCAGGAACAUCAUUUAGUGAUAAAUCAAGGGACACCAAAUUGGAGAGCUUUAGAAUUUCUGAUGGUAUUUGGCCAGAUAAAGAAGUUCCAGAGAGGUUCAAGUAUGAUAACCUGGAAAGGUUGAUGAUUUCUGGUGGGGUUUCGGAGGAAUUGAAGUCAUUCAAAGCAAGAUUAAGCCACUCAAGAUGGACAAGCUUGAAAAGGCUGCUGCUAGAGUUGAUAGAACCAAAAAGGCAGCUAUGGGAGAGGUCAAGCUUGAUGACAUGACCAGUGUUCUUAUUGCAAUGAACUCCGUCCCAAGAGCAGCAAUCAACCUUACCUUCUUCUGGCUUCCAUGAUGCCAUUGUAGGACGACAGUCAAAUUUCCAAGCAUAAAAAUCACCACUGAUGCGGCUUUCUUUGAAUUGCAACAAAGCAGAGCGCUCAUCAUCAUGGCAGAGUGGCGGCAUAGAAGAAGCAGUGAAGUUAGCAAUUGUAAAAUUAAAGAAAAAGAAGGGAAAAACUAACCGUAUGAAUAUUGUGAAUAAACAUAUGGAGGAUAAACCCAUAGUUUUCUUAAAAAUAAAAUUUGUUUAACUUUGUAGAUGUGAAGAAAUUUAAGGAUCUUGGUUUGCUUUUUUAGGGAAAUUGCAGCAAUUCAAACAUUUUAGUCAUUGGACUCUUUUUUUAUUUUUUUAAGUCAACAAAAGUUAGUCUUAAUAAUAUUUAUUUUUUAUUAUUUGAUGUGAUGCCCCACAAAAAAAAAUUGAUUUAAUGUGUUAUUAACAAUCUAUCCAGAAAAAACAAUUCUUUAAUAGGAUCUAUCGAACUUGACCUGUGUUUAUAUUUCCUUUCAUUUUCUAUAAUUUCAUUUUCUGAAUUAAUUUGCUUCUUUUUUUUUUCUCCUUUCCCCUCUUGUAUUUCCCUUCACGGCCAGUUGAGUAUUCUGCAUACUCGAGUAUAUGUCAUUGGCUGAUGACUUUUCACUACAACUCAAAAAUUUUCCUCCCCACGGCAUGUUGAUAUUAUCUCCAAACUAGCAACAUUAUCACUGUCACUCUUCUUUGUAAACUACGCACUCGUUGGUUGAGUGAUGAGCACAUGUACCUUGUGAUUAAAAAAUCACGCCAAGAAUUCGAGUUUUACUCCUUUAGAUUUCUUAGCCGAUCUGCCAAUGCGCCAAUUUGUAAUGAGCUUUAGCUGAUGGUUUCUGAGAUGGGCUCUAAUUAGUGCACCUAAAAUGUAACAAAUAUCUCACGUUAACAACCCAAAAUUCCAUAAUUUCAUGCAAAAUCAUUCUAGAAGUUAAAAUUAGGUGUUAAUCAGACACAAACACCAGAAAAAUUAAUGAAAUUUGGAUUCACUAAAAUUGGCGUGAUUUUUUAAUUUAGAUCAAUUAAAAAUACUUCAUUUUAUAGUGUCGGAUUCCCUAUAAGUCGUCAUAAAUCAUUAUCCAGACGAUCAAGGCCGGCGGAUAAAGACUCAAGACUAGAAUUAGAAGUCUUCGAGUAUCAAUCAUAUGUCGUGUCAGAAAAUUCUUUCUUAGUUCUAAGCCAACUAAAGUUGAAUUCGCCAUAUCAUGAUAAUGGAUGUUAAUAUUUGCUAACUUGGAGUCAAAGUCAUGCGUUGAUUGCAUUUGUAUUGCCUGUAUGACUAGGACGUGGCAAAUGCUCAUGGAAUAGAUCUGCUUCUUUUUUCUUCUUUCCCCACUACCACCAGUUCACUUAACUUUUCCUUCACGGCAUGCUGAAUGAGAUCUUCUACUCCAUCAGUGCAUUUAGGAUUAGAUUUCUAAUUUGUCCGAUGUCUCUGCAUUUUCUUGAACUCUCUACUCUUCCUCGAGUAAUUAAGGAGGAUUAAAGUAAAAGAAAAGGGUAGAACGAGUUAUCCCUAUUUGUUGCACUAGCUAUCAGAUUUCCAUAUUAUAGUAAUUAUUGGCCAAAAACAUAAUUUUUUAUUUAAAUUGUCAAAAAGACUUGAAUGUUCUCAUCCUAAAAUAAGUUCCAUUAAAACAAUCAUAAUAUUUAUGGAAUGUUUAUAACUAGAAUGAGUGCUCCUACUUGAACUAGUAAAAUCUCUUGAACUAAUUUAAAGGUUCAAUCCUGCUCACAUGAGUAAGGAGAGGAGAGGGGAUUUGUUUAAAUUUUAUUGUAUUGAAUUUCGUAAUUUCAAUACUUCCACGUAGUUAUUACGAUUUCAUCAAGUUUACGAUGCUAAUGAUCAAACAGUACAGUUUCUAAACUAACUAAAAUAGUACCUAGUUAGCUAAUUAGAUAACGGAUUGAUGGAAUAGAUGUGGAUGUCUAAUUUUAGAGUUUGAAUUUUUUUUAAAUUAAUCAAAGAAAACAUAUUUUCAAUUUUGAGUUAUUGUACUAUUAAUUAAUAAUUUAAUUAAAAAUUUAUUUAUUUGCUAUCAUUCUAGUUGUUGAAAAUGCCUUUAAUAGGGGUUGGUUCAAUAUUUGGUUGGAGUCUCUGAUUUCAUGCUGGCGGUCCAACUCCUUCUCUUCAUCCCUCUUUGACCAUUUGCAAUGUACUUGCAUUGCAAAUUUCUGUAGUCAAACUUGGGUCUUCAAUGUAGUCACAUCCCUUGGUAGGAUUUCUCUCCUUCAAAGAUUAACGCUCUUUCUUCUCGAGAUGCAAAUGGCUUUUCAAAUUGUCAUUUUUGUUAAUGUAGGUCCUGCAUUCACUAUUAGAAAAAUGGGCUAACAUGACAGAAUUUUUGUGAUACAUAUUAGAAAAUUAGUCAUUAAUCACAAGAAUGUGAUAGACACAUGAAAGAAUUUUCAUACAUCAUAAAGCCAUGACAGAUUUGUGAUAGAGUUUUUAUAUAUUAGAUAAACAUGAUAGCAUAUUAAUAUUUAAUCAAACCGUGAGUUUCAGAUGGAAUUAAUUUGGGCAUGAAAGACACCGUUUAACAGAUUUAAAAAAAUUUUAAAACAAAAAUAUUUAUUUAACAUUUAAAUGCUAUCAUUUAACUAUAUUGACUAAACCACAAAAAAAUUAAGUGUUGGCACCUUUGACUUAUCACUUCAUCGGCAAGGGCUGAGAAACCAAAGCACUGAAACCCCUCAAAAUCUAAAAUUAACCUAUUUUAAUCUACAAAUUGGUUUUAAAACCCAUUGCAUGGAAACCAAAAUCAUAGUAUAUGCUAUUGAACGAGCCUUCGCGUCCUUAUUUUGAACCCCCAUUAUUUUGAACCCAUUGGUUUUAGGCACAAAAUCACCACAUACGCUCAUUGUUGCGCCUUCGCGUCCAUUAUUGAAGCCAUCGGUGUCACUACUGAAAUACUAACUAGGCAACCCAAGAGGGGGGGUGAAUUGGGUUUUUAUAAAUUAAGCUAAGCAAACACACAACAAUCCAAUCUAAUGCCUUAAUAAAUUUGAAAACAAUAAAUUCAAUGAAAGCACAAUAAUAAAUGAGCAAGGGAAGAGAAAGCAAACUCAAGGAUUUUUACGUGGUUCGGCAAUCCCCGCAUACGUCAACGCCUCCAAGCACACCGGGCUUGAGGAUUUCACUAUCCGAGCCUUUCCAAGGCUUCAAUAGUUUACAAUUGACUUCAAGAUGUCAAUGAACCUUUACAACAAGAGAUUAUCUCUCCAAUCUCUUCACCCCAAGUGUUUCUCACACUUGUACACUCACAAUUUGAUGAGAAAUGAAAAUUACAUCAAUGAAACUCUCUUUAAGAGUGGAUAUACAAAUUGAAGAACAAAGGUGAUUUAAUAAAUGAUGAUUUACGAAAUUGAAGCUCAAUAUAUGUUGUGUGCACUUGUUUUUGCUUGCCAAGAUUACCAAAAAUGAAUUGGUUUUGAGUUUAUAUAGUUUGAGCUAAAAAACUAGCCGUUAUGCACAUUUUGGUCAUAACCGGCUUACCGUUUAUGGACAUCCGAUUAGCCGCUUAAUGUUACCGUUAUAGCCACAAUUUUGAAUUUCUGAACAUCCGGUAUGCCGCUUGUGAAAUCCGGUUAGCCAUUUAAGCUCCAGAAGCUUACUGCCCAACAACCGGAUUACCGUUUGUCAGGAUCCGGUUAGCCGCUUUCAAUUCGGAUAGAUUCUGCCCAACAUCCGGUUUGUCCUCAAAACUUUAUAAAACUAUAUUAUGGCCCAAAACGUUAUGAAAGCUUUCAAAUAGGUCCAAUUUCAGAAUUUUUAAAGAAUGCUUUGUCAAUCCCAAAACUUUCUGAAAUUAUGAUUUCACCCAAACUAUGUGAAAUUAUAGAAUGACCCAAAAUAUUUAAAUAAUUUCAAAUAGGUCCAAAUCCGAAAUUUUAAAAACAAUAUCAAAGGUUUUAAAAUACUUUCAUUUUAGUCCAAAACACUUUAAUUCCAUAACAUCAUUUUUCCAUUAAAUAUGAAACCUUUAUAAUUUGAAAAUAAUGAUUUAUUUAAAAAAUAAUAAUUUGAGCUUAAAAGAUUAAUCAUUCUUAAUCUUGUUUGUUAGCAUCAAAAUCAACAUUAUGGAAACAUAUAUGUUAACAAUCUCCCCCUUUUUGAUGAUGACAAACAUUUCAUGUAUUUAAAGAAUGAUUCCACAAAUUGCUCCCCCUAAAUAUAAUAUUCUCUUACAAUUUGCCAAUUAGCUAAAUUAACAUAUUUAAAUACAUAGAUUUUUCUCCCCCUUCAUCAUAAAAAAGAAAACUUAAUUGGCAAAGAAAAAGAGUAGUAAAUUUUUAUAAAUUUAAAAAUAUGUCUUCUUCUCCCCCUUCAUCAUCAAAAAGAAAACUUAAAGGAAAAGAAUAAGAGUAGCAAAUUCAUUACUCAUGUUUGUCCGAGUAGAAAUUUCAACACAUUCUCCCCCUAACAACAAGCAUUACCUCAAAUACAAGUUUAGUAAUAUUACUCCCAAAUUAUUAUAAAUCAUGAUACAAGCCAACUCCAUACACAAAUCAUCACACCAAAAUAUCAUGAACCAUUAUUCUAUUAAUUACCAAAUCAACAACUCAUAACAUAAAAUUAUCAUAUAAAACAACUCAUAACAUUAUUCUUUUUGGGUGAAAUUCUAUAAUACAAUAGAGGUAUCAUAUCAAUUCCCAACAAACAAAUAAUUUGAUGACAUAUGUGCUUUUAUUUUAGAAAAUCUCCAUGUAAGCGUGAUUAAAUUAAUUUAAUUAAACAUAUCAUGCAUGCAUUAACUAAUUUUGUUAUUUCUAAUGUAUUCUAGAAUUUGUCGUUAGCUUUUUUAGAAAACAACAUAAUAAUAAGGUUACGUAAAGAUUCAUAUGUGGCUGCAUAUGAUCAUUACAAAAAUAUACUAUUUGGUGUAGAGAAUAUUGUCUUCCUCUCACAAUAAAUCAAACAAAUUAGGUUUGAAUAUGAUUUAUUCAAAUUUUAGAGUUUUCUUUUUAUUAUUAACAAAAUAGGUUAUCUAGUGGUGGAGAUGGUGUUGGCCUAGCCCAUCAAUGAAAGGCCCAUCCAUACUCAUACUCGUACCUUACCAUGCCCACCCUGUAUUUCAUGCCGUCCUAGGUCGUGCCUUUUUUUUUUUUUUACUUAGACCCAGCCCAACACACAUACCGUAUCAUAAGUCGUUUUGUGUCAUGCUUAAGAAAAAAAGCACGAUAAGCUUUUUUUUUUUUUAAGAGGACAUACCAAAUUGUUGGCCUACUUUUUUCUAACCUUUAUACUUUUUUAUGUUCAUGUGCCUUUUCUCAAAUUCAAUAGAAUAAAAAAUUCAAAACUUAAUUUCAUAUUCAAUAAUAAUAAAUUAUUAAUAUUAAGAGAAUAUAAUAUUAGUUUUUAAGUGAGACCUUACGGUAUUAAAAUUCUUUUUAACUACUUAACAACAACAACAACAAUAAUAAUUUUUUUAAGGGUUAACUUAAUUGUUAAACUAGAUUUACAUAGAGUUAUAAAUCAUAGUCGAUAAUAACAUUAAUACAUAUUUAUAAAAUCAUAAUAUUUAUAAUUUUAUUUAUUAAAAUUAAUGAUAUCAAUUAUUUAUUCAAUAAAUUAUAAAUAUAAAUUAAUUAAAAGAUUCUUUUGAAACUAAGAACUAAAUAAUUUAAAAAACUUACACUAAUAAAAUAUAUUAAAAUAUUCAAUUUUAAGUUAUUGAAUUAAUAGUAUAUGACCGCAACACCUUCAAACUGGCCAACAACAUAUUAAAUAUUAAAACAUUAUCUCCCUCGUCAUUGAUCGAGACAUUCAAUUGCAUGCAUUUACUUUACCUUAGAUGGUAUUUUCUGAGACGAAAAUAUAAGUGGUUGUGCAAGGAUUGAAUAGCGAAUUGCCUUUAUUUCACUCGGCAAUUAAAUAAAUAAUUUAAUAAAAAACCUCUUCUUCUUAAUUCUAACAGGGGUGUCUUCAAUUUUGGUUUUAUAUAGCGUGGUGUCUCAAUUUUUCAGCCACUGCAAGCUAGCUCCAUGGCGCUCCCUAUUCCUCUAUCUUUAUUAUUUAUUAAUAAACUAAUCAUCGAUCUCAGGGAGCUUCUCUUAGUGCUUGCUUUAAACAAAAAUAAAAAGAAAAAAGAAGUUGCGUGUUGGAAGCAAAGUGUUCGUGCAAAUCUUUGACAUUACAAAAGUAGCUGGCUUUGGCUAUUAUUAAUUUAUUAGGCAUCAAGUACAACCAUUUACAGCAUUAGUUAUAAUGAGGCACCGCCAGUUAGUUGACUUCACAGUAGUAACUUAAAAAUGGUGACAACUCACCAUGUACGUAAUGUGUUCUACCAGAGCUGUGUUCCGCAAGCCAUAGUUCUGAAUGAAAAUCGAACCUAUAACAUUUGUGCUAAAGUAUUGGUCAAAUGUAGGCUUGGCAUGAACCAAGAAUUGAGCUAGCAAACUCUAGAAGCAUCACAACCUUUGCUGUCAUCUUUACUACUCUUCUAAAAUUUUUCUGCAACUUAAACCUAAUUCUCUGUCACUGAAAUUAAAUUUGAGAUAACAAUCCACUUCCAGUUUUAGAAUUGUGGUCCCUUAUACUUAAUUUAUCUACUUGUGUCUGAUUUAUUUUUUCAUUUGUUCGUCAUCCCCACUACAAGAAAAAUAGGAUAUAACAACAAGAAUGUAGCCGCUGUUAAAAAGUAUUAGAAGUAUAGAUUUUACAACAUGAAAUCAAAAAGUAAUGGGUAUGAUUCGUGAUCUAUGAUUGAGUUGGUGGGUUGAGUAAAUAUAUAGCUUCUAAACUUUUAUCUUUGUUGGGUUCUAGUUUAAUAGCAAGAUUUGUCAUUAAAUUUGGGACUUAUUUCAAGCAAUAAUUUAUAGUUAAUACUUUUAGUAUUAAAAGUAUAGAUUUUCUUGACCUCCUAUAAAUCUUUAUCUUUCUAAUUGUGAGUUUUUAUUUCAUACACGCAUGCAAAUGAACACGAUAACUAAUUAUUUAUAAUGGUCGUUAAAAAUGUUUUGAUAUUAAUUCCUUUCCUCUGCUAAAAAAUUUCAACUUCAAUUCAAUUUUCGCUCAAUUUUCAGAAAUUGAUGAUUCAAGAGACUGAGAGAGAGAUAAAUCAUAGAAUAAAAGAACUUUUUGUUAUUUUUGUUUUUUAAUAAUGAUAAAUUCAGAAAUAAAGGAGAUUAAUUGAAAAUUAAGGACCACUGAAAUAAAUACAUGGGGUCAAAUAUCACUACUCUCACAAAACUGUUUUGGCAUGAGAAGUCAAAAUACACGACACACAUAGAAUUUACUACUCAUUACACAACGAGUUAAUUUUAUUUAGCCAUGAGCCCAGUUAUAAUCAUUGGGUCUAAUAAGCGGAAUAAAAAUAACAAGUUGGAUCUUUGUGUAGAUAUCUUGGAUCUUUGUGUAAAUAUCUUUUUUUUUUAAUUUAAAAUUAGAUAUAUCAUCAAGCUUAUUCAUCGGGGCUUUAUUACAUUUCCUUUUAUUUUCAAUAAUUAAUUUGUCAUCUAAUUGGUCAAUAAAUUUGCUUCUUGUUUGUCCACAGUCCAGUACACUAACAUAGAUGCUGUUCAUUAGAAGCAGAAACAGAGCUGUAACAGAGAAGAAAAUAGCUGUAAAAUUAUUUCUUAGGUUUUGAGAUAGGAAUGACGAACCAAAGUUAAAUUGGCCAUAUCAUUCAAGUGUCACCAUUAGCUUGGAUGCUUGUAAAGAUGAUUUGGACCCAUAGUUUUUGCAUAAAAACCUUUGUUAUCUUUACUUUUGUUGUCAAAAUUAUUAUUACAAUUUUCUUAAUGGUAGAAAUAGAACCUAAUCCCUCACAAUUAUAAUUUAAUAAUAUGUUAAUUACCAAACACUAUUAUUUUUCUAUUCAUACCUAGUAGUGAUUUAAAUUUGAAAAGCGACAAAACCAGCAACCAAUUUUCAAUACAUAAUAGACCAAUCUAUAUUUUUAUUUUUUAAGGAGAAAUGUAAGGAUCCAUAAAAAAAAAAAACCACCAACAUUACAAUGACAGAAUUAGAAACGAAAAUCACAACAACAUUAUAAUUGCAUUCAGUUUCUACGUCUCCUCCUCCUCCUUGUUGCCUUUUGCUGCGUUCCCAACUUCUCCAGAAUCCAUCCGAUAAUUCCAGUGCUGAAGUUGCACCCGAGAACCAAUCCUGCCACAAGCCCGCCCGCAUAGCCAGUCAGAAUGAUUUUCCAAUCAGAUGCGCUUGAAAACAGAGACUCCUCCGAGCCUUCAUUAUGAUCUUCAUUUGUUGGAGCUUCAUCACUCUCACAUCCUUUGGACAAAGGCCUUCCGCACAAUCCUGAGUUGCCGUCGAAAGAAGUGUUGUCAAAUGUAGCAAAUUGCUUUCCUUGUGGUAUGGGUCCUGUAAGGUAAUUGUCCGAGACAUUGAAGAAUUCGAGAAAUGUGAGCUCAACCAGUUGUUGAGGAAUCCGUCCUGAAAACUUGUUAUCUGAGAGAUCCAAUGAUUCCAAAUUUGUUAGAUUGCCCAAACAUGACGGAAUAUGGCCUUGGAGAUUAUUGUUGUGGAGGUUUAAAACUUGAAGUCCCUUUAAAUUCGCAAUCGAUGCUGGAAUAGCCCCAUCGAAUCUAUUGUUUGAAAGAAUAAUGCCCGCGAGGAUAUCAGGAAUCUUCUUAUAUGUCAUCAUUCGCCCUUUGCUGUUCAUUGUCAUUGAGUAGUCGUAAGUGCUAACUACAUUAUUGGACACUUGUCCAUACGGAAAAAGCACAUCUUGCAGAUAUCUUAGCUCACUUGUAUUGACAAUUUUCAUGGCAUUCCAACACAGGAAGCUCUUUGAUGGAAGCGUUCCAGUAAAUCUGUUGUUAGAUAGGUCAAUAAUGCGGAGUUUAGAAAAUCCACAAUCAGUUCUGGGUUCUUCUAUAAUGCCGUAAAAUAUGUUGGAUCGUAGGAUGAGAACAUUCAAGUUUGGAAGAGUUCCUAACCAAGAGGGAAAAGUGUCACUAAUCUGGUUGUUCCCAAGACCAAGAAAUUCCAACUUUGAACAGUUGAUCAAUGAUCUUGGAAUUCUUCCCUGGAACAGAUUAUGGCUUAAAUCAAUCACGCUUAAUCUACUUUCUUUAAUGAAAGUAUUUGGGAUGGUCCCAAAGAAGUUGUUCCCCCGCAAGUCGAGCACCGAAAGUUCAUCACUGAAAUUGCUUAAACACUGAGGAAGCAAGCCACUUAAGUUAUUGUGAGACAAAACAAGGCUUUUAAGAAAAUUCAAAUUGCAUAUCCACGAUGGAAUUUCCCCUGUUAAGCUAUUGUUUGACGCUAGAUAGUUAAUGGUUCCAGGGGGUGGAACGGGGAGUGGUCCUUGUAAAUUAUUAGAGCUAAGAUCAAAAGUUACCAAACCACCUUUAUUCCCUGGAAGAAAAACAGGAUGCUGAUCAAACCCGGUUAACAAGUUAUGCGAAAGGUUCAAGCCAAUGAGAUUCUGCAUAUUGGGGUCUAACAACCAUUUAGGUACUUUUCCCCGAAUUCUAUUGUCAGAAAGGUCCAAGACCACCAAAUGAUGUUGGCUUUCCAAGAAAUUUGGAAAUUUAGUAAGAUUGCAUGAACGCAAUUUUAUAUACUGAUGUUUCUUUGAAGUGGUAUUAGAAGUGGCUUUGGUGAGCACUGACAACCUAUUAGAUGAGAGACUUAAAUGUUCCAAAUUUUUCCAGCUAGUAAGUAAAACAUCUAACUCUAUCAUUCCGCUAUAAGAAUUUCGAGCCAUGUCAAGGACGAUAAGUUGGGUAAGAUUCCUAAGUGAAGAUGUAAUUUGACCUGAAAAAUUACACUUAGGGAUAUGUAUUACUUCCAAUGACCUAAGAUUUCCAAUGGAACCAAGUAAGUCACCCGAAAAACUAUUCAAUCCAGGAUACAAAAAUUGUAGCCGGGUGAAAUUACCAAUCGAAUGUGGAACUUUGCCCCAAAAACUACAUGACCUCAGAUCUAAUAACUUCAAAGAACUAAAAUUUCCAGUCGACCAUGGAAACUCACCCGAAAAUUUAUUGAAUGAAAGGUCAAGUUUUUCCAAAGAAAAAAGAUUUCGAAUGGAAGUAGGCAACUCACCAAAAAAUGCAUUGUGUGAAAGGUCAAGUUCUUUCAAAGAACCAAGAUUUCCCAUGGAAAUAGGCAACUCACCAAAAAAUCUAUUUUGUGAAAGAUCAAGUUCUUUCAAAGAACUAAGAUUUCCAAUGGAAAUAGGCCACUCACUCGACAAAAAAUUUGCAGAGAGAUCUAGUUCUUUCAAUGAAUGAAGAUUACCAACGGAAACAGGCAGCUCACCCUGUAAUUCAUUUAGUGAAAGGUCUAAAUGAAGGAGCUUCGAUAGAUUACCGAGUGAAGAUGGAAUUCUUCCUGAAAUUUGUAUUAAAAAAAAAAGAACACAUUGCUUAAGUAGAAAAUUAAAAAUAAUAAUAAUUUUUUCAAAUGAAUUUAACAUCGCAAUUGGCAAUUUUCGAGUAAAAUAUAUAUAUUUAACAAUAACAUGCAUGUAUAUUAAUUAAGGAGAAAAUAUAUAAAAUUUAAUUACCUUGCAAUUCACAGUUUCGAAGAGAAACAAAUGUCAAAGAAGAUAGAUUUCCGAUGUUAUGAGGUAUUGUUGAAUCAAUAGAAACAUCACCAAGGUCAAGUGUUUUUAGAUUGGUUAAUUUCUCGACUAAAUUUGUGAAACUGGGCUUCUGGAGUUCAAGUCUACCACCAGGAACAUCAUUUAGUGAUAAAUCAAGGGACACCAAGUUGGAGAGCUUUAGAAUUUCUGAUGGUAUUUGACCAGAUAAAGAAGUUCCAGAGAGGUUCAAGUAUGAUAACCUGGAAAGGUUGAUGAUUUCUGGUGGGAUUUCGGAGGAAUUGAAGUCAUUCAAAGCAAGAUUAAGCCACUCGAGAUGGACAAGCUUGAAAAGGCUGCUGCUAGAGUCGAUAGAACCAAAAAGGCAGCUAUGGGAGAGGUCAAGCUUGAUGACAUGACCAGUGUUCUUAUUGCAAUGAACGCCGUCCCAAGAGCAGCAAUCAACGCUACCUUCUUCUGGCUUCCAUGAUGCCAUUGUAGGACGACAGUCAAAUUUCCAAGCAUAAAAAUCACCACUGAUGCGGCUUUCUUUGAAUUGCAACAAAGCGGAGCGCUCAUCAUCAUGGCAGAGUGGCAGCAUAGAAGAAGCAGUGACGUUAGCAAUUGUGAAAUUCAAGAAAAAGAAGGGAAAAACUAACAGUAUGAACAUUGUGAAUAAACAUAUGGAGGAUAAACCCAUAGUUUUCUCAAAAAUAAAAUUUGUUUAACUUUGUCGAUGUGAAGAAAUUUGAGGAUCUUGGUUUGCUUUUAUAGGCAAAUUGCAGCAAUUCAAACAUUAUAGUCAUUGGACUCUUUUUUUAUUUUCUUAAGUCAACAAAAGUGUUAGGAAAUUGAGCUUCCUCCCAAGAUCUCUCCAAGCAAUUUAUCAAGCAACAAAUUAAUAAGAAAAAUUAAAUGGAGAAUACACCAAUCACACAACACAAGAUUUACGUGGAAAACUCCAAAUCCGGAGAAAAACCACGGCCGUUGUCACAAGACAACCAGAGAAAAAUAUUCACUAUGUGGAAAAUUAUUAUAACCACUUUCAGAAAUAAUUUUUCUCUCACCCAAGCCCCAAAUACAUAAUCCCGAGAAAUAUCCCUUAACAAAGCAAACCCGUAAUACCCAUAUUGAGGAGCCAACUUCUCCUUCAAUAUAACUACAUGCUUAAGAACAUUUCUCUCUCUCAAUUUCUCACCAAAACUUGGAUUCCUUCUCUGGGAUUUGGGAUACAAACAAUAAGGAGGAGCACUCCUCUAUUUAUAGCCACCAGUGACUACUGUUCAUCUUGCGGCUACUGUUCAUCUUGCGGCUACUGUUCAUCUUACGGCUACUGUUCAUUUUGCGGCUACUGUUCAUUUUGCGGUUUUGCUUUUCUUCAUUCUCCCAUUGGAGACUUGAUUUUUCAACUCUUUUUUUUUAAUCAAUUUUCAACAAAAAGUUAGUCUUAAUAAUAUUUAUUUUUUAUUAUUUGAUGUGAUGUCGUAAACUUUUACCAUUCCGUCACCACCGAAAAUACGUUUAUAGCAAACGUGAGGAUUAAUUCAUGAGUAAAUGAGUAAUACAUUCAUUUUUAUUUUUGUUUGAAAAAAUGAAAAACAUAAUUCCGAAGUGGUCCAGACCACUUGAAAUUUAAAAAAAAAUUGAUAAAUAUUAUUUGGAUAUGAUAUCAGCUCAAAAUUCAAACAAAUCUUACAAACAACUGGCGAUAAAUGGUGAAUUCCAUUCCUUAACCGAGGUUUAUUAAAUUAAAAAAAAAAGUGAAAAAAGAUGAUAAUUAAAUUAAUUUUAAUGCAAACAAAGUCAUAAUAGUAGAAGUGACAAUUUCGGCACGAUUAACUAAUUAAUCAGACACAAACACAAGAUAAAUUAAUGAAUUUGGAUUUACUAAAAUUGACAUGAUUUUCAGAGACUCGAGACUAGUAAUUAGAAGUCUUUGCACGCUCUGUACAUAUGCCGUGUCAGAAAAUUAUUUCUUAGUUUUUAACAUAAGAAUGACGAAAGAGUGAUGUAUUUUUGGACACUGUUCUAAGUCAGCUAAAAUUAAAAUUGGCCAUUUAUCAUUAUAAUGGAUGUUAAGAUAAUUUGAACUCAUAGUUGUUGAUAAAAAAAAUUGUUAAAAUUAGGUGUUAAUCCGACACAAACCCCUGAAAAAUUAAUGAAAUUUGGAUUUACUAAAAUUAAAAAUAUUUCAUUUUAUAGUGUCGGCUUCACUAUAAGUCGUCAUAAAUCAUUAUCAACAGACGAUCAAGGCUCGAUGAAGACUCAAGACUAGAAUUAGAAGUCUUCGAGAAUCAAUCAAUCUUAGGUGAUGGCAAGCUCGAUUUCAGUCAAGUGGUUUAGGUCUUUGCAUGUUCUAUGCAUAUGCCGUGUCAGAAAAUUAUUUUUUAGUUUCUUAGACAGGAAUGAGGAAGGAGAGAUGUAAAUAUGAACGCCGUUCUAAGACAACUAAAGUUGAAUUCCCCAUAUCAUUAUAAUGGAUGGAUGUUAAUAUUGCUAAUUUGGAGUCAAAAACAUGCGUGUAUUGCAUGUGUAUUGUCUGUAUGACUAGGACGUGGCAAAGGCUCAUGGAAUAAAUCUGCUUCUUUUUUCUCCUUUCCCCACCACCACCAGUUCACUUAACUUUUCUUUCACGGCAUGCUGAAUGAGAUCUUCUACUCCGUCAGUGCAUUUUGUUAGUAAUAUGCCCUAAAGGCCAAUCGAAUGGUGUUUGUUUGUUUAAGGAAUUAUUGUAUUUGAAUAACAUUUUGAUAUUUAUAAAAUGGCAAAGUUAUCAACAUUCAUAAAUUAAUUUAAUGAAUAUAGUUCAAGAAGUAAAAUAGUUAAGGAACACAUUCUCGAGUUUGUCGAGAAUAUGAAACGUGCAUCCUUUGUACUAUACUUCCAAAAUAGUUCCUAGUGGUGGAUUUAUGAUUGGACAUUAUAAAUUCCUAUAAACACUAGUAUGUGUUAUGACUCCUUAUGGUAUGUGAUACUAAAAUGGAUGGUGAGUUUCAUAUCAUUGACAUGAGAUGUCAAGUCAAACACAUAGGUACUUGUUGAGAGAACGAGUUUACUGAACUUGACCAAAUAUAGUAAGCCAUAUGGUUUUGAGUGUUAAUGGCUUAUUAUACAUUGUGAUAGACACUAUGUUUAGUAAUGGUCUUUAGACCUGAGACAUAAUAGAUGUCUUAUACAUAGAUAUCUCUGAUAUGUGAAAGCAUAAUGAUUGAUUCCUAAUCAAGGAAGAGAUCUAGCAAUAACUGUCAUGGUUGGCUAUGUAUGGAGACAAGUGUAUGGCCAAUAUGGAAUUCAUCACUUUGUAAUAUACAAAAAGGAUGUCCCUGUGAGAUAAUAUGAAUUGGCAUGAGAAAUCCUUGGCCAAGGUGAAAUAUGUUUGAAGGAGUUCAAAUUAUAUUUUCAUGCCAAGUUCAUUUAGAUUUAUUUUGAGAUAAAGCAUAACUGCUUAACAUAAUAAACUGUAAGGCGUGCUUUUCUCUGGACAUGGAUGAUGAAGAGACCAAGAGAGACCAAGACAUAGGGAUACAAUGGAAAAGGUUCUAUAGAUCCAACAAUUCUUGUUAUUUGGAUGGUUGUGAAAUACUGCUAGGUGUCACUCAUGACUUGUAGAAACCUUAAGAUUAAUAUUGGUAAAGCGUAUUAGCAAUGCAUCUUAAGGUCAUUAGAAAAGUUCUAUUUGAUGACUAAAGGGUUUAGCAUCAUUUAAUGCAUAAAGAGUUAUCAGUAAAAUAGUUCUACUACCUUAUAACAAAGAACCUAAAAAGUCACACACCAAAUAGAAAUGAAAAAAGGAGUUACUAGAAAAUGAGAAGUUAAAUUUCCUAAUUUUAGGAAAAUCGAUAUUUAUAUUAUAAUUCAUUAAGAAUGAAUAUAUAUAUAUAUAUAAAUAUAUCUUAAAUAUGAUUUAAGAUAGAAAUUUAGAUGUUCCGUAAAUAGUUUAAGGAACAAAAUAAAUUUCAUAAAUCCUCAAUUAAACAUUAUGUAUAAUAUCAAGCACGUAAAAUGACCAUUUUGGACAUGUUCCGAUUCAUAUAUGAUUAUGGACUUCUAGACCAAUUUUGGGUUUAGAAUUUUGGGCUUUUAUUGGACCUAAUAUGGAUUAAGAGAAAGCAUUAAAACAUGUCACAAAAGAAGCCCACAUUUAACCAUUUGAUUUGAUCAAAAUGGGAUUAAUUAAUUAAAGAUAAACUUAAUUAAUUUAGUUAUUUAUUUAUUUGAUUAAAUAAAUUAUUGAAGUGAUAAGAUCACAUUCAAUAAAUAAUGGCUUAGUGGGUGGGUCUAGCACAUGAUAAUGUUUGGUGCCAUUAUUAAAGAUAGUGGUGGCUUUAUUUGGUGGAAUGAAUCAUCAUGAACUAGCAUUCAUGUUCCUCAUUAUCACUCUCAUUUCUAAACGAAAUUUCGUGAUUCCCAAAUCCUAUGAACUCCUAGAACAUUUCUAAGUGUGGACUAACUAGAGGCAUCACAAUUGGGGUGCUUUAAGGAUCUCAAAUCGUGGCAAAACAGAAGCUGUUCGUUCAGAGGUUUAUUUUCUGGACAGUGUUCGUAGCUUGCUGUUGUCAGUCAUUUUCUCCUACUUCACGAAGUCUUUUUUGAAACUACAAGUGAGGUAAUUAAACUUCAAUCUUUCCUCUUGAUUUUCGUUUUUGAAUGAAGCCGAUCCGAGGUUUCUAGAGCUUCCGCCAUCCGUUUUAAUUUCACUGCACAAAAGUUGCGUUUUAAGGAACCUCAUGGACAAAUGUUGUCCUACACAUUUAGGAUUAGAUUUCUAAUUUGUCCGAUGUCUCUGCAUUUUCUUGAACUCUCUGACUCUCCUCGUGUAAUUAAGGAGGAUUAAAGUAAAAGAAAAGGGUAGAACCAGUUAUCCCUAAUUGUUGCACUAGCUAUCAGAUUUCCAUAUUAUAGUAAUUAUUGGCCAAAAACAUAAUUUUUUAUUUAAAUUGUCAAAAAGACUUGAAUGUUCUCAUCCUAAAAUAAGUUCCAUUAAAACAAUCAUAAUAUUUAUGGAAUGUUUAUAACUAGAAUGAGUGCUCCUACUUAAACCAGUAAAAUCUCUUGAACUAAUUUAAAGGUUCAAUCCUGCUCACAUAGUCACAUGAGUAAGAAAAAGGUAUUUGUUUUAAAUUUUAUUGUAUUGAAUUUCUCACUUUCAAUACUUCUACGUAAUUAUUACGAUUUCAUCAAGUUUACGAUGUUAAUGAUCAAACAGUACAGUUUCUAAACUAACUAAAAUAGUACCUAACUAGCUAAUUAGAUAACGGAUUAAUGGAAUAGAUGUGGAUGUCUAGUUUUACAGUUUGAAUUUUUUUUUUAAAAUUAAUCAAAGAAAACAUAUUUUUAAUUUUGGGUUAUUGUACUAUUAAUUAAUAAUUUAAUUAAAAAAUUUAUUUAUUUGCUUUCAUUCUAGUUGUUGAAAAUGCCUUUAAUAGGGGUUGGCUCAAUAUUUGGUUAGAGUCGCUCAUUUAUAGUGUGUUUACUUCAAGGAAUGGGAAUGGGCUGUAAUAGGAAUAUGUUGGAAUGUCAUUAAUGUGUUUACUUGGCAAAAUAAAUGCGAAUGAAAAAAGGGAAUGAGAAUCAAUUUACCAAAAUACCCAUAGUAUUAAUAAUUAAUAAAAAUAAUUAAUUUAUCAUUAUUAACAAUAUUAUCAUUAUUGUUGUUGUUGUUGUUGUUGUUGUUGUUGUUGUUGUUGUUGUUGUUGUUGUUGUUGUUGUUGUUGCUAUUAUUAUUAUUAUUAUUAUUAUUAUUAUUAUUAUUAUUAUUAUUAUUAUUAUUAUUAUUAAAAAUAAUAUUAACAAUAAUUAAUAACAACUAAAAUAUUAUUAUUAUUAUUAAAUUUUAUUAACUUUAUUAUUUUAGUUAUUAUUAAUUAUUGUUAAUAUUAUUUUUAUUAAUAUUAUCAUUAUUAACAUUUAUUAUUAUUAUUAUUAAAUUUUAUUAACUUUAUUAUUUUAGUUACUAUUAAUUAUUGUUAAUAUUAUAUUUAUUAAUAUUAUCAUUAUUAAAAUUUAUUAUUAUUAUUUAAUUAAUAUCACUUUUAUAUCUAGAUAAUGAAAAUUACAUUAUUAUUAUUAUUAAAUUUUAUUAACUUUAUUAUUUUAGUUAUUAUUAAUUAUUGUUAUUAUUAUUUUUAAUAAUAAUACUAAUAACAACAACAACAAUAAUGAUAAUGUUGUUAAUAAUGAUAAAUUAAUUAUUAUUUUUAUCAUAAUUUUUAUUGUUAAUAAUGAUAAUAUUAAUAUUAAUAAAAAUAACAAUAAAAAUAAUUAAUAAUAACUAAAAUAAUAAAGUUAAUAAAAUUUAAUAAUAAUAAUUAUUAUUAAUGGCAUUUAAAAUAAUAAAAUUAAUUGUGAUUUGAAUGAGGGUAAUUUGGAAAAUAUGAAAAAAUUAGAGGGAUACAAAAGUAAACAUAUAUUCCAUUCUCAUUCUUUCAUUUUCAUUCACAACCCCCCAUGGGAAUGUGAUUCCCAUUCCUUAUUCUCAAAUUGUGUGGGACCCACACAUUUUAUUCUCAUUCCCAAAUUACAUUUUACCAAGUAAACAUAUGUUUCAUUCUUAUUCCCCAUUCUAUGAAGUAAACACACCAUUAAUGCUGGCGGUCCAACUCCUUCUCUUCAUCCCACUUUGAUCAUUUGCAAGUAUCUGUAGUCAAACUUGGGUCUUCAAUGUACUCAUCCCUUGGUAGGAUUUCUCUCCUUCAAAGAUUAACGCUCUUUCUUCUCGAGAUGCAAAUGGCUUUUCAAAUUAUCAUUUUUGUUAUUGUAGGUCCUACAUCAUGGUUUCUUAAGAUUUUACAUCAUCUUAGCUUUAUGCAUUUAAUGAGUAAGAUUUUAUAUCAUCUUAGCUUUAUGCAUUUAAUGAGGGAUAAGUUUUACAAUAUCCCAUAAUUAAUUGUGUUAAGUUUAUUAUUUAUAGAGUUGACAUCUUAUGGCAAGUCUAGUGGCAAGUCUAGUAAAUUGAAAUUUUAUUUACUGAAUAUCAUGUAAUAGGGUUUAAGUUAUUAAAUUCCUAGCUAAUUUAGUGAAAUUCCAAUUGAUUAGGAAUAUUGUGUCCUAGUUUAAUUAGAUGUCUAAUUUAGCAAGUCAAUUAGUGACAUGAUUUUAUAAUUGGUGAGUAGGAUUUAUUUAGCGGAAGAAGUUAGUUUAAACAGAAAGUUCAUUAAAUGUCUAGAUAUUUCUUAGGAGACAAGCAAGGUAAGCAUAUCAUAUUUAUUACUAUUCAGAUUUAUAGGAAUUAUAAUAAGAAAGAAACUCUUAUUUGGAAAGAAUCAUAGUCCUUCAACUACAGUCUUAAUAAAUUGUUUCACAUCAGCCUCAUACUCAUCAAACAAUAUAUCAUAUUUAAGCCAAGAUUUAUCCAUUUUUUGUUUAGUAGCUGACAUAUAGUUGAGACAAAUUUCAACAUAAUGUACUAAUGGGCAGCAAUGAUAAACGGUUUCCAUUAUCAAUAAAUUAAGCAACAAAACAUUAUUAAUAUUCAGUUUAUAAAUUUAAUGAAAUAAAUGAAUUUAAAACAAAAACUUGUUAUCAUGUGCAACAAAUAUAACUUCACCAACCUGCUGUCAUCGUUUACCAAAACCUCUAACUAACAAUACCCACUAAUAAUAUCCUUAAUAAUUUAGCCCACAUACAUUUAACAUUUAUUUUAAAAAAAUUCUAACAAUCCAGCAUUUCAUGGGCCACAAGGCUAUAUAUAUAUAAGCAACUAGACAUUCCUUGGUCCACAUGACCAAACUUGCCGCUUCUGAAAAUGCAUUCUGGUAGCAGCUCUAGUUCUUCUCACGGUACAAGUAUGCGUACUCAUGGUAACAGCAAAUCCAAAUGCUGACAAUAGAAAUGCAGCAAGAAGGAUGCUCCUCUUCCCAAUCAACGAAAAAGUAUUGUCAUUCAUUAUGUGAAAAAUUUUACGAUCAGAAAUUGGAGGCCAAUUGUAUGCGAAACUCUGAUAUUUUACCUCGAUCUAUCCAAAUCCAAACAGGAAAAUGAAUACUUGAGCAAUAUUCAAAUGUCGAAAGAGCAUAUUUUCAAAAUUAAGUGAGGAAAAAAAAUUUCUGCAUCAAUUAUCAUCAACGGGUUCUUGAUGUUGAGCAAUAUGCUGAGUCAUCAACCACGUCAGCAGUCAGUUAUGGAGGCUGUUGCAAUAUGUUGAGCACAUUGAAUCACAAUCAAGCAAUAGCCCAAAGUCCAAACCUACCAUGGCUAAUGGUGUUGUUCAGUAAUACACAUUCUCACGUUUAAGAAUCGAACUUAGUAUAUAUAUGAACUCCCACUAUUAAUUAGCCAGCAUAUACAUAGAAUUCGAUUCAGCCAUAGAUAUCGAUUGAAUGAGACACAACUGUAUUUCACAUUAACAUUCACGAAUUAAGACUUUGUAAGAGACGUAAGUACGUACGCUAUUAUUCUUUGUCACUUUCAUGAAAUUUCACAUGCCUUUCUAUUUUAUAUUUACCCAAAAGUCCCAAAAAAAAAAAGUGUAUUUGAUGAUACAUACACGUCACAUGCUUAUGUGAAUUAAAUUUCAAAUAUGCCUUGUGUUAUGUUAUCUUACUCUUUCAGGCAUUGACAACAUUAUAGAACGAGGAAAGAAAUAAACUGCUGCCUGUGCUUCUUCUUGUUGAUUAAUUGUAGUGUAGCCAUCUCGUGAAGUGUGUCCCAUUCCUCCUAUUUUUGGGUGAAAUUCUAUAAUACAAUAGAGGUAUGAUAUCAAUUCCCAACAAACAAAUAAUUUGAUGACAUGUGUGUUUUUAUUUUAAAAAAUCUCCAUGUAAGUGUGAUUAAAUUAAUUUAAUUACACGCAUGCAUUAACUAAUUUUGUUAUUUCUAAUGUAUUCUAGAAUUUGUCGUUAGAUUUUUUAAAAAGCAACAUAAUAAUAAGGUUACAUAAAGAUUCAUAUGUGGCUGCAUAUGGUCAUUACAAAAAUAUACUAUUUGGUGUAGAGAAUAUUGUCUUCCUUGACAAUAAAUCAAACAAAUUAGGUUUGAAUAUGAUUUAUUCAAAUUUUAGAUUUUUCUUUUUAUUAUUAACAAAAUAGGCUAUCUAGUGGUGGAGAUGGUGUUGGCCUAGCCCAUCAAUGAAAGGCUUAUGCAUACUCAUACUCGUACCUUGCCGUGCCCACCCUGUGUUUCAUGCCGUCCUAGGUCGUGCUUUUUUUUUCUUUUUUACUUAGGCCCAGCACACGUACCGUAUCAUAAGUCGCGUUGUGUCGUGCUUAAGAAAAAAAACACGAUAAGUUUUUUUUUUUAAAGAGGGCAUACCAAAUUGUUGGCGUACUUUUUUCUAACCUUUGUACCUUUUUAUGUUCAUGUGCCUUUUGUCAAAUUCAAUAGAAUAAAAAAUUCAAAACUUAAUUUCAUAUUCAGUAAUAAUAAACUAUUAAUAUUAAGAGAAUAUAAUAUUAGUUUUUAAGUGAGACCUUACGGUAUUAGAAUUCUUUUUUACUACUUAACAACAACAACAACAAUAAUUUUUUUAAGGGUUAACUUAAUUGUUAAACUGGACUUACAUAUAGUUAUAAAUCAUAGUCGAUAAUAACAUUAAUACAUAAUUAUAAAAUCAUGAUAUUUAUAAUUUUAUUUAUUAAAAUUAAUGAUAUCAAUUAUUUAUUCAAUAAAUUAUAAAUGUAAAUCAAUUAAAAGAUUCUUUUGAAACUAAAAAUUAAAUAAUUUACAAAACUUACACUAAUAAAAUAUAUUAAAAGAUUCCAUUUUAAAUUAUUGAAUUAAUAGUAUAUGACCGCAACACCUUCAAACUCGCCAACAACAUAUUAAAUCUUAAAACAUUAUCUCCCUCGUCAUUGAUCGAGACAUUCAAUUGCAUGCAUUUACUUCAGCUUAGAUGGUAUUUUCUGAGACGAAAAUAUAAGUGGUAGUGCAAGGAUUGAAUAGCGAAUUGCCUUUAUUUCACUCGGCAAUUAAAUAAAUAAUUUAAUAAAAAAACCUCUUCUUCUUAAUUCUAACAGGGGUGUCUUCAAUUUUGGUUUUAUAUAGCGUGGUGUCUCAAUUUUUCAGCCACUGCAAGCUAGCUCCAUGGCGCUCCCUAUUCCUCUAUCUUUAUUAUUUAUUAAUAAACUAAUCAUCGAUCUCAAGGAGCUUCUCUUAGUGCUUGCUUUAAACAAAAAUAAAAAGAAAAAGAAGUUGCUUGUUGGAAGCAAAGUGUUCGUGCAAAUCUUUGACAUUACAAAAGUAGCUAGCUUUGGCUAUUAUUAAUUUAUUAGGCAUCAAAUACAACCAUUUACAGCAUUAGUUAUAAUGAGGCACCGCCAGUUAGUUGACUUCACAGUAGUAACUUAAAAAUGGUGACAACUCACAAUGUACGUAAUGUGUUCUACCAGAGCUGUGUUCUGCAGGCCAUGGUUCUGAAUGAAAAUCGAACCUAUAACAUUUGUGCUAAAGUAUUGGUCAAAUGUAGGCUUGGCAUGAACCAAGAAUUGAGCUAGCAAACUCUAGAAGCAUCACAACCUUUGCUGUCUAUCUUCACUACUCUUCUAAAACUUUUCUGCAACUUAACCUAAUUCUCUGUCACUGAAUUUAAAUUUGAGAUAACAAUCCACUUCCAGUUUUAGAAUUGUGGUCCCUUAUACUUAAUUUAUCUACUUGUGUCUGAUUUAUUUUUUCAUUUGUUCGUCAUCCCCACUACAAGAAAAAUAGGAUAUAACAACAAGAAUGUAGCCACGUUCACCAGAUGAUUGUUGUGAAAUCUACUUUUUGGCAACGUGCUUAAUUCACGCGCUGUUAAAAAGUAUUAGAAGUAUAGAUUUUACAACAUGAAAUCAAAAAGUAAUGGGUAUGAUUCGUGAUCUAUGAUUGAGUUGGUGGGUUGAGUAAAUGUAUAGCUUCUAAACUUUUAUCUUUGUUGGGUUCUAGUUUAAUAGCAAGAUUUGUCAUUAAAUUUGGGACUUAUUUCAAGCAAUAAUUUAUAGUUAAUACUUUUAGUAUUAAAAGUAUAGAUUUUCUUGACCUCCUAUAAAUCUUUAUCUUUCUAAUUGUGAGUUUUUAUUUCAUACACGCAUGCAAAUGAACACGAUAACUAAUUAUUUAUAAUGGUCGUUAAAAAUGUUUUGAUAUUAAUUCCUUUCCUCUGCUAAAAAAUUUCAACUUCAAUUCAAUUUUCGCUCAAUUUUCAGAAAUUGAUGAUUCAAGAGACUGAGAGAGAGAUAAAUCAUAGAAUAAAAUAACUUUUUGUUAUUUUUUUUUAAUAAUGAUAAAUUCAGAAAUAAAGGAGAUUAAUUGAAAAUUAAGGACCACUGAAAUAAAUACAUGGGGUCAAAUAUCACUACUCUCACAAAACUGUUUUGGCAUGAGAAGUCAAAAUACACGACACACAUAGAAUUUACUACUCAUUACACAACGAGUCAUAAAAUUCAUGUAUCAACCUAAUUUAAUUGAGGGUAUUUUAGUAAUUAUAUACGUUAAGCAUUUGUAUAUAAUUUCAAACUAUCGUGGCACGUGGAGAUAAUUAAAUAAUCAGUCACACUAGAAGGCCAAAAUCAAGGGAUUCGUCUCCUAUGGUCAAUGAUCAUAUUCGAGAGGAAAUAAUCCCUAUCUUGGAGGGCAAAGUUUUGUGCUAUAUUUAGCUCCUUAAGGAAUUUUAAAGUAACUCUUAAGAUUUCACAUUAAUUAUACAAUAAAUAAAUGAUAUUAGAACAUGUGAACAUUUAUUUUUAAGAAUAUACCUCCUCCUGAAGCCAUAAGAAUUAGAGUUGUGCCCUUUCAGAAGUCCAAGUCUAUUAAGAAAACAAUCUCAGCAGAUCCUCAAAAACCAUCAAUCGUUUAUCCCCUAGCCUCAGGAACAUGAUUCCACCAUUUUAUAUUUUAUUAUGAGUUUCUGAAAUUUAAAUCUCUUUUUUAUUUGCUUUUAUUUGGUGUUUAUAUGAUAAUUGUACGUCAGGUAAGAACAUUGUUCAUCAGCAGCUGAGAUUUUCUUAUUUUCUUUGUAUAAUCUUUCGCUUUUCUUUUUUUAAAAGAUUUGGCAUGUAAUGUAAUGAUUUAUAUAAUGGAAACUUAUGAUUUUUUUUUCUUUUUGGUAUCAGAUUGCUAGAAAAUUGAGUUGGAGCAGAAGGCGUGCUGACAAAGUCACUAAAAUUUAGUCAAUGUAUGGGUGCAAAUUUCUUAGUUUUAUAAACAGUUUGUAAAUGUUCAUUUUAAGAAUUUAAAAUGUACAUGGGUUUGCAGGCAGUAAGUGUAUAUAUGUAUAUACGUGUGUGUGUCUGUAUUCAUGUCACUUGAGAAAAGCACAUAAUUAAUUGUUGCGCAAAUUUUAAUAUAGUUGUAAAUGCAUGAGUCUACUAAAGUAUAGAAUAGGAAUAACAAGGUCGUACAUAUAAGAACCGUCAAUUUUUGGGAAAAUAAAAUUUAAUCUAAGUUAAUUAUAAUUUUACCUAGAUGGAAAGAAGAUAUUUUGUUUAAGAAAAUUAGAACUAAAUAGGCAAGAAAAUUAAGAAUUCAAGAGAUUAAUGCUACCAGUAUCUACGAAUCUAACAUAGUUCAACUUAAUCAAUUAAUUUCAAAUUUUAGAACGACAACUCAAAAUCAAUAUAUGUCUAUUGAUAAAUAUAACAAUUAAGUCAAGUGAUUUAAUUUUAUUUAGCCAUGAGCCCAGUUAUAAUCAUUGGGUCUAAUAAGCGGAAUAAAAAUAACAAGUUGGAUCUUUGUGUAGAUAUCUUGGAUCUUUGUGUAAAUAUCUUUUUUUUUUUAAUUUAAAAUUAGAUAUAUCAUCAAGCUUAUUCAUCGGGGCUUUAUUACAUUUCCUUUUAUUUUCAAUAAUUAAUUUGUCAUCUAAUUGGUCAAUAAAUUUGCUUCUUGUUUGUCCAGUACACUAACAUAGAUGCUGUUCAUUAGAAGCAGAAACAGAGCUGUAACAGAGAAGAAAAUAGCUGUAAAAUUAUUUCUUAGGUUUUGAGAUAGGAAUGACGAACCAAAGUUAAAUUGGCCAUAUCAUUCAAGUGUCACCAUUAGCUUGGAUGCUUGUAAAGAUGAUUUGGACCCAUAGUUUUUGCAUAAAAACCUUUGUUAUCUUUACUUUUGUUGUCAAAAUUAUUAGUACAAGUUUCUUAAUGGUAGAAAUAGAACCUAAUCCCUCACAAUUAUAAUUUAAUAAUAUGUUAAUUACCAAACACUAUUAUUUUUCUAUUCAUACCUAGUAGUGAUUUAAAUUUGAAAAGCGACAAAACCAGCAACCAAUUUUCAAUACAUAAUAGACCAAUCUAUAUUUUUAUUUUUUAAGGAGAAAUGUAAGGAUCCAUAAAAAAAAAAAAACCAACAACAUUACAAUGACAGAAUUAGAAUCGAAAAUCACAACAACAUUAUAAUUGCAUUCAGUUUCUACGUCUCCUCCUCCUCCUUGUUGCCUUUUGCUGCGUUCCCAACUUCUCCAGAAUCCAUCCGAUAAUUCCAGUGCUGAAGUUGCACCCGAGAACCAAUCCUGCCACAAGCCCGCCCCCAUAGCCAGUCAGAAUGAUUUUCCAAUCAGAUGCGCUUGAAAACAGAGACUCCUCCGAGCCUUCAUUAUGAUCUUCAUUUGUUGGAGCUUCAUCACUCUCACAUCCUUUGGACAAAGGCCUUCCGCACAAUCCUGAGUUGCCGUCGAAAGAAGUGUUGUCAAAUGUAGCAAAUUGCUUUCCUUGUGGUAUGGGUCCUGUAAGGUAAUUGUCCGAGACAUUGAAGAAUGCCAGAAAUGUGAGCUCAACCAGUUGUUGAGGAAUCCGUCCUGAAAUCUUGUUAUCUGAGAGAUCCAAUGAUUCCAAAUUUGUUAGAUUGCCCAAACAUGACGGAAUAUGGCCUUGGAGAUUAUUGUACUGGAGGUUUAGAACUUGAAGUCCCUUUAAAUUCGCAAUCGAGGCUGGAAUCGCCCCAUCAAAUGUAUUGUUUGAGAGAAUAAUGCCCGCGAGGAUAUCAGGAAUCUUCUUAUAUGUCAUCAUUCGCCCUUUGCUGUUCAUUGUCAUUGAGUAGUCGUAAGUGCUAACUACAUAAUUGGACACUUGUCCAUACGGAAAAAGCACAUCUUGCAGAUAUCUUAGCUCACUUGUAUUGACAAUUUUCAUGGCAUUCCAACACAGGAAAUUCUUUGAUGGAAGCUUUCCAGUAAAUCUGUUGUUAGAUAGGUCAAUAAUGCGGAGUUUAGAAAAUCCACAACCAGUUCUGGGUUCUUCUAUAAUGCCAUAAAAUAUGUUAGAUCGUAGGAUGAGAACAUUCAAGUUUGGAAGAGUUCCUAACCAAGAGGGAAAAGUGUCACUAAUCUGGUUGUUCCCAAGACCAAGAAAUUCCAACUUUGAACAGUUGAUCAAUGAUCUUGGAAUUCUUCCCUGGAGUAGAUUAUGGCUUAAAUCAAUCACACCUAAUCUACUUUCUUUAAUGAAAGUAUUCGGGAUAGUCCCAAAGAAGUUGUUCCCCUGCAAGUCGAGCACUGAAAGUACAUUGCUGAAAUUGCCUAAACACUGAGGAAGCAAGCCACUUAAGUUAUUGUGAGACAAAACAAGGCUUUCAAGAAAAUUCAAAUUGCAUAUCCACGAUGGAAUUUCCCCUGUUAAGCUAUUGUUUGACGCUAGAUAGUUAAUGGUUCCAGGGGGUGGAACGGGGAGUGGUCCUUGUAAAUUAUUAGAGCUAAGAUCAAAAGUUACCAAACCACCUUUAUUCCCUGGAAGAAAAACAGGAUGCUGAUCAAACCCGGUUAACAAGUUAUGCGAAAGGUUCAAGGUAUUGAGAUUCUGCAUAUUGGGGUCUAACAACCAUUUAGGGACUUUUCCCUGAAUUCUAUUGUCAGAAAGGUCCAAGCCCACCAAAUGAUGUUGGUUUUCCAAGAAAUUUGGAAAUUUAGUGAGCUUGCAUGAACUCAAUCCUAUAUAUUGAUGUUUCCGUGAAGUGGUAUUGGAAGUGGCUUUGGUGAGCACCGACAACCUAUUUAAUGAGAGAGCUAAAACUUCUAAAUUUUUCCAGCAAGUAAGUAAAACAUCCAACUCUAUUGUUCCGCUAUAAGAAUUUCGAGCCAUGUCAAGGACGAUAAGUUGGGUAAGAUUCCUAAGUGAAGAUGUAAUUUGACCUGAAAAAUUACAAUUUGAGAUUUGUAUUACUUCCAAUGACCUAAGAUUUCCAAUGGAACCAAGUAAGUCACCCGAAAAAUUAUUAUAUCCAAGAUACAAAAAUUGUAGCCGGGUGAAAUUACCAAUCGAAUGUGGAACUUUGCCCCAAAAACCACAUAACCUCAGAUCUAAUAGCUUCAAAGAACUGAAAUUUCCAGUCGACCAUGGAAACUCACCGGAUAAUUUAUUGACUGAAAGGUCAAGUUUUUCCAAAGAAAAAAGAUUUCGAAUGGAAGUAGUCAACUCACCAAAAAAUCCAUUCUGUGAAAGGUCAAGUUCUUUCAAAGAACCAAGAUUUCCUAUGGAAAUAGGCAACUCACCAAAAAAUCUAUUUUGUGAAAGGUCAAGUUCUUUCAAAGAACUAAGAUUUCCAAUGGAAAUAGGCCACUCACUCGACAAAAAAUUUGCAGAGAGAUCCAGUUCUUCCAAUGAAUGAAGAUUACCAACGGAAACAGGCAGCUCACCUUGUAAUUCAUUUAGUGAAAGGUCUAAAUGAAGGAGCUUGGAUAGAUUACCGAGUGAUGAUGGAAUUCUUCCUGAAAUUUGUAUAUAUAAAAAAAAAGAACACAUUGCUUAAGUAGAAAAUUAAAAAUAAUAGUAAUUUUUACUAAUGAAUUUAACAUCGCAAUUGGCAUUUUUCGAGUAAAAUAUAUGUAUUCAACAAUAACAUGCACGUAUAUUAAUUAAGAAGAAAUUAUAUAAAAUUUAAUUACCUUGCAAUUCACAGUUUCGAAGAGAAACAAACGUCAAAGAAGAUAGAUUUAUGAUGUUAUGAGGUAUUGUUGACUGAAUACAAACAUCACCAAGGUCAAGUGUUUUUAGAUUGCUUAACUUCUCUACUAAAUUUACGAAACUGGGCUUCUGAAGUUCAAGUCUACCGCCAGGAACAUCAUUUAGUGAUAAAUCAAGGGACACCAAGUUGGAGAGCUUUAGAAUUUCUGAUGGUAUUUGGCCAGAUAAAGAAGUUCCAGAGAGGUUCAAGUAUGAUAACUUCGAAAGGUUGAUGAUUUCUGGUGGGAUUUCGGAGGAAUUAAAGUCAUUCAAAGCAAGAUUAAGCCACUCGAGAUGGACAAGCUUGAAAAGGCUGCUGCUAGAGUUGAUAGAACCAAAAAGGCAGCUAUGGGAGAGGUCAAGCUUGACGACAUGACCAGUGUUCUUAUUGCAAUGAACGCCGUCCCAAGAGCAGCAAUCAAAGUUACCUUCUUCUGGCUUCCAUGAUGCCAUUGUAGGAUGACAGUCAAAUUUCCAAGCAUAAAAAUCACUACUGAUGCGGCUUUCUUUGAAUUGCAACAAAGCAGAGCGCUCAUCAUCAUGGCAGAGUGGCAGCAUAGAAGAAGCAGUGAAGUUAGCAAUUGUAAAAUUAAAGAAAAAGAAGGGAAAAACUAAUCGUAUGAAUAUUGUGAAUAAACAUAUAGAGGAUAAACCCAUAGUUUUCUCAAAAAUAAAAUUUGUUUAACUUUGUAGAUGUGAAGAAAUUUAAGGAUCUUGGUUACCUUUUAUAGGCAAAUUGCAGCAAUUCAAACAUUAUAGUCAUUGGACUCUUUUUUGUUUUUUUUUUUAAGUCAACAAAAGUUAGUCUUAAUAAUAUUUAUUUUUUAUUAUUUGAUGUGAUGUCGUAAACUUUCACCAUUCCUUUGCCACCGAAAAUAAGUUUAUAGCAAACGUGAGGAUUAAUUAAUUAGCACAGGGAAAAAAUGAAAAUGAGUAAAUGAGUAGUACAUUCAUUUUUAUUUUUGUUUGAAAAAAAUGAAAAACAUAAUUCCGAAGUGGUCCAGACCACUUGAAAUUUAAGAAAAAAAAUGAUUAAUAUUAUUUGGAUAUGAUAUCAACUCAAAAUUCAAACAAAUCUUACAAACAACUGGCGAAAAAUGGUGAAUUCCAUUCCUUAACCGAGGUUUAUUAAAUUAAAAAAAUAAUGAAAAAUAGAUGAUAAUUAAAUUAAUUUUAAUGGAAACAAAGUCACAAUAGUAGAAGUGACAAUUUCGGCACGAUUAACUAAUUAAUCAGACACAAACACAAGACAAAUUAAUGAAUUUGGAUUUACAAAAUUUGACAUGAUUUUCAACUUAGAUCAAUUAAAAACCUUUCAUUUCGUAUCAUCGGACCCACUAUUAAUCAUCAUAAAUUAUAGUGAACAGACGAUCAAUUUCAGAGACUCAAGACUAGUAAUAAGAAGUCUUUGCAUGCUCUGUACAUAUGUCGUGUCAGAAAAUUAUUUCUUAGUUUUUAGCAUAAGAAUGACGAAAGAGUGAUGUAUUUUUGGACACUAUUCUUAGUCAACUAAAAUUAAAAUUGGUUCCUAAAAUAUAACCAAAAAAAAUUUGAACCCAAAAAAAGAAAAUAAUUUUUUAAAAUAUAACACAGAUAAUAAUGGUGAGAGUAAUUUAGGUCAAUUCAAAAUCGCUAAUUUGGAGUCGGAUUCAUGUAUUAAUUGUAUCAUAAGUUACUGAAAAUUGCAUGAAUGGCGUGGAUGCAAAAGUAAUCGCUAAUUUGGAGUCAAAGUCAUGCGUUGAUUGUAUUUGUAUUGUCUGUAUGACUAGGGCGUGGCAAAGGCUCAUGGAAUAAAUCUGCUUCUUUUUUCUCCUUUCCCCACUACCACCAGUUCACUUAACUUUUCCUUCAUGGCGUGCCGAAUGAGAUCUUCUACUCCACCAGUGCUUGUGUGUUUGUGUUUCAUUUAGUCAAAGUCAUGCGUUGACUGACAACUCGAAGAGCCUGUUUGGGAGUGUGGUGAGGUAGUUGGGCAACACUUAUAGCUAGGCUUUGGCAACUCAACAAUUUUUUUUUCAGCUGUAAAUUAAAUUACUAAAUUAGCCUUACAUAUUAUUCAAUUUCAAUUUCAUCCUCCUCAUUUUUUAACUUCAUUUCAAAUCAAUUUUUUUUUUUUGUGAAACAAACCCUAAACGCCCAUUCUCAUCUGCACGAUUCCGACUGUGGCAGUUCUAAUUGAUGCAAUUCCGACACCGGCCACUCUCAUACGCCUCUGUCAGUGGUGCGUUUUUCUUCACCCGUUGUUCAUUUUUUAGUGCUCCUUUAUUCUAUUACAUGCAAUUUUUCAUUUUCUUCCUCUUUGUUCAUAAUAUGUUGGGGCUUUUGUUUAGAAUAAAUUGAUGGGUGAUGGGUCAUGCGUGAUUUAUUUGCUGCUUGUAACCACUGUUUUUAUUGUAGAUUUUAUUUUUGUAGUUGCUUUUUGUAGACAUGCACAGCCCCUGUUUAAUGAAAUUCCCCUAAUAAAAAUCCAUCUCAAACUUCUUUGAGCAGAGUUCAUGCCCUGAUAUUUUAACAAGUUUCAAUUUUUUUUAUAUUUACCUGUGGAAUUUGUAAUAUAUAUUAUGCACUUAUGAGUGGUAUCGGUUGUUUUCUUAAAGUUUGUGUUUAUGAUAGCUAUUAUCUGGGUUGUGUUCAUUUGCCUCAAAUUCUGUAAUUUUGAUUUGAGUUUCCUGUUCUUUGUAUAAUGGCAAAACUCAGACUUUAGAUGUAUUUCUUGGUUAUGAUGAUUGUUUAGUUGAAUUUCUUUGUUUCCUUGUCUGGUUUGUCUUUUGUUGCUUUAUUGAAUUGCUUGUAAUUGUUUCUGUUCGUGGGCUAUGAUCAUUAUUGUUUGCUGGAAAAGUAUUUCAAGUAAACUAAGUGUUUGAUUAAAAGUAUUUCAAGUGAAGUAAGUAACAAUGUAUUAUAUUUACAAUGUAUAUGAAUUAUUGCUAUUGAUUUAUUUGUGCAAAUUUAAUUAAUUAUGCAAAUUUUUCUGAAAGAUAUUCUUGAUUAUAAUAUACAUCCAUUGUUCUUACCAUGAGGCUUAUUUAUGGAAAAUUUUCUGGACUAUUUGCUUGAGGAAAAAUAAAAGCUUCUUCUUUCACACACACACACAUAAUUCUUUUAGUAUCCAUAUAAUAGCAUUGAAAUGAUUAUUAAUAUAUCUUCGAAAAUUAUGUCUUAACUUUCCAGCAAGCUCUGGCUUUUGGCGUAUAAUCUGCUUCACAAAAUCCACAUGCCCAAGCAUACAUAAUUAAUUACAUUUUAAUUUUAUUAUGCUUUGUUGUAUGAUCUUUAUUAGAUAACCAUAUCAUGUACAAACCGAAGCAAAACUUUCAAAAUAGGAUCUUUAUUGAAUGGAUAGAUAAAACACACUAAAAAAUAUGAUAUUAUCUAGAGUUUUGUGGGGGAAAAAUAAUAAAUAAUAAAUAAAAAUAUUCUACUGGGAUAAUUUUCAAAAUUACAAUAAAAAAACAUUAGUUAAUAAAAAGUGCUAUAUCAUCAAAGCAAAAUCAGUUCACACACAUGCAAGUUUUGACUGAAAAAUUACAAAAUAUAACAACAUUCAGACAAACCAUUGCCAGCAAGCAUUUUUUAAACAUUGAAUAAACCUGAUGUUAGAAAUCGAAUUCGAAAGGGAACAAAGCAGUGAAAUCCUGCAAUUCAGAAAAAAAUUAUAAAAAAAAAAGCGGACAUACUAAAUUAAAUAAUUGAGCAAUUUGGCUCACUAUUUUUCAAUCAAAACUUUUAAUAUUUUCUCUUCACUUUCUAGGCAAACAAACACAGCAACAUCUUUUUUAACUCUUGAAAUCUUCCAGCUCCGGUGCAAGCCUCAGUCACAAUGUAGUCACUUGAUGGCACAUCUUCACCCAGACUUUUCAAUAAAGUGAAUUAAAGCUUUUAGAACGACACAUAAAACUUUAAAUUGUUCCUGUAACACACAGACAGUCUUUAGUUCGGUAUCAUAAAUUCACUUUCUUAUAAUCUCAUUAAUAUACUUUUUGAACUUUAUUGUGAUCUUCAUUAGGCGUUAAUUUUUAUUUUUCCUUUUUUAUAAAAAAAAAAAAAAAGCUCUUCCGGAGUCAUUGUAAGAUUCAUGACAAAUACCUGUUUCCGCUGGUAAUCAUGUACAUUGGAACAACUUGCAGACUCUUCUUAGAAAAAUUUCAGCUGACAUCAGCGGUUAAGUCCCAAUGUACAGGAUCCAAACACAAAUUUAACACAUCAGUAAACCAUUAAAAUAUAAAUAAAUAAAAAUAAAACUUGAAGACUCUUCUUAGAAAAAUUUCAGCUGACAUCAGCGGUUAAGUCCCAAUGUACAGGAUCCAAACACAAAUUUAACACAUCAUAACUUGUUAACCGGGUUUGAUCAGCAUCCUGUUUUAGGUCUUUGCGUGUUCUAUGCAUAUGUCGUGUCAGAAAAUUAUUUUCUUAGACAGGAAUGACGAAGGAGAGAUGUAAAUAUGAACUCCGUUCUAUGUCAGUCAACGUUAAAUUCGCCAUUCAUUAUAAUGGAUGUUUAUAUCGCUAAUUUGGAGUCAAAGUCGUGCAUCAAUUUAGGUAUUAGUCUUUAGUAAAUCUGCUUCAUUUUUCUCCUUUCCCCACUACUACCAGUUCAAUUAACUUUUCCUUCACGGCAUGUUGAGUAUUCCGUAUCCUACAGCAGUGCCUUGAAUGAGAUCUUUUACUCCAUCAAUGCUUGUAUGUUGUGUUUCAUUUGAGGAUUAGAUUUCCCAGUACGUAGACAGAGAACUCUGGCUCUGUUGUCCGAUGUCUCUGCAUUUUCUUGAACUCUCUACUCUUCCUCGUGUAAUUAAAGAGGAUUAAAGUAAAAGAAAAGGGUAGAACCAGUUCUCCCUAUUUGUUGCACUAGCUAUCAGAUUUCCAUAUUAUACUAAUUAUUGGCCAAAAACAUAUUUUUUUUAUUUAAAUUGUCAAAAAGACUUUAAUGUUCUCAUCCUAAAAUAAGUUCCAUUAAAGCAAUUAUAAUAGUUAUGGAAUGUUUAUAACUAGAAUGAGUGCUCCUACUUAAACUAGUAAAAUCUCUUGAACUAAUUUAUAGGUUCAAUCCUGCGCACAUGAGUAAGGAGAGGAGAGGGCAUUUGUUUAAAUUUUAUUGUAUUGAAUUUCGCACUUUCAAUACUUCUACGUAGUUAUUACGAUUUCAUCAAGUUUACGAUGCCGAAGAGCCAACCAUGCUUGAUCAAACAAAAUUAGACCUCACUAAAUCUGAUAAUGUAAAUGCUAUAAUUUCAUUAACUUUCAAACGGCAGCUAACAGUUUAGUGAUCUGCAGAUAGCUUUUGUCAAUUUAGGAUGGACAAUUUUACACCCUCAAAAUGUUGUAGUAUUUUUUAUAAUAUAGCAAAAAUAGGGUAUAAGAAUGAUAACUUCCCAAUUUUUAAAAAAAGUUACUGUUAAAUUCAAAUUGUAAUUGUAAUUGAAUUUAAUAAUUUUAAAUCCAAUAAAAUUUGCCACAUAUUGAUUUAAAUUUAUAUUAUCAUUACUUAACGUCAUAUUAAUUUUCAAUUGUUGAGUAUACUAUUAAAUACAAUUUGUUGAAAUUUAGAUUGUUAAUUUUAUAAAGAAGUUUAGAAGGAUUAUUCGUGUUGGAGAUAAAAAUAUGGUUGGACAAAUAGAAGCUUGAGAUAAUUUAAUUACAAUUUAAGUACCCCUAUCUAAGGAAGAAAGUGACCAAUUAGGUUGUGCCACGUAUCCAAAAGAUUAAAGAUGCCUUGAUGCAAAAGGUCGGAUCCAACUCACAUUCAUCUUUUUCCUUGAGAUGGGGUUACUUUCUUCACAAUAUUGACUUGAUUAUCGAAAUACCAUCACUGACCACUACCAGCAAUCGCCCUCUAAUAGCCUUGUAAAUAAGAAAUUAAAAUUUCAACAUAAAUAGAGAUACACAAAAUAUAUUAAUUUGACACAAAAUAUUUCUGCUAUUAGUAAAUUAUCAUCAUUAAUAUCAAUACCUUACUUUAUCUUUUAAUCAACAUACAAGUGUUAUCAACAAUGUUAACAAGUAAAUUAUGUAAAAUUAUCGUUAACAAUUAAUUAAACAAAUAAAAAUUCAACUUUAGUAAGAAAUCAUUAGGUUCAAGUGACUAAAGUAAAACAAACAAAAUCUAUCAAUUAAAAUAAGAUAUCAGUAAUAUUAAGUUUAAAAAUUAUAAAACUUUUAGUUAUUAAAAGCUUAUUUUAUGUGUGUGUGUGUGUAUGCUGCGCUGAGAUAAGUUAGGUUUAGAAAUUAAGAACUUUAGCUGACAUUCAUUUAUGAUUAAAUUUUUUAAUGUAAGUUUUAUGAUUAAAAUUAAAAAUAUAAAUAAUUAAAAUAAAGAAUGUAGGCGUGAGUAUCCAGUAGAUUUUUUCUCAAUACCAAAUCAACUCGCAUCCUGCAGCGGAUUUCAAUUUAAAAUACUAAACCCACUCACAACCCAGAAAAUUAUUCACAGCAGGUAAGGUUUUAUAGACGAAUUUGGACUGCUUUGUGGGAUGAUGAAUAAUUUUGCCAUCCUUGAACUCAAGGUUCAUCGUUUGCAAGGUCCCUCAUAAAUCAAGCACCCUCUUUGGUGGCUCUAUUCUUCAAAGCUGAACUUUCCCGCCAGUUAUCAAAGUUCACCCUCAAGAUAGCCUGAAAGCUACUUCCUUAAAUAUUUUAGUUCAUCUGAGGCUUGACAAAAAAUGAGCUAAAAUAACUAGUGUCUUUUAUGCCUUAAAAUAUUAAAUUUGAAAAAUCAAAAAGAGUUAUUAGGAAAAUAUAAGGUGCAUUUAGUAUAGUUUUUGUUUUGUAGUUUUUCAUUUUCCUAGAAUGAAAACUAUAAAAAAAUUUUUUUAGGUCUAUUUUUUAAUAGUAAAUGUAUCAACUGAAAAAAAGUUGUUCUUGUUUCUCAACUUCACAAAAGAGAGUGCAGAACAGAAAUUGGCAUUCUCUACUAUACAAACACACACACUACUUGCCUCACUUUUGUAGCUUGGAACCAUUGCCAAUAUUUAUUAAGCUUUUAACCCUCUAUUUCUUCCUUUUUUUUUAUAAUAUCAACACAAUAUUUUACUAUUUACUCAUAAAUUUACGGUUUCUUGUCAGAUAAGAUUUAUUUUUGCUCCAACAUUUUGCAAUUUUAUAGAUAUUCUUAAAUUAUUUUUUAUCUCAUUUUUUAAAAAUAAAAUUUAAAAUAGUCAAAUAAAAUUUAAAUUGUAUAAAUUAUGAUAAAAUAAAUGAACAUUUUUAGUUCAUUAAAGAUUAGACAAUUAGAAAAAUAAUUACAUUUAUCAUUAUCAAUUUAAAACAUGAUAAUUUCUAAAAUUUUAAAUAAAUAAAUAUACAUAUUUAAAAAAAUUACCUACACAUUAUUCAAAAAGAAAUGUUUUGGACAAAAUACUAAAUGUAUUUUCAUUUUUUUUCAUAAAUUAUAAUUUAGAAAUAAGCUACCAAAUGUAUCUUCAAAUAUCGAAACAACCCAUCAAAAACAUCAUCUUUCUUCUGCAAAACAAGUUUAGAAAACACCAAUUGAAAAACAAUACCAAAUACAACCUAAAUGUUUGGUACAAUUAUUUGAAUUUAGUUUAGAUUAUAGAACUGUAAAUAAUGAAAUAUAAAAAAAAUAUUUUAAUAUUCCAAGUAAUUUAUUUAUAAUAUUAUAAUAGAUUUAACAAAAGAUUAUUGAAAAAUAAGUGUGAUUUGAUUAUUUGAUGGUCUCACUUUAAUAAAUGAAAUCUUGGAAGUUCAAGUCCUCUUCUCAUAAUAUAUUCCAUUUUAACAGACUAAUUCAACAGAUAGUUUGUCUCGAAAAACACUAGCGGGCCAGCCGGCGGGCUUGAAACAUUAGCCCAAUAUAGCAAUCACCGUGAACUUCUAAAGCAAUAUUAUCUUGUCAUCCCCUCAAAGUUUGCUGAAUAAAAUAAAUAAUUAAAUAAAUUCAGCCCAAUAUGGCCAUCUCUUCUUGGAAUAUAUUCCAUUUAUUGAAGGACGAACUAAAUAUAUAAACAAAUACCCACAGAUGUUUUUAAUUAUCAUCAAAUUAACAGGACAUCACUCAUAAGCUGACAAAUUAAGUAGAUCGAUCAAACCGCCUUGUAGUAUGAAUGAAAAUGAUUGUUCAUGAAUUAAUCAAAUGAAUUACCCUCUGGUUUGUUGGAUGACAAAUUCAAUGAGCAUUUCUAUGUUGCGAUGAGAAGAUCUGUUAGGAAAUUGGUGGGUAAAGCAGACACACAGCUAAGUUGAAAUUGGUAGAAACAAUAAAGAACAAGCACAAUAGAGGACACAAGAAAAUUACGUGGUUCGGCUUUUAGCCUACGUCCACAGGCGAACAUAGAAGGAAAUAUUUUACUAGUGAAAAGGAGUUACAAGUAUUGUAGUAUUUUAGCUCACUACCCAAAACCCCAAUACACCCAAACUCUCAAAUCACUAUAACAAGAGCUUAUAAAUAUAAGCUCUUAAACUCUCUCUCAACUCCCUAAAUUGCUCUCUAAAUGGAAUGCCUUUGCUCAUUCUCUUCGCUUUUAUUUAUAGAGAAAGCUUUGGCACUAUGCAGCAAUUCUAUAUUAUUUUUACGUUCUUUUUUCUUCUUUCAAAUGUCAAACCCGUGUGCUCCUUUUCCUUUCCAACUUGCUGCAAAAUUCCUCUUCUUUGAACAACAUGGAUACUGACUAUCUAGAUGGCUGUUUCAAACCAUCUAGAUGGCUGCUUUUGACAAGAUCCACCAACUCCAAUAGCACGAUUUGCUAUCUCCCCAAGCUGCCUUGCUCUCUUUCUCCUCUUCUCUCCUUGUUUGCCUCUAUCCAUCAGUUUUUCAAUAGCUUCUUUAACUUUCUCCCUCUUAAUCACUAAACCAGAGUUGUCUUCCAAACCCCAUGUCACUGUAGCCUCAAUUCCAACACUCACUCCAAUCCCUAAUACUUGCGCAGCUAACUUCUUAUUAUAAAAUUGCUCGGCAAACAAAGGGUAUGUUACUAACGGCACUCCCGCACUCACUCCUUCUAGUGUUGAAUUCCAACCGCAGUGUGUCAAGAACCCUCCAAUUGCUCGAUGAGAUAAUAGCAACACUUGAGGUGCCCAUCCCCGAAUUAUAAAUCCUCUCUCUUUUGUCCUUUCCUCAAAUCCUUCUUCUUGGAUCCACUUCUCUAAACCUUGUGAUCUUUCACCUCCUCUUAUUAACCAAAUGAACGGCUGAUUGAUGCUUCUAAGCCUGACCCAAGUUCUAAAAGUUGCCAAGUAGCAAGGCCACAUAUACGCCCAAGACAAGGGUAAAUCACAGACCCAGGUUCCCAUGAGUCAAGCCAUUUCAAGCACUGUUCAUAAUCAUCUUCCGUUGAUCCAUUUUCACCUCUGCAUCUCUCAGCUUUAUCUGUGUUCAACUUAUACCGGGCCAAUACACCAAACCUUAUCACCUUUGGUCCUUGUAUAUUCUUUGACAUAUUCUGCUUCCAAUUCUUCGAAAGUAUUAACCACAAUUCCAUCUGCUGAUUGUUCUGCUCCCCUGAUUGUCACACGCUUCAAUUGGAGGGUUUUUAACACAUUGUGGUUGGAACUCAUCUCUUGAAGGGAUAUCAGCCGGCGUACCCAUGAUCACAUGGCCACUUUUUGGGGACCAAUUUUGGAAUGAAAAGUUGAUUGUGCAAGUUCUAAAUAUUGGGGAGAGGAUUGGUGUGGAAGUUCCCUUAGAUUUUGGGAAGGAAGAAGAGAUUGGGGUAUUGGUAAAGAAGGAAGAUGUUGUAAAGGCUAUUAACAUACUUAUGGAUGAAGGAAGGGAAAGAAAUGACAGAAGAAAAAGAGGCAGAGAAUUCCACAUAAUGGCAAAAAGGGCAACAGAAGAAACAUGAUCUUCUUCCCUCAUGAUCAAACUAUUAAUCCAAGAUAUCAUGCAACCGCCGCAUGGUGAUGACCAACAUAUAUAACGCAUGAGAGAUUAAUUGCUUAAUUUGUUUCAUGCGUACUUGCUUCUCUUUUAUUAUUAUUUUUUUUGAGAGGUUAAUUCACUUAUCUAUUAUGGUACUAUUGUCAAAUCUGUCCUCAUCCAUUGAUCAGACAUGCAUUAUUCCCUGAUUAUCAAGGAAUCUUGGCCGAGCACCUGUUUAUAAUUUUAAUUAACUCAAACCAGUUUGUAGGGUAUCAUCAAUAAACAAAUAUAAUGAUUUACUUGCAAUUGACUGCAUUAAAAUAUAUUCUUUUAAUGUUUAUAAUUAUAAGUUGUACUAUCAAAAAGUUAUUGUUAAAUUAAUUAUAUAUAAAUUAAUUAAUAUCAGCCAAUGCAAUGUUAGAAAAGUUCUCUUAACUGCCCACUAUUUGACCGAACAUUGACCAGCCGCCAUUGCUCUAGUGGCGGCUGGUGGUGGUGAUUUGCCAAUACCGGAACCACCCCACACACCGGUGACUUCUCCUUUGGCCGGCAACAACCAUCACAACUGCACUCACACCCAAACCGAAGGCCAAAAACGUGUUCGCAAUCUCAAAUAUCGCCCAUCGCCGCCGCCACACCUGUUACCAUCGAUAAGGACCACCUUCUGCCAUUGACCAUCUCCUCAGCCCAAUCUCGUACAGCUACUGCUUUGAGAGAUAAUGCUGGAUGGGCUGAGAUAGCUAAGCCUUCUUCUUCUAUUCAGGAUGAUCUAAGUAUUCAGAGGGUUUCCACUGGUACUACUUUUUUCUGAGCUGCAGGAUAUUCGAUCCAUGACUAUGGGUUUUAAUUCCCAUUAUACAGAUAUUCAUUUUUAGUCGGAUGAGGAGCUUAGCUCUGAUGAGAAUCUUGUGGCUGAUGAUUAUUUUACGUCUUAGCCUGAGCAUUCUGAAGGGCGUGAUCUUGACCCCAACUUCAAUGUUGUUGGUCCACAUUCCUCUUGUUCGAGAAAAGAUUUCGCAUUAGUUACUGGUCACAGGUAUAGUAGGCAGUCUUAAGGCAUUUGCAUUAAUUAAUUAUCUUUAACUUCUUAUUUGUUCUCAUAAUGUUUUUGUUAUUUUUUGGAUUUGUUGGCUGUGUUGUUAUUUUGCUUGGAGCUUUUAGUUUGUGUCCUUCUCCAUAUGUACUUUCUUUUGUUUCAAUAGUUUACAGGUAAGAGGGUCCCGCCUAACCCGCCCACCUUAGGGUGGUUUUAAAUUAAAAAAGGAAAAUUAUCAUUUGUGUGAAUAUUUAGAGUCUGAAAUACUAUUUUUUCUUGUUUCAUUCAUUCUACAAGUUACACUUAAAUAGAAUGCAGAAAAUAAACUCCUAAAAAAUAUCCCCUAAUUGUAGGAUACUUAUCUAAACUUGAAUUUAAAAAUAAAACUAAUUAUCUAAAACUUUAUUCUGAUAAGACUUUAAAACUAACUGAAAAAUCCUAACUUCUCGAUACUCCCUCUCAAGUUGGUGUGUAGAUGUCAAUCAUUCUCAACUUGCUGCAAGAUGUCCAAAGUUAAGUGUGACGAAUCCCUUCGUUAGGAUAUCUGCUAUUUGUUGUUUUGUUGGAACAAACAAUAGGCAGAUAAUAUGAUUCUCAAGUUUCUCGUUGAUGAAGUGACUAUGAAUUUCGACAUGCUUGGUUCUAUCAUGUUGCACUGGGUUAUGUGCAAUGCUGAUUGCUGUCUUGUUGUCGCAGUAUAACCUUAUAGGUAGAACUGUAGGUCUUUUCAAAUCCUCUAGAACUUGUUUUAGCCACAAUACUUGACAAAGCUCAUGUGUCAUAGCUCUAAAUUCAACUUCAGCAGUACUUCGUGCAACUACAUUUUGUUUUUUACUCCUCCAAGUCACUAAAUUACCCCAUACAAAAGUGCAAUGGCCUGUAGUAGACUUCCUGUCUGUAAUUGAAUCUGCCCAAUUAGCAUCAGUGUAUACCUCAAUACCUCUAUUCUCUGUUUUUCUAAACAAAAGUCCCUUUCCUAGAGUACCUUUUAGAUAUUUGAGAAUUUUAUAAACAGCUUCAAGAUGUUCUUCCCGAGGAUGAUGCAUGAAGCGACUUAUUAUAUUGACUGGAAAAGUGAUGUCUGGUUUAGUAAGAGACAAGUAAAUAAGUUUUCCCACCAAAUUUUGAUAUCGUCGUAGAUCUACUAGGGCUUUUUCUCCUUCACCUAGUCUUAAAUUGUACUCCACAGGUCUAUCCACUGGCUUACAGCCACUCAUUCUAGUUUCCUUCAAUAAAUCAAGGAUGUAUUUCCUUUGUGAGACAACUAUACCUUUCUUGGAACGAGCAACUUCCAUUCCAAGAAAGUAUUUCAAGGCACCUAAGUCCUUGAUUUCAAAAUCAGUGGCUAGACUUUGCUUCAAUCUAUCCAUUUUAACUAAAUCAUCUCCAGUAUGAAUAAUGUCACCCACAUACACUAUAAGCACAGUGAUUUUACAUUUAGCUGAAACUCUAGUGAACGUUGUAUGAUCAGUCUGACUUUGUCUGUAACCUUGUCUAUUCACAGCCAUAGUAAAUUUCUCAAACCAAGCCCUAGGCGAUUGUUUGAGACCAUGCAAGGACUUUUGCAAUUUGCACACAUUUGACCCAAAAUUUUCAAAGAAACCAGGAGGAGGAUCCAUGUAUACUUCCUCUUUUAAAUCCCCGUUGAGAAACACAUUUUUCACAUCCAACUAUUGUAAUGGCCAAUUUAGGUUUGUAGUGAUAGACAAGAGAACUCGUACAGUGUUUAACUUUGCUACUGGUGCAAAGGUCUCUGAAUAGUCAAUCCCAUAAGUUUGCGUAAGCCCCUUUGCCACUAGGCGAGCCUUGUAUCUCUCAAGUGAACCAUCUGAAUUGUAUUUGACAGUAAAUACCCACUUGCAGCCAAUUGUCGACUUUCCUUUAAGCAAAUUGACCACCUUCCAAGUCUGAUUCUUCUCAAGAGCAUUCAUCUCUUCAAGGAUAGCUGCCUUCCAUUAGGUACACUUAGAGCAUCCUGCACAUUCUUUGGAAUUUCUACACUAGAAAGUUGUGAGGUAAAUGCAUAGAAAGAAGGUGAUAGGUUGUGAUAUGAAACAAAAUUAGACAAUGAGUAUUUGGCACAACUUCUAGUACCUUUCCUAAGAGCAUAGGCAUGUCCAGAUCACUAAGAACCUGAGAAUUUGAAUUUAACUCACUAGAAGGAUUAGAAUUUGAAUUUAACUCACAAGGAGGAUUAGAAUCAGAAUUACCUGAGGAAGAAGAAGUUUGAUCUGACCUUGGAUUGGAAGAGUAGAAGAGGAUAUAAGAGGUCUAAUUUUGUUUGUGAGAGACCAUUUCCGGGUUGGAAAACAUUCUCCAACCCAGUGGAACUCAAUGAAUUCUUGUGGUCCAAUUAGCCAUAAUGGAUUUGGCAAUGCAGGAAUCUCAUGGGGCUGGGAGAAACAAGUUUUGUAAGCAGUUAGGUAUAUAAUAUAGUUAGUAUAGGUAGUCUGGUUUAUCAUUAAGUUCAUUUAUUGCCCUGUGUCGCAAGUAUAUAAUACAGAUGAAACCAAUUUGAGGAAGUACUGGUCGUGUUUGCAUCAUGUUUAGUUUGUUUAGUAGACCCAUCCAAGGUUUUGAAAAUUGUUUGAUGUAUUGGAAGAUGGGCAUUGUUGUAGUGCUGGGUAUCUAUGUUGACUUUGUUCGCUGGCUUGGAAGUCUUGAAAGAGUUGAGAGGAUCAACCCUCAUCAAGAUGAUUGAGGUUUUCGGAUGAGUCUGGAAAGUUUGAUGUGUUACAUAAUUUUGAUCAAACAAUAAUGUGAGGUUCUCUUUCAGUAAUUCCCAUAUUCUCUUUACUGCUUAGGAGUUAUUACGUUGAUGAAGUUUAUUAGCUGUGUUGCAUGUAGGUCAGCAUACACAAAUAAUGUUGGUGCAAGAAUCAAAUAACAUUGGUAUAAAAUCAAAUAAUAUUGGGCAGCAUAGAGGUGAAAUGAAUAUCACACAGACACACACAGUUUCAAAAGCGUGUAGGUUUUUUUGGUCUUUUAUCUAAAAUUGAAUACUACUUAUUAUCACCAAUUUAAAUGCAUCAGGUUAUUUUUUCUUUCCACCUUCAGAUUUAUUUUUUUUUUGACAACUUUCCACCGUGAGAUUAAUUGUGAGAAAUUUGCAUUAAUAGAGAAAGUAGAAACGAUUUGAUUUUUAUCUGGAAAAAAAAAAGAAUCAAACUGAAUGUCAUAAUUUUAUUUAUGAAAGAUAAUCUUAUCAAUUUAUAUAAUAAUUGAUACGCAUAUAAAGUUUUGUCCCUUUUUUUUAUUAAAUAUUAUUUAAGCAAAAAAAUCAUAAACAAUUUCGUUUAAGAGGAAAAAAAACACAAAUUAUGUAGUUUUAUAUCAUCAAAUAAUGUAAUUUUUUUUAAAGUCUAGCUCAAUGGCAACUAAAUCUAUUCUCCACCCUUAUGAGCCAAGUAAACAAAAGCUCUUGUUUGUAAUUAAAUUUGUAUAUUUUUUAGGGAUUAAUUAUUUGCUUACAAAUGUUAAAAAAAAUGAAAUGCUUAUAUAGGGUUAAAUACAAAGUUAAAAUUUCAAAUGACGUGUUAUUAUCAAUGACUGACAUGUAUUAAGUAAUAUUUGACGUUUUAUACUAUUAUUAAUGAGAUAAUUUAAUAGGAUUGAUGAGAAUGAUUCCUCAUCGUUAAUGAAUAAACAAUAUAUUAAAUACCACAUGAUUCGAAAUACAAAUUAUAUUUUAAAAAAAAUCUUUGUAAGCAUAUAUUACUCCUUUUUUAACAACUGAAAUCAGUUUUUUUUUUUUUUUACAACAGAGAAGAAAAAUCAUCCAAAAUAAUAUACUAAAUUAGCACAAUUGGGACAAUUAAUCAUCUCUAUGGAAUGUCUAAAAUAUACUAAAUCUUAAGUUACACACUCAUUUGACGUCAUUUUUUUUAUCUUUUUUUUUUCCCUCAAAGUCACCAUCCGAUAUUUUAAGGCAACUUUCAAUUUGGUAUAUCAAAAUUAUUUAGGGGCCAGUUUAAUAUAAAUUGACGAAUUAUUUCUUUAUUUAUGAAAGUAUUUAAGGAACUUUAAUGUUGUUAUCAAUUUUCCAUCGUAUACUUUAUUGUUAAAAGAUUUCGUAUUGGAUAUACUUUAAUCCAAACAUAGCUUUCGAAACUAAACAAAUGGAGUUUACUAACUUAAUUCCCUGUUUGUCUUGAGUAUUCGUUUAAAUUACUAAUCAAUUGUAACUAAACAAAUGGAAUAUAAUUAAUUAAUCAACUAAUCGCCACAUUAACCACUCUUUAAUUUAUAUAAUACUGUUUAAAUCUCGGAAUCUUUGAGUAAAAACUAUGUUGUACAUCAUAAGUUCAAAGUCCACCAUUACAUUAACCUUCCAACCGAUUUGAUAACUACCAUUCGCUAACAUGAUUAAUUUUCUUAUUACUAAAAUUUUUAUUAUCAUAUCUUUCUAUUUUUCGCAUUCAACGAUUGUAUGGCGUGAUGCAUGUGGAAUUCUUUUUCGUUGGGACUCAAAUCAUCCACCGUCUGAUCAUUUACCAUUUGAUGUUGGAAUGCUUGGGUGGCCAAUUUUCGUCAUCGAUUUACCGUCAAUUAAUUCGUCACAUUUGUAAAUGAUUUGCACCGACGCAAGCUGCCGAGUCCAAAUGGAUAAAAACACAAGACCGUGUUUGGCAAUUUUUUUAAUGACACGUGGGGUCUGGGCCGCCUGGCCUGCGUGUAUAAAAUAAGAACAAACAAAAAACUUUAAAAAAAAAAAAGAAGAAAAAGAAAAGAAAGGAAUUAUUGUGCCUAUUUUGCAGUCUUGUUCGAGGUGGAAUAAAGCAACAUCGCAACAACAUGGCUGUUAUGGACGUAUCACUAAAGGGACAUUAAAUUAGAUUCUUGUAAAAGUUUUUGACCAACAUUUUCUAUGAAACAAUUUGAUCCCUUAUGAAUCUUAUACAAAAUAUAACUUCAAAUUAUUUAAAUGGAUGAUCAUUAGACCAAUCAUUUUAAACAUUUGAUAAUAUUUUUUACCUUGUUCUUUUUAUGAGCAUAGUUUUUUUUUUUUUUUAAGAAACGAUUAUCAAUAUCCUAGUCUAUUGCUAAACUGCUUAAAGUGUAGAAACUGCUCGAGUAUCAAUUUUUUUUUUUUUGUAAACUAAGUUUUAUCCAAAUAUGAUUUCUUUAUCCAAAUACAAUCAUAUUUGUCGGUGAAAUGAUUAUUAUUAUUUAUUUUAAUUUAAAAGAAGCAUCUAAUACAAAAAUAAUCGAUUAUCAAGUAAAGGACAAGAAUAGUGUAGAAACCACCAAUAAAAAGCCAAUAUUUUUAGCUCACGUGGCUUGUGCACGUAAGCAAAAAGUUCCAUGAUGAAUAUUUCGUGAUUUCUAAGUUCUCGUGCCCUGCACGUCAAAUUUAUUGCCGUCACGGGCAACUAGUUUAGUGCCAUUUGGCACUUAAUUACAAGCUCGCUUCUCCUUUAACCAUAUUGUUUGAUUGCAUGUACAAAAAAUAUAAUAAGAAACUUUUUUUUUUUGCAUUAUUUUUGAAUGAAUGUAUUGAUUUCUCUCCUUUAUUAAAGGCUUUGUCUUAGAAUAUAAAAUACGCGGGAGGUUGCCAUCUUGCUUUAAUUAUAUGGUCAAGACUUGAGGGUGCACGAUGGACCUACCCGAUCAAUCAAUCGAUCAAUCUCAAUGGCGCUAAGACCACAUAUUUUACACGUGACAGAGUGAGUGUUCACACACUUCUCUUUAGGCAUUUUCUCUCGAAAUAGCCCAAUCCAAAUCUAAGAAUCAAGCACCAGGACAUAAGCAGAGAGCUCUAGGGCCAAGGCCUCAGAGGGGUUGGCAAAAGUCGAAAAGUAGACGGAAUGUGUUUCUAGUAGUAUGAAGCAUAUGAUAUAGUAGUAGUAAUUGACAAGAAUAUUAACUACCAUUAGCUCCCUAUCAGGAUCUAUAUGAGUUAAUCUAUAAACAUACACACAGAAAAGCCGAUAAUGCAAUACUGCAACCUUUCUCAUUGCUUUGUUAAGUAUCAGAGAGAAGGAUUGCCGGCUGCAGCUUUAAACCCCUCAGGCCGUGGUGAGAAAAAUUCCUUCCCCAGUCUUUAACAGUAGAUGAAUGAGACCUGUUUAUGGUAUGAUAAUGAGUCAAUGUUAUGGAAGAGGCGCGAGUCUGAACUGCAAUCACCAGUGUUGGUUCCCAUGUUCAGAGCCCAGAAUUUAUGAUCAAACUUUAUUGCUUCAUAUCUUCCAUAUCUUCAUCAGAGGCAGGAUUUUCAACCUCACUCCCGCCACUUAAGUCAUCGUCGUUGCCUAAAGGUGAAAACUUGUCACUCGUGGUGUUCUUAUGAAAAUGACACUUAAACGGCAGAGCAACCAUGCUUGAUGAAUGGAAAACGGCAGAGCACUUUCAAUAAAUGAAAAACAUUUAUUUGAGGAAAAAUAAUUCAAUUGUGUGAGAGAGACCAGUUACGUAGGCAGUUGCCCACCGAGACUGUUAGUUGGUCAUGUUUGAAAUUUGACACUAGAGUUGUCUGUCAACUACGUCUUCACUUCACUUGAGCUUUCGAAGUUAAUGCCACGUGGACAUGAAUAAGAAUAAUAAUAAUAAUAAUGAGGAGUCUACUUCGUGGUUAUUAGAGUUAUGCCUUUGCUUUUCCUGCACCUUAGGGAUAUGGGACUAACUAUGAACACCUGGAUGGAGCAUAGGUAGGUAUGUGCAAAAUCCUGGAAUAUCACUUCUAGGAAGACGUCCAAAUCUUGAUCACUUGUUGGAACAGGUAGGGAUGCAAAUGGCUUUUCAAAUUGUCAUUUUUGUUAAUGUAGGUCCUAGAUUCAUGGUUUUCUUAAGAUUUUAUAUCAUCUUAGCUUUAUGCAUUUAAUGACCAUUUAAUGAGGAAUAAGGUUUAUUAUAUCCCCUAAUUAAUUGUGUUAAGAUUAUUAUUUAUAAAGUUGACAUCUUACGGCAAGUUUAGUAAAUUAAAAUUUUAUUUACUGAAUAUUAUGUAAUAGGGUUUAAUUUAUUAAAUUCCUAACUAAUUUAGUGAAAUUCAAUUUAUUCAGAAUAUUGUUUUCUAAUUUAAUUAGAUGUUUAAUUUAGCAAGUCAAUUAGUGACAUGAUUUUAUAAUUGGUGCAUAGGAUUUAUUUAGAGGAAGAAGUUGGUUUAAACAGAAAGUUCAUUAAAUACUCUAGAUAUUUCUUAGGAGACAAGCAAGGCAAGCAUAUCAUAUUUAUUUCUAUUUAGAUUUAUAGGAAUUAUAAGAGAAAAGAAAUUCUUAUUUGGAAAAAAUCCUAGUCUUUUAACUACAGUUUUAAUAAAUUUUUUCACAAAAUUUUUUCACAUCAGCUUCAUACUCAUCAAACAAUAUAUCAUAUUUAAGCCAAGAUUUAUCCACUUUUUGUUUAGUACUUGACAUAUAAUUGAAACACAUUUCAACAUAAUGUACUAAUAGGCAGCAAUGAUAAACGGUUUCCAUUAUCAAUAAAUUAAGAAACAAAGCAUUAUUAAUAUUCAGUUUAUAAAUUUAAUGAAAUAAUUAAAUUAAAAACAAAAACUUGUCAUCAUGUGCAACAAAUAUAACUUCACCAACGUGCUAUCAUCGUUUACCAAAACCUCUAACUAACAAUACCCACUAAUAAUAUCCUAAAUAAUUGAGCCCACAUACAUUUAACAUUUAUUUAAAAAAAAAAUUCUAACAAUCUGGUAUUUCAUAGACCACAAGACUAUAUAUAUAUAUAUAUAUAAGCAACUAAACAUUCCUUGGUCCACAUGACCAAACUUGCCCCCACAAGGUACCAUUUCUUUCAAACAUAAAAAAAACAAUUGAAAAAGGAGCCUCACUUUUUAACUCAAUAAAAUACACUAGAAAGUAUUAUCAGUUACCAAAUCUAACUCACAAUCAUUCAAAAAAUGUCAACACCAUUGGACCUUAGUUUUGGAUCCAUCCCAAUAAAACACACUAGUCAAUGACAAAGUGCUAUAUCAUCAAGCAAAAUCAGUUCACAAACAUGCAAGCUUUGACUGAAAAAUUACAAAAUAUAACAACAUUCAGACAAACCAUUGCCAACAAUCAUUUUUUAAACAUUGAAUGGAAAGGCAGUAAAGAAUUGAACAAACCUGAUGUCAGAAAUCGAAUUCGAAAGGGAACAAAACAGUGAAAUCCUGCAAUUCAUAAUUAAAUGAUUGAGCAAUUUCUAGAUUUAAUAAAAGGAUAAAGUAUAAGCUUCUUGAAUUAAAAAAAUAAAAAAAUAACAAAAGAAACAAACAAGAAUUUUAAAAAAUAAUAAUAAAGAUAAACCAUUCAUGAUAGAAAUCCCAAAAAAAAGGCAUAAAUUAUGAACAAAUAAGGGAGAUAACAAAAAAACUGACAAUUAAUUUUAUAAUGCCCAACUAGUUUAUUCAAAACAAAAAAUAAAAAAGCUAAUUGACAAUAAGCCUAGGGAUUCAGCAAUUACAAGGAUGGCUUCUCCAUCGCCAAUUAAACAAUGCAAAGAAUAGUGACAACGACCGCUUCAACAGUGGACGUGUUGAUCGAAGGAGCAACAAUGAGCAUAUAUGAUGAUUUUGUGCCUAAAAAAUUAUAAUAAAGUGGUUGCUUCAAUAGCAUAUACGAUCAUUUUGGUUUCCAUGCAAUGGAUUUCAAAACCAAUUUGUAGAUUAAAGUAGGGCUUGUUAAUUCUGGAUUUUGAGGGGUUUCAAUGCUUAGGUUUCUUAGCCCUUGCCGAUGGAGUGAUGAAGUCAAAGGAGCUGAAGUGUUUAUUAACACCUAGAAUAUCACUACCACAAAAUUGGUCUUUUACAACGGUUUUAAAACCGUCAUUGUCAUCUUAGGCACUGACAUUAAAGAGGGUAUGUUUUUAAUUACGGUUCACUAACCAUCAUUAAAUGUAUAUUUUUAAUAACAAUUAUUUUUUAAAAUAGUCAUUAUUUAUAGUAAUUAUAUAUGUUUUGAUGACUGUUCUUUCAUAUAACUGUCAUUAAAUGUGCCAUUUUAAUGACGGUUUAUUAUAAGAACCGUCAUUAUAUAUAUGUUUUUAAUGACGGUUUAUUGUAAGAACUGUCAUUAUAUAUAUAUAUAUAUCUUUAAUGACGGUUUAUUAUAAGAACCGUCAUUAAUUAUUGAACAACAUUUUAUGACGGUUUUUAAAAAAAAAACUGUCAUCUUUGUUUCUGAACACUACAUUUGAUGACGGUUCUUUUGAAAUAACCGUCACCUUUGUUAUUUAUUAUUAAAAAAAAUAAAUGGGAAAUUUCAUACUAUUUCAAGCCCCAUUUUAAUUCUAAUUUCAUAUUAAAUUCUUUACAAUUAUUUUUCCAGAAACAAAAGGAUGCAAAUGUUUCAUAUACAAAGAGAUAGCUUUACAAAAAUUCUCACAACUAUUUAAUAUCCACUAAUGACUGCACUAGCAACCAACAAGAUUGGCAUGCGUGAGACAUCUAAUUUCUCGUCAAGUCUUCAAUUGCAAACAAGUCUCACCAGCGUCAGCAAUCUACGUUAUUCUUACAAAGGAUAAAGAGAAAUUAAGAUAUAUUCAUAUAUUAUAAAUCAUAAAUAUUAAAUCAUUUUAGUGACUUAAGUUGUAAAACAAGACUUUAAAGUACCAAAUCACUAUUAAUUAAUAGACUUACCUAAGUAAGUUUACCAAAUCCUUCUGACUUCUUCCUCAUAACGACCGUCAUCACCCAAAAGUGAGUUUCAUGCAGGCAUUGUACAUUUACCAGCUGAAUUUGUAAAUGAAAUAGGGAACUUUUGUCUGGUUAGUGAUUAAGGGGACUCAACUUGAAAGAAAUAUUCCAAAGCCAAGUUAAAAGAUUGUUUUGUGUACAAGUAAAUUGGACUAAUUGUCAUACUAAUUAAAAAAAAGUGAUUAACUGUCAUACAACUAUAGGAAACUAACACAAUAAAGUUUGUCCAAUACUAUGGAAAUGGUACCACUGCAAUAUGGCAGAAAAAGAAAAAAAAAACUUCUGCAUUAACAGGACAAAAUAAAUGAUAGUUCAAGCAGGUCUUUCAACAAAUACCUUCAAGAUGUUUUUGAUUUGCAUCAAAAAUUACAAAUGCAACCAAGAAACCGAUUCCCUAAAUCACAGUUAGAUAUGAAAAUAUGAAAUUAAAAGUAACUAAAUACUUAAUCACAGGGAACUAACUAAUCGAAGCGGUGGAAUUAAAGCAAUCGUAUAAAAACUUCAGCCAACAAAGAAUGCAAAUAUAUUAUCAAACAACAAAGACUCACAUGGUAGAGUGUUUUCUUCAGCGAGUGAUGGCAAGGCUAGGGUUUAUCUAGUUCGAUGGUGAUUGAUGGAGAAGGCUUUAAUUUCAAGCCUUUAAGGAUUGGGUUUUCUUCGACGGCAACGAUUUGGAUAUGGGUUAGAGUUUUCAUGGGUAAGAGGGGUAUAGUGUUGACUCCGGCGUAGUAAAGAGCGAGCAUGAGAGAGAGGGGUUGUUGGUGCUGGCCUGCUGUUGCCUGUGCAUAAGAGCGUGCGUGAGAGAGAGCGGCUACUAGUGGCCUGGUGCUGCCAUGCUCGACUGCUGCUGCACGGGCUCAGUUUGCCAACGGCGUGCGUGCUACUGAGAGAGAGGGUCUGCGUGCGCGUGUGCUAUUAGUGUUUACAAAUUAUCUGUAAUUUUAGUGAUUUGUUGUUUGUAUAGGGUGGGGUUUUUUUUUUUUUUUUUUAAAUAUAUCAAUGACGGUUCUAUAAUAACCGUCAUUAAUUUGGAUAUAUAAUGACGGUUGAUUUAUUAAACCGUCAUUAAAAUUAUUCACUUUCACAUUAAAAUUUAAAGUAUUUUAUCUACAUAUAUAAUGACCGUUAUAUAUAACAACAGAUAUUAAAAAUUAUCACUUUUAAUGACGGUUUUUUAAGAACCGUCGUUAAAUAUAGUCAUUUUCAAUUAAUUUUUUUCAAAACCAUCACCAAAAUUAAAACUAUUUUUAAGUAUGUAUAUAAUGACCGUUUCAUGUAAAAACCAUCAUUACAAAUUAACACUAUUUUAAUUACACAUAUAAUGACCGCUGUAUAUAAAAAGAGUCAUUAAAAAUUAAGACUAUUUUAAUUAUUUAACUAUACAUAUAAUGACCGUUGUAUAUAAAAACCGUCAUUAAAAAUUGUCAUUUUUAAUGACAGUUCAUUUAUUAAAACUGUCAAUAAAAUUAAGACUAUUUUUAACUACACAUAUAAUGACUGUUGUAUAUAAGAACCGUAAUUAAAAAUGGUCACUUUUAAAGACGGUUUUUAUAAAUGAACCGUCAUUAAAAUUAAGUGUAGAUUUUGUUUGACAUUUAAUGAUGGUCCUAUUACAUAACGGUCAUCAUAAGUGCUACAAAUUAUAACUGUUUGCAUAAUAACCGUCAUAACUUAUGGGUCAUUCUUUUAUAUUUUUGUAGUAGUGAAUUUUCUUGUAGUUUAAAGUCUAUAGUAAACGACAUCGUUUAGAAGUUAAAUAAAUAUUUUUAUUUUUAAAAUUUUUUAAAUUAUGAAAAAUCAACAUAUGGUGCCGUUUCAUGCCCAAAUUGAUCUAUCCUAAACUCACCGUUUCAUUAAAUAUUACUAUGCUAUCAUAUUUCUAUGAUAUAUAAAAACUCUAUCACAAUUUGUCAUGCCUUUAUGAUGUAUGAAAAUUCUGUCAUGUGUCUAUCAUAUUCUUGUGAUAAAUAACUAAUUUUCUAAUAUCUAUCACAAAAAUUCUGUCAUUUUAGCCCAUUAUUCUAGUAGUGAUAUUUAUCCAACUGGACUACAAAGUAAUUGAAAUUAAUUGUAACACCUAUGGACAAAACUUGGACCCAGUGUUAUUUUAUAAUCAAAAUUGAAACCUAUAAUUACAGUAAACUUGAAUCUGAAUCAAAUGGGCAAAUGGGGACAAAUGCCUUCUCUAGGCUCUAACCAUGAAACAAUAAUCAAAUCGUCAGACUUCUAAAAUAAGCCAAUGACACAUUACUCACAAACCCAUCUAUUAACAUCUUCAAAGCUUUGGCACUGAAACUUAAAAGAGAGAUUUGUGUUAAAUAGCAUUGAAAGUAAACACAACAGCAAUUAUAUAUAGCAAAGAUUAGUGGGAAAAAAGAUGUAUUAAAAUUGUUCUUGACUCCCAAUUCUGCCCGAAUAAAAUAAAUGAGCAUAACAAGCAACCGGACCACAGAGAAAGAUAUCUCCAACACCAUAAGCGGUGGCUUCUGAAAAUGCAUUCUGGUUGCAGCUCUAGUUCUUCUCACGGUACAAGUAUGCGUACUCAUGGUAACAGCAAAUCCAAAUGCAGCAAGAAGGAUGCUCCUCUUCCCAAUCAACAAAAAAGUAUCGUCAUUCAUUAUGUGAAAAAUUUUAAGAUCAGAAAUUGGAGGCCAAUUGUGUUCGGAACUCUGAUAUUUUACUUCGAUCUAUGCAAAACCAAAAAUGAAAAUGAAUACUCGAGCAAUAUUCAAAUAUCGAAAGAGCAUAUUUUCAUAAUUAAGUGAGGAAAAAAAUUUUCAGUAUCAAUUAUCAUCAACGGGUUCUUGAUGUUAAGAAUAAGCAUUAAAAUGAGCUGUUCAGGUCGUCUGAUGAAUCAGCAAGCUGUUAAGAAGGCUGUUGCUUUGCUUAAGAAGCCUCUGGACAUGUAUAUAUAAAUCCCUGUAAUCUCUUGUUACAAGCGGCCGAGGUCACGCUCAUGAUUUUGUUGCUUAUAGAAGCUCCUGGACAUAAACCCCCGUAAUCUCAGUUCAUUUUGUAGCUUAAUGAAAUGAAUUUGGCUCACUAUUCUUCUAUCAAAACUUUUAGUAUUUUCCCUUCACCGCAAACAAAUACAGCAACAUCUUUUAACUCUUGAAAUCUUCCAGCUCCGGUGCAAGCCUCAGUCACAAUGUAUUCACUCGAUGGCACAUCUUCACCCCGACUUUUCGGUAAAGUGAAUUAAAGCUUUCAGAACGACGCAUAAAACUUUAAAUUGUUCCUGUAACACACAGAAAGUCUUUAGUUCGGUAUAGUAAAUUCAAUUUCUUAUAAUCUCAUUAAUAUACUUUUUGAAUUUUAUUGUGAUCUUCAUUAGGCGUCAAUUUUUAUUUUUCAUUUAAAAAAAAAAGCACUUUCGGAGUCAUUGUAACAUCUUUUUCUGUGUAAAUAUCUUUUUCUUUUAAUUUAAAAUUAGAUAUAUCAAACUUAUUCAUCGGGGUUUUGUUACAUUUCCCUUAUUUUCAAUAAUUAAUUUGUUAUCUAAUUGGUCAAUAAAUUUGCUUCUUGUUUGUCCCGUACACUAAUAUAGAUGCUGUUUAUUUCUUAGGUUUUGAGAUAGGAAUGACGAAGGACAGAUGCAGGGGCACCGUUUUAAGUUAACCAAAGUUAAAGAUGAUUCGAACCCAUAGUUGUUGCAUAAAAACAUUUGUUAUCUUUACUUUUGUUGUCAAAAUUAUUAUUAUUAUAAUUUUUUUAAUGGUAGAAGUAGAACCUAAUCCCCCACAAUUAUCAUUUAAUAACAUGUUAAUUACCAAACACUAUUAUUUUUUUAUUCAUACCUAGUAGUGAUUUAAAUUUGAAAAGCGACAAAACCAGAAACCAGUUUUUAAUAUAUAAUAAACCAGUUAAUAUUUUUAUUUUUUGAGGAGAAAUGUAAGGAUCCUACAAAAAAAAAAAACCACCAACAUUACAAUGACAGAAUUAGAAACGAAAAUCACCACAACAUUAUAAUUGCAUUCAAUUUCUACGUCUCCUCCUCCUCCUCGUUGCCUUUUGCUGCGUUCCCAACUUCUCCAGAAUCCAUCCGAUAAUUCCUGUGCUGAAGUUGAACCCGAGAACCAAUCCUGCCACAAGUCCGCCAGCGUAGCCAAUCAGAAUGAUUUUCCAAUCAGAUGCGCCUGAAAACAGAGACUCCUCUGAGCCCUCAGUAUGAUCUUCAUUUGCUGGAGCUUUAUUACUCUCACAUCCUUUGGACAAAGGCCUUCCACACAAUCCUGAGUUGCCGUCGAAAGAAGUAUUGUCAAAUGUAGCAAAUUGCUUUCCUUGUGGUAUCAGUCCUGUAAGGUGAUUGUCCGAGACAUUGAAGAAUUCGAGAAAUGUGAGCUAGUUGUUGAGGAAUCUGUCCUGAAAACUUGUUGUUUGAGAGAUCCAAUGAUUCCAAAUUUGUUAGAUUGCCCAAACAUGACGGAAUAUGGCCCUGGAGAUUAUUGUUCUGGAGGUUUAGAACUUGAAGUCCCUUUAAAUUUGCAAUCGAUGCUGGAAUCGCCCCAUCAAAACUAUUGUUUGAGAGAAUAAUUCCCGCUAGGAUAUCCGGAAUCUUGUUAUAUGUCAUCAUUCGCCCUUUUCUGUUCAUUGUCAUUGACUAGUCGUAAGUGCUAAGUAUAUCAUUGGACGUUUGUCCAUUUGGAGAAAGCACAUCUUGCAGAUAUCUUAGCUCACUUGUAUUGACAAUUUUCAUGGCAUUCCAACACAGGAAACUCUUUGAUGGAAGCGUUCCAGUAAAUCUGUUGUUAGAUAGGUCAAUAAUGCGGAGUUUAGAAAAUCCACAAUCAGUUCUGGGUUCUUUUAUAAUGCCAUAAAAUAUGUUAGAUCGUAGGAUGAGAACAUUCAAGUUUGGAAGAGUUCCUAACCAAGAGGGAAAAGUGUCACUAAUCUGGUUGUUCCCAAGACCAAGAAAUUCCAACUUUGAACAGUUGAUCAAUGAUCUUGGAAUUCUUCCUUGAAAUAGAUUAUGGCUUAAAUCAAUCACGCCUAAUCUACUUUCUUUAAUGAAAGUAUUUGGGACGGUCCCAAAGAAGUUGUUCCCCUGCAAGUCGAGCACUGAAAGUUCAUCACUGAAAUUGCCUAAACACUGAGGAAGCAAGCCACUUAAGUUAUUGUGAGACAAAACAAGGCUUUCAAGAAUAUUCAAAUUGCAUAUCCAUGAUGGAAUUUCCCCUGUUAAGUUAUUGUUUGAAGCUAGAUAGUGAAUGGUUCCGGGGGGUGGAACUGGGAAUGGUCCUUGUAAAUUAUUAGAGCUAAGAUCAAAAGUCAGCAAAUCACCUUUAUUCCCGGGAAGAACAACAGGAUACUGAUCAAACCUCGUUAACAAGUUAUGCGAAAUGUUCAAGGCAUUGAGAUUCUGCAUAUUGGGGUCUAACAACCAUUUAGGUACUUUUUCCUGAAUUCUAUUGUUAGAAAGAUCCAUGAACCGCAAAUGAUGUUGGUUUUGCAAGAAAUUAGGAAAUUUAGUAAGAUUGCAUGAACGCAGUCCUAUAUACUUAAGUUUCUGUGAAGUGGUAUCAGAAGUGGCUUUGGUGAGCACUGACAACCUAUUUAAUGAGAGACCUAAAAAUUCCAAAUUUUUCCAGCUAGUAAGUAAAACAUCUAACUCUAUCAUUCCUCUAUAAGAAUUUUGAGCAAGGUCAAGGGCGGUAAGUUGGGAAAGAUUCCUAAGUGAAGAUGUAAUUUGACCUGAAAAAUUACACUUAGCGACAUUUAUUGCUUCCAAUGAUCUAAGAUUUCCAAUGGGACCAAGUAGGUCACCUGAAAAAUUAUUCGAUCCAAGAUGCAAAUAUUGUAGCUGGGUGAAAUUACCAAUCGAAUGUGGAACUUUGCCCCAAAAACUAGAUGACCUCAGAUCAAAUAACUUCAAAGAACUAAAAUUUCCAGUGGACCAUGGAAACUCACCCGAAAAAUUAUUGAAUGAAAGGUCAAGUUUUUCCAAAGAAAAAAAUUUCGAAUGGAAGUAGGCAACUCACCAAAAUAUCCAUUUUGUGAAAGGUCAAGUUCUUUCAAAGAACCAAGAUUUCCCAUGGAAAUAGGCAAUUCACCAAAAAAUCUAUUUUGUGAAAGGUCAAGUUCUUUCAAAGAACUAAGAUUUCCAAUGGAAAUAGGCCACUCACUCGACAAAAUAUUUGCAGAGAGAUCAAGUUCUUCCAAUGAAUGAAGUUUACCAACGGAAACAGGUAGCUUACCCUGUAAUUCAUUUAGUGAAAGGUCUAAAUGAAAGAGCUUGGAUAGAUUACCGAGUGAGGAUGGAAUUCUUCCUCAAAUUUGUUAAAAAAGAAAAAAGAAAAAAGAACACUCGAGAUGGACAAACUUGGAAAGGCUGCUGCUAGAGUUGAUAGAACCAAAAAGGCAGCUAUGGGAGAGGUCAAGCUUGAUGACAUGACCAGUGUUCUUAUUGCAAUGAACUCCGUCCCAAGAGCAGCAAUCAACGUUACCUUCUUCUGGCUUCCAUGAUGCCAUUGUAGGACGACAGUCAAAUUUUGAAGCAUAAAAAUCAUUACUGAUGCGGCUUUCUUUGAAUUGCAACAAAGCAGAGCGCUCAUCAUCAUGGCAGAGUGGCGGCAUAGAAGAAGCAGUGAAGUUAGCAAUUGUAAAAUUAAAGAAAAAGAAAGGAAAAACUAACCGUAUGAAUAUUGUGAAUAAACAUAUGGAGGAUAAACCCAUAGUUUUCUCAAAAAUUAAAUUUGUUUAACUUUGUAGAUGUGAAGAAAUUUAAGGAUCUUGGUUUGCUUUUAUAGGCAAAUUGCAGCAAUUCAAACAUUUUAGUCAUUGGACUCUUUUUUUAUUUUUUUUAAGUCAACAAAAGUUAGUCUUAAUAAUAUUUAUUUUUUAUUAUUUGAUAUGAUGUCCCACAAAAAAAAAUUGAUUUAAUGUGUUAUUAACAAUCUAUCCAGAAAAAACAAUUCUUUAAUAGGAUCUAUCGAACUUGACCUAUGUUUAUAUUUCCUUUCAUUUUCUAUAAUUUCAUUUUCUGCAUUAAUUUGCUUCUUUUUGUUUUUUUUUCUCCUUUCCCCGCUUGUAUUUCCCUUCACGGCCAGUUGCGUAUCCUGCAUACUCGAGUUUAUGUGAUUGGCUUGAUGACUUUUCACUACAACUCAAAAAAAAAUUGAACCCAAAAAAGAAAACAAUUUUUUAAAAUAUAACACAGAUAAUAAUGGUGAGAGUAAUUUAGGUCAAUUCAAAAUCGCUAAUUUGGAGUCAGAUUCAUGUAUUAAUUGUAUCAUAAGUUACCAUCUCUGUGUCUAUGGCGUGGCAGAGGCUCACGGAAACUCCAGACUAGUGAGUCUAUCGUUACUGAAAAAUGCAUGAAUGGCAUGGAUGCAAAAGUAAAAAAAUUUGGAACUGAUGAUUAAGCCAUUAGCUAACAAUAAUUAACUUCUGAAGAGGCAACGUCCCACCCAAAAAAAAAAAAGAAAAAAAAAUGAUUUAAUGUGUUAUUAACAAUCUAUCCAGAAAAAAAAAAAAAUUAUUCAAUAGGAUCUAUCGAACUUGACCUGCGUUUAUAUUUCCUUUCAUUUUCUAUAAUUUUUCAUCUAAUGGGUCAAUGAAUUAAUUUGCUUCUUUUUUCUUUUUUUUCCUCCUUUCCCCACUUGUAUUUCCCUUCACGGCCCGUUGAGUAUUCUGCAUACUCGAGGGUAUGUCAUUGUCUUGAUGACUUUUCACUACAACUCUAAAAUUUUCCUCCCCAUGGCAUGUUGAUAUUAACUCCAAAUUAGCAAUAUUAUCACUGUCACUCUUCUUUGUAAACUACGCACUCGUUGGUUGAGUGAUGACACCUCCUCAACUUAAUUAUUCUCAGGGUCAAGAAUUUGAGUUUUACUCCUAGAUUUCUUAGCCGAUCUGCCAAUGCGCCAAUUUGUAAUGAGCUUUAGCUGAUGGUUUCUGAGAUGGGCUCUAAUUAGUGCACCUAAAAUGCAACAAAUAUCUCACGUUAACAACCCAAAGUUCCAUAAUAUCAUGCAAAAUCAUUCUAGAAGUUAAAAUUAGGUGUUAAUCCGAUACAAACACCAGAAAAAUUAAUGAAAUUUGGAUUUACUAAAAUUGCAUGAUUUAUUAAUUUAGAUCAAUUAAAAAUAUUUCAUUUUAUAGUGUCGGAUUCCCUAUAAGUCGUCAUAAAUCAUUAUCCAGACGAUCAAGGCCGGCGGAUAAAGACUCAAGACUAGAAUUAGAAGUCUUCGAGUAUCAAUCAUAUGUCGUGUCAGAAAAUUCUUUCUUAGUUCAAGCCAACUAAAGUUGAAUUCGCCAUAUCAUUAUAAUGGAUGUUAAUAUUGCUAACUUGGAGUCAAAAGUCAUGCGUUGAUUACAUUUGUAUUGUCUGAAUGACUAGGACGUGGCAAAGGCUCAUGGAAUAGAUCUGCUUCUUUUUUCUCCUUUCCCCACUACCACCAGUUCACUUAACUUUUCCUUCACGGCAUGCUGAAUGAGAUCUUCUACUCCAUCAGNNNNNNNNNNNNNNNNNNNNNNNNNNNNNNNNNNNNNNNNNNNNNNNNNNNNNNNNNNNNNNNNNNNNNNNNNNNNNNNNNNNNNNNNNNNNNNNNNNNNNNNNNNNNNNNNNNNNNNNNNNNNNNNNNNNNNNNNNNNNNNNNNNNNNNNNNNNNNNNNNNNNNNNNNNNNNNNNNNNNNNNNNNUUAAAUUGUCAAAAAGACUUGAAUGUUCUUAUCCUAAAAUAAGUUCCAUUAAAACAGUCAUAAUAUUUAUGGCAUGGUCCUACUUAAACCAGUAAAAUCUCUUGAACUAAUUUAAAGGUUCAAUCCUGCUCACAUGAGUAAGGAGAGGAUAGGGUAUUUGUUUAAAUUUUAUUGUAUUGAAUUUCGCACUUUCAAUACUUCUACGUAGUUAUUACGAUUUCAUCAAGUUUACGAUGUUAAUGAUCAAACAGUACACUUUCUAAACUAACUAAAAUAGUACCUAGCUAGCUAAUUAGAUAACGGAUUAAUGGAAUAGAUGUGGAUGUCUAGUUUUAGAGUUUGAUUUUUUUUUUAAAAUUAAUCAAAGAAAACAUAUUUUUAAUUUUGGGUUAUUGUACUAUUAAUUAAUAAUUUAAUUAAAAAAAUUUAUUUAUUUGCUUUCAUUCUAGUUGUUGAAAAUGCCUUUAAUAGGGGUUGGUUCAAUAUUUGGUUAGACUCUGAUUUCAUGCCGGCGAUCCAACUCCUUCUCUUCAUCCCUCUUUGACCAUUUGCAAUGUACUUGCAUUGCAAAUGUCUGUAGUCAAACUUGGGUCUUCAAUGUACUCACAUCCCUUGGUAGGAUUUCUCUCCUUCAAAGAUUAACGCUCUUUCUUCUCGAGAUGCAAAUGGCUUUUCAAAUUGUCAUUUUUGUUAAUAUAGGUCCUACAUUCAUGGUUUUCCUUAAGAUUUUAUAUCAUCUUAGCUUUAUGCAUUUAAAGAGUGAGAUUUUAUAUCACCUUAGCUUUAUGCAUUUAAUGAGGGAUAGGGUUUACUAUAUCCCCUAAUUAAUUGUGUUAAGUCUAUUUUUUAUAGAGUUGACAUCUUAUGGCAAGUUUGGUAAAUUGAAAUUUUAUUUACUGAAUUUCAUGUAAUAGUGAAAUGGCCCGCCCCGAACCCCAGGGUGAGUCUAUUUAAUCUCAUCAAAACUGGAUUGAUAAUAAUCUAAUUAGUGAAAAUUCUGUCGAAAAUUCGGCAAAGUCUCCUUUAUAAAUAUAACACUCCCAAUCUGAAAAUAUGUAAAACAAGCACUUCCAAAAUAAUUCAAUUUAUAAUAAACUCCAAUGAUCAACAUCCUCAACCAAAAUGCUGAGUGUUUCUCAAGAUAUCUCUAGAGUCUCAAAGGAUAAUAUUAUAAUUAAUAUUAAUAUACCUCAGUUUAUUCUUAAUCCCAAAAGAACAAGAUAACCAGGAUGUCCUAACAAAAAGCAUCUAUAUCUUCUAACACCAUCACGUGGCCAAGACUCAAAAUACUUCUGAAGAGGCAACGUCCCACCAAAAAAAAAAAAAUUUUGAUUUAAUGUGUUACUAACAAUCUAUCCAGGGAAAAAAAAAUUCUUUAAUAGGAUCUAUCGAACUUGACCUGUGUUUAUAUUUCCUUUCAUUUUCCAUAAUUUGUCAUCUAAUGGGUCAAUGAAUUAAUUUGCUUCUUUUUUUGUUCUCCUUUCCCCACUUGUAUUUCCCUUCACGGCCAGUUGACUAUUCUGCAUACUCGAGUGUGUGUCAUUGUCUUGAUGACUUUUCACUACAACUCUAAAAUUAUCACUGUUACUCUUCUUUGUAAACUACGCACUCGAUGGUUGAGCGAUGACGCCUCCACAACUUAAUUAUUCUUAGCCGAGCUGCCAAUGCGCCAAUUUGUAAUGAGCUUUAGCUGAUGGUUUCUGAGAUGGGCUCUAAUUAGUGCACCUAAAAUGUAACAAAUAUCUCACGUUAACAACCCAAAAUUCCAUAAUUUCAUGCAAAAUCAUUCUAGAAGUUAAAAUUAGGUGUUAAUCCGACACAAACACCAGAAAUAUUAAUGAAAUUUGGAUUUACUAAAAUUGGCAUGAUUUUUUAAUUUAGAUCAAUUAAACAUAUUUUUAAUUUUUAUAGUGUCGGAUUCACUAUAAGUCGUCAUAAAUCAUUAUCAACAGACGUUCAAGGCCCGCGGAUAAAGACUCAAGACUAGAAUUAGAAGUCUUCCAGUAUCAAUCAGUCUUAGGUGAUGGCAAGCUCGAUUUCAGUCAAGUGGUUUAGGUCUUUGCAUGUUCUAUGCAUAUGUCGUGUCAGAAAAUUCUUUCUUAGUUCUAAGCCAACUAAAGUUGAAUUCGCCAUAUCAUUAUAAUGGAUGUUAAUGUUGCUAACUUGGAGUCAAAGUCAUGCGUUGAUUGCAUUUGUAUUGUCUAUAUGACUAGGACGUGGCAAAGGCUCAUGGAAUAAAUCUGCUUCUUUUUUCUCCUUUCCGCACUACCACCAGUUGACUUAACUUUUCCUUCACGGCAUGCUGAAUGAGAUCUUCUACUCCAUCAGUGCAUUUAGGAUUCGAUUUCUAAUUUGUCCGAAGUCUCUGCAUUUUCUUGAACUCUCUACUCUUCCUCGUGUAAUUAAGGAGGAUUAAAGUAAAAGAAAAGGGUAGAACCAGAUAUUCCUAUUUGUUGCACUAACUAUCAGAUUUCCAUAUUAUAGUAAUUAUUGGCCAAAAACAUAAUUUUUUAUUUAAAUUGUCAAAAAGACUUGAAUGUUCUCAUCCUAAAAUAAGUUCCGUUAAAACAAUCAUAAUAGUUAUGGAAUGUUUAUAACUAGAAUGAAUGCUCCUACUUAAACUAGUAAAAUCUCUUGAACUAAUUUAAAGGUUCAAUCCUGCUCACAUGAGUAAGGAGAGGAGAGGGGAUUUGUUUAAAUUUUAUUGUAUUGAAUUUCGCACUUUCAAUACUUCUACGUAGUUAUUACGAUUUUAUCAAGUUUACGAUGCUAAUGAUCAAACAGUACACUUUCUAAACUAACUAAAAUAGUACCUAGCUAGCUAAUUAGAUAACGGAUUAAUGGAAUAGAUGUGGAUGUCUAAUUUUUGAGUUUGAAUUUUUUUUAAAAAUUAAUCAAAGAAAACAUAUUUUUAAUUUUGAGUUAUUGUACUAUUAACUAAUAAUUUAAUUGAAAAUUUAUUUAUUUGCUAUCAUUCUAGUUGUUGAAAAUGCCUUUAAUAGGGGUUGGUUCAAUAUUUGGUUGGAGUCUCCGAUUUCAUGGUGGCGGUCCAACUCCUUCUCUUCAUCCCUCUUUGACCAUUUGCAAUGUACUUGCAUUGCAAAUUUCUGUAGUCAAACUUGGGUCUUCAAUGUAGUCACAUCCCUUGGUAGGAUUUCUCUCCUUCAAAGAUUAACGCACUUUCUUCUCGAGAUGCAAAUGGCUUUUCAAAUUGUCAUUUUUUUUAACGUGGGUCCUACAUUCACUAUUAGAAAAAUGGGCUACCAUGACAGAAUUUUUAUGAUAAAUAUUAGAAAAUUAGUCAUUUAUCACAAGAAUGUGAUAGACACAUGAAAGAAUUUUCAUACAUCAUAAAGCCAUGUCAGAUUUGUGAUAGAGUUUUUAUAUAUCAGAUAAACAUGAUAGCAUAUAAAUAUUUAAUCAAACCGUGAGUUUCAGAUGGAAUUAAUUUGGGCAUGAAACGACACCGUUUAACAGAUUUAAAAAAUUUUAAAAAUAAAAAUAUUUAUUUAAUAUUUAAACGCUAUCAUUUAACUAUAUUGACUAAACCACAAAAAAAUUAAGUGUUGGCACCUUUGACUUAUCACUUCAUCAGCAAGGGCUGAGAAACCAAAGCAGUGAAACCCCUCAAAAUCUAAAAUUAACCUAUUUUAAUCUACAAAUUGGUUUUGAAACCCAUUGCAUGGAAACCAAAAUCAUAGUAUAUGCUAUUGAAGGAGCCUUCGUGUCCUUAUUUUAAACCCCCAUUAUUUUGAACCGAUUGGUUUUAGGCACAAAAUCACCACACACGCUCAUUGCUGCGCCUUCGCGUCCAUUAUUGAAGCCGUCGGUGUCACUACUUCUUUGUAUUGUUCAAUCGGCGUUAGAGAAGCCAUCCUGUAAUUGUUUAAUCCCUAGGUUUGUCAUCAAUUAACUUUUUUAAUUUUUAUUCUGAAUAAAUCAAUUGGCCAUUAUAAAAUUAAUUGUUAGUUUUGUUGUUAUCUCCCUUAUUUGUUCAUAAUUUAUGCCCUUUGUUUUGGGAGUUAUAUUAUGAAUGGUUUAUGUUUAUUAUUUAUUUAUUUUAAUUCUUGUUUGUUUCUGUUGUUAUAUAUAUAUUUUUAGUUCAAGAAGCUUAUACUUUGUCCUUUUAUUAAAUCUAGAAAUUGCUCAAUCAUUUAAUUUAGCAUGUCCUCUUCUUUUUUAACAAAAUUUUUUUGUUCUGAAUCGCAAGAUCUCACUGCCCUGUUCGCUUUCAAACUCGAUUUCUAACAUCACGUUUGUUCAAUUUUUUACUUGCCUUUCCGUUCAAUGUUUAAAAAAUGUUUGCUGGUAAUGGUUUGUUUGUUAUAUUCUAUAAUUUUUCAGUCAAAGCUUGCAUGUGUGUGAAGUGAUUUUGGUUGAUGAUAUAGCACUUUUCAUUUACUAGUGUCUUUUAUUAGGAUGAAGCUGAAACUGUGGUCCAAUGGUGUUGGCAUUUUUUUUAAUGAUUGUGAGCCAGAUUUUGUGUAUUUUAUUGAGUUACAAAGUAAGGCCCCCUUUUUCAAUUGUCUUUUUUAUGUUUGAAGGAAGUGGUACCAUGUGGGGGCAAGUUUGGUCAUGUGGACCAAGUAAUGUUUAGUUGCUUAUCUAUAUAUAGUCUUGUGGUCCAUGAAAUGCUGGAUUGUUAGAAUUUUUUUUAAAAUAAAUGUUAAAUGUAUAUAGGCCAAGUUAUUUAGGAUAUUAUUAGUUGGGUAUGGUUAGUCGGUGAUUUUGGUAAAUGAUGAUAGCAUGUUGGUAAAUGAUGAUAGCACAUGAUGACAAGUUUUGUUUUAAACUUAUUUAUUUUAUUAAAUUUAUAAACUGAAUAUUAAUAAUGUUUUGUUGCUUAAUUUAUUGAUAAUGAAAACCGUUUAUCAUUGUUGCCCAUUAGUACAUUAUGUUGAAAUUUAUCUCAAUUAUAUGUCAGGCACUAGACAAAAUAUGGAUAAAUCUUGGCUUAAAUAUGAUAGAUUGUCCGAUGAGUAUAAGGCUAGUGUGGAAAAAUUUAUUAAGACCACAGUUGAAAGUAAUCAAGAAAUUAGUGUUGUUAGGUGUCCAUGUGAUAAAUGUCGGAAUUUAGCAUUUCAUAGGCCUAAAGAAGUGAAAGAUUAUUUAAUUAUAUGGGGUUUUGUUACGUCAUACAAAACAUGGGUUUGGCAUGGGGAAGAUAUCUGUAACAAAUCUCUUGACAAUAUAGGUUGCCAAAAUGACAGUGGAUAUAUGGAUUAUGAUGGUGGUAAUAUUGUUGAAAUGGUUGAAGAUGCUUUUAAGGAUUGUGAUAGUGAUCCUAAAGCAUUCAAAAAACUAUUAGAAGAUUCUGAAAAGCCUUUGUACCUUGGAUUAAACAAAUUUACCCAGUUAUCAGCUUUAGUUAAAUUGUACAAUAUAAAGGGCAGAUAUGGGUGGUCUAAUAGUAGCUUUUCAGAUUUGUCGAGUGCUCUUUCUAACAUGUUACCGGAAGGAAAUGAAUUGCUUGUAUCAAUGUAUGAGGCCAAAAAGACAAUGAGUGCUUUAGGCUUAGAGUUAUAAAAAUUCAUGCUUGUGCAAAUGAUUGUAUACUCUAUAGAAAAGAGUAUGAAAGCCUUUCUAAUUGUCCUACAUGCUGCUUAUAGGAAGGAGGUUCCUGCAAAAGUGUUAUGGUAUUUCCCUUUUAUACCUAGAUUUAGGUGUAUGUUUCAGUCCUCACAAACUGCCAAAGACUUGACUUGACAUGUAAAUGAGAGGGAAAUAGAUAUUAAGCUUCGACAUCCAAUUGACUCACCCGCAUGGAAGUUAGUUGAUGAAAAAUUGCCUACCUUUGCAUUAGAGCCUAGAAAUCUACGUCUUGCCCUAUCAGCUGAUGGCAUUAAUCCUCAUAGCUCUCUUAGUAGUACGUAUAGUUGCUGGCCGAUUCUUCUUGUAACAUACAAUCUUUGAAACAACCCGCCCCGAACCCCCGGGGAUGAGUCUAUCUAAUCUCGCCUAAACGAAUUAAUAAUAAUUAUAAUAUCUAAGAAUUCUACCAAAAAUCUAGCAAAGUCUCAUAUAUAAUUAUGACAUCCCCAAACUUGCAAUUUAUAAAAUUAAACCUGCAAUUUAUAAAAUUAACGCUCCCAAAAAUGAUACAAUAUUCAAUCAACCUCCACAACCAACUUCCUCAAUCAAACACCAAUAUUCUUCAAACAUAUAAUGUCAAGAAUACAAUAAUUUAUCCUUAAUCACAAAUAAAUAAUAAAUUAUACAAUUCAAAAUAUCCCAACAAAACAUCUAUGAUUCCUAACACCAUCAUGUAGUCAUAAUUUCAAAUCUAACUAUCGUUGCUGGGUCGACUGAUGUACCUGCAAAUCUCCUGUGGGGGGAAAAAAUAUAAUAAAAACGGGAUGAAUAUAAAACUCAGUGAGCUCAGUGAGUGGAUAGUAAUUUUUGAAAAAAUAAAUUUAUUUAAAAUGAUUUAAUCUUUCCCAAAUCAAUUUCAUCAAAAAUAUCAUAAGAACUUACAUAAACUUAUUUAAUUCAAAUCAUGCACUGAAAUAACAAUAUUACAUAAAUAUGCGUAAAAUCAAUGAAAUCAUAAUACUUAUGAUAUCAAAUACUGAAUACCAAAAACUAUCACCAAACAAGUACCCAGGAGAAUAAUCUCAUCAUAUUCGGACCUCGACGGACGGGCAAUCAGGGAACCAUCAUGCCUCGGAGUUACAACAGAUAGACGGGGAAAUGUCAUAUCAUAUCUCAUAUAUCUCAUUAUAUCUGUGCAUGCAUAAUCUGGUCCCUAAAUGACAAGGCACCCAAGCACACGGCCCAAAGUCUCUGUGUGUAUUCAGACGGGCCCUAAAGGCCUAUAUCUCAUCUGUAUCAUCAUAUCUCGUCUGUAUCAUCAUAUCUCGUCUGUAUCAUCAUAUCUCAUUUGUAUCAUCUGUAACUCAAUAUUUGUAUCUCUGUAAUCACCAUACUGCAUGCAUAUUCCCCCAAAAGGCAAAAGCGCCCAAACACACGGCCCAAAGCCUCUAUGUGUGUUCAGACGGGCCCCAAAGGCCUCUCAUCUAAUAUCAUAUGUAUCACUGUAUCUGGAGGCGAUGGGUACUGUCCAAUGAUUUUCUAAACAACCUUUUACACACAUGUACAUAAACAUAUAAUCACAUCUGAAUUCGCAUUACCUUUUUAUUCAACAUACUCAAUUCCACUCAAUUCUCUUUAAAACUAUUAUCAUGAAUUUACUCAAAAGCGAUAAUAAAAUCAUUAAUCAAACUCAUUCUUAAUAAUAAUAAAUAUCAGCACGCAGAAAAAAAUCCAUUUUCUAGAAAAUCAUUAAAUCGAAGCAUCAAAUACUUAUUAUCAAAACAUGUUGUAUUGUAUAGUAAAAUCAUAAUAUACUAUAAAAAUAGGUUUUAUAUAUUCCACUCAGAGUGAUGACGUCCAAACUCGGUAUUAACAAUAUUCAUGGGUUGAUUCUCGUGCGCGGGUCCUCCUAAUCAAGAAAAUGACAUAAUCAUUCUCUAUAAAUUUGAAAUAUAACUAAUUUUACAUAAUAAUUCUCGAAACAAAUAUCUAACCACAAUAAACUAUUCCCGCAUGCACAAAAUUACCAAAAUACCCCUAUAUGCCAAAAUUACCAAAAUACCCCUAACAUCAUUAUUUUACAAAAUUAUCCUCAGAAUCUUCAAUUACCAAACUAUCCUCAAUUCAGAUCACAAAAAUAACCACAAUGUCAGAAAAUUACAAAAUUACGUUGGAGUGUAAAAUUACCAAAAUACCCAACAACGUAAAUUAUUGAAUUACCCCCAAAAUCUCAAAUUACCUAAUUGUCCUAGUCCGAAAUUACAAAAUUAUCCACCGAUUCCAAAAAUUACAAAUUUAUCCUCGAAGUUUAUGAAAUUACUGAAUUACCCCCAUCGGUCCACGGUGACCGGAGUUCAGUCAACGCGACGUGAAGCUCAGGUCUAAUAGUUUUGACCACGCUGAGUCCAAUGGUGGUGGCUGUGAGUUCCCACGCACGGUGACAGUGGCGGAUCGAGCUUCCCAAUCUGCGAGCUUUCUGGUGGUCGAUCGGUGGAAUUUCGACCGUUUCAGGAGGCGAGGUUGGUCGGAAAAUGAUAAGGGUUAGGUGAGGAUCAAGAUCCAGGCAGUGGCAUCACCCAAAAUUGGCGGAGUUAACGGUGACGAAAACGGGUUGAGCUGCGGGUUUUCCGAGCUUGAUCACCGGUGUUCUCGUUGUUUUCCAACGACGAGGAAGGUAAGGGUAUGACCAGUGUCUCACAAGCUUUCUAUCCGUACCUUGCUCGGCCGGUGAGGUGGCCAAAAAUGGAAGUUACGAUAGGGUCAGGGUUGCGGGUUUCGGGUCGAAUUCGGGUCAAAAUCGGGUCUAUCUCUCUCCCGCGCCCUCUCACAUCUUUCCUUUUUUUGAAACCGGCUCCCUUCUUUCAAUUUAUAGAAACUAGCUUUUUUUUUUAACUUACUUCGAAUUAAGCCAAUGUCAAACCCGUGUUGAAAUAAAAUCCGACUACACAACCAUUGAAUCGUGUUUGAAAUGUCUCAAUUUUAUGUUGUGACAAAUUUAAAUUUAUUCAAAACACGAUCCAUUUAUUAGCUCGACCCGAAUCCAUUAAUUCAUGGUAAGAAAUCGACCCGCGUCAAGUUUGCUCGUAAUAAUUUGUAGCCAAUCUGAUGACUUUAAAAUUAAUACUAAAAUGAAAAACACAUAAUACACUUAACUAGGAAAAAUUAAGGUGCAUAUAUUAUAAUCCUCCCCCGUAUAAAAAUUUUGUCCUCGAAAUUUACACAUCUGAUGAGAACAGGUGAGGGUAUUGGGCUCGCAUUAAGUCUUCGCGUUCCGAAGUAGCCUCUUCCCUUGUGUGAUUCCUCCACAACACUUUUAAGUUGUAUAUUCUCAUUAGUAUUCUAAACCAAUUCGGGACCAAAAAGCUUUCGCUCACCAACCUCAUCCCAACAUACGGGAGUUCUAUAUUUUUUGCCAUGCAAAGCCUCAUAAGGUGCCAUCUCGAUACUAGCUUGAUAACUGUUAUUAUAAGUAAACUCCAUCAAGGGUAAAUAAAUGUCCCAACUACCCUUAAAUUCCAAAACACAAGCUCGUAACAUAUCCUCCAGGGUUUGAAUAGUACGCUCUGACUGACCAUCAGUCUGUGGAUGAAAAGUUGUCCUAAAAUUCAGCUUGGUGCUUAAUGCCUUUUGCAAGCUUGUCCAGAACUUAGAAGUGAACUGGGAAUCUCUAUCUGAAACAAUAGACACAGGUGCUCCGUAAAGCUGAACCAUCUCGGCCACAAAAAUAUUCCCUAACUUGUCCAUCGAAUAGGUGGUCUUGAAUGGUAAAAAGUGAGCAGAUUUUGUAAGUCGAUCAAAAACCACCCAAACACUAUCAUGACCACCUUGGGUACAUGGAAGUCCCGCUACAAAAUCCAUGGUGAUGUGCUCCCACUUCGACUCAAGGAUCGGAAGCGGUUGCAAAAACCCUGCAGGUCUCUGAUGUUCAGCCUUAAUCUGCUUACAAACUAAACACCAAAAUACAAAUUCUGCUAUCUCUCUCUUCAUAACUUGCCAUCGGUAAUGAUCCCUCAAGGUACGAUAUAUCUUCGUACUACCAGGAUGCAUUGUGUAAGCUGAAUAAUGAGCUUCUUCCAUGAUCUCCUUUUUCAGCUCCUUAAUAUUGGGUACACAAAGUCGAUUACCCAUAACUAAAACUCCAUCAUCUCUCACUACAAAAUCAGUUCGUAAGCCUUUCAGUACAUCCUCUCUUAACUUUAAUAAUUGUAUAUCCUGAUCUUGCAUCUGAUGUACUUUGUCAAUCAAAGUCGGCCUAACUCAAAAAUUAGCUAUCAAAGCUCUGCAAUUUUCAAUAUCCAACUCAACUCCCAAAGAUCUCAGCUCGAUCAAUAAAGGCAUAUAUGUCACUCACAAGUGAGCUAUAGAGCUGGAAGACUUCCUACUUAGCGCAUCAGCUACCACAUUCUCUUUGCCCGGAUGAUAAUCAAUAGUGCAAUCAUAGUCUUUAAUUAGCACAAUCCAUCUCCUCUACCUCAAAUUUAACUCUUUUAGAGUAAACAAAUACUUUAAUCUCUUGUGAUCAGUGAAAAUCUGGCAUGUUGCCCCGUAUAAAUAAUGCCUUCAUAUCUUGAGUGCAAAUACCACUGCUGCCAGCUCUAAAUCAUGAGUUGGGUAGUUUUGUUCAUGCUUUUUAAGUUGUCUAGAAGCAUAAGCCACUACUUUCCCAUAUUGCAUUAGCACACAACCCAAUCCUUGCCUGGAUGCAUCACUGUAUACUACAAACCCUUCAUUACCAGAAGGAAGUGUAAGAACUGGUGCUGAAGUAAGACCUGUCUUGAGUUCUUGAAAACUCUUUUCACAGUCAUCAUCCCACUGGAACUUAGCAUUUUUUUCUAGUUAAUCGUGUCAGAGGAGUAGCAAUCUUAGAGAAUCCCUUGUGCAAAUUUUAUUGAACUCGCAAGUGCACGAAUCUAUUGUAGAAUAUAGUAAUGGUGACGAGUGUCGAUCCCACGAGGAUGUGGAUUUUAAUUAUGUGUAAAAUUAAUUUUCUAAGUGGGUGGUUGGAUUUGUGGUGAAAAUGAUUUGGAAUAUUCUAAAAUUUAAAUUAGAAUGGCGGGAAUAAAUUAAAGCGAAGUCUAUUGAAAUGAAACACUUGGGUAUCUGGAUCUACAUCAACAUGUACCAUGAGCUAAAUAUUCCUUAUUAAUGUCAAUUAAAUCAUAAGGGGGGUUUUCACUUCUCAUGAACCACACUCUAAUCAAUAUGGUUCUAAGGGCUUAUCAUGCCAAAUAGUAAUAACCUUGCACUAGGGAGCCAGUUAUACCAGUGCGGUAUCUAGACAAGAUUAUUACUAUCUGUCGACGAAAAGUCAAAACAUCCACAUAAAUUAGAGGGGAAGAGAAAUAAAUUUACCAAAUCAAACCCAUGGAAUAUAUUGAGACUUCACCUUCAACCCAAGCUUGAAAGAAAAUUAGCUACUCAUAAUUGAAUUAGGGGUAAAAUGAGAAUUUAUUAAAAUACGUAGAAAAUACAAGAUGAAGAAGGAAUUAUAGAAAAUGGAGUUAAAAAAUGAAUUUAGGGGUCUCAAAUUAGGGGGGAGCCCCCUUUUUAUAGAUACACUGAGUAAAUCAUGGCCAUCGGAUUAAAAAUAAUUUGGACGCUCAGAAUUGCGCCACGUGUCAACAGUACGCGGUUUGACCAUGCGGUUUGAAUAGUGACGCGGUGUGAACAGUGAGGCGGCUUGAAUAGUGACACAGUUUAGUUAUAAAUAAUUUCGUGUAUAUGCAUGUACCGUACGCACGAUUUUUGGUCCACUAACAUACUGCCAUGUCACCGAAACAGUACAUAAAAAUUUUAGUCCAAUAGGAUCGUGACACCUCAUCAGUUAAUGUCACGUCAUCGAUCAAUGCCACGUCAUAGUUCCGUAUAUGUGAACAGUGUCGUAAACAGUAAUAUGGACAGUUUCGUACAUGUAAAUAGUGCCAUUUUUUUCUUUUAUGCUCCUCCUAAGAUUUUCGACUGUCCUGAGUUCAAAAGUGUUGUCCGUUUUACUGUCUGAUCUCUCGUUCAUUGUGAAAUGACCAUGAUGCCCCUAAAAUACAUAAAAUACUUAAUUAUAAUACAACACACAUAAUUAAAUCACAAGAGACUUAAAUACAUAAAAGUAGGGAUAUUAGUGAAAUUUGGAGUGUAAAUGACGAUUUUCUCCUAUAUAAAUAUAUAUUUUCUAACACUCAACACACCCCCCAACCAGCUUAUUGCUAGUCCCUAGUAAUUAAAGUGAAAACAAAAUUCAAACCCAAAAUGAUUUUUUUUUAAAAAACUCAUAUUUAUUGAAUCAGACUAAUGAUAGCAAUCAAAUAAAAGUAUAAGCAUUAUCUUUAGUAUAAAGGAAUAUCACUCCCACAUCAACCAUCCACAUGAAUCAGUCAAGUAGACUUUGUCACAGCUACUUUCAAGAAUGAUAUGUGAAACCCCAAAAUCUCAUUGGAAGUAGUGACACUCUCACAAGGAAAUUAAACCCAAUAAAAAUAGUCACUCCAAUGAAUGUUAAAUUUGAGAGAAAAUAAUAAAGAAGUAAUAUCACACGCUCUCACCAAGAUAAAAGAAAUAUGCCCACAACUUAGAAAUAAUACGAUCUUAAGUCAAAUAAAAUGCUAGUCAACCCAAUUUUUUUUUUUAAUGCACCACUACAUCUUUUUAGCUCAUAUAACUAGCUUCUACUUCAGACUAUAGAUCCCUAAAAUAAAGAAGGGCUUUUAUUAGGAUGUAACGUAGUAUAGGAACAUGGUUAACAAAAGAGGGGAAAUAAGGAAAACAAAAUAUAUGUUUGAGAAAAAGUAGAGAGCUUUUGGAAAUUACAAAGUGCAUUUCGCUUAUUUAUUAUUAUUGUUAUUUUUUUCUUUUUCUCUCUUUUUUUUUUGAAACAAAAUUUUUUUGUUUUGUUUUGUCUUUUGUAUGGCACAACUUCACUGAACAAAAUAGUUAUUUACAUUGUUCUCAAACAUAAAUAGGUGAUGAAACUUGUAAGAUAUCAGGUAAUACUCUAAAUCAGAGAUGGUCAAGAGGAUAAGUUGACAAAGAAAUUUUUUUUUUUUUAAUAUAUAUGAAAGGCUCAAAAGGGUUAACUAUGGAUAUUUCACAAAAGGGAUGACUAGAAAAGCUCAAACGGGUCAAAGAUGACCUUUUUAUCAUCUUUUAGGGCUCUAAAUAAUCUUCCAUAUCUACUAGUUAGAUGGACCUUCAGAUGUAGCGACACAUUUUUUUUUCUCUUUUUUUUUUAGAGGAUUGACUCAAAAGAAAUCUAGAGAUCGUGUACAAAAUAAUAAACUGCUAAGCUGUAUGAGGAAUGGGCAAAAAUGGUUACUCUCCAAAAAAAAUGACAGGCUAAAAAAUUCACUUAGUUUUCAUUAUGACAUGUACAUUCCUUCAAGCAACUCAUAUUUGUCUCCGACAUCAACAUGUAGAGUAGCAAACAUGGCGUAACAUCACUUAAGACCAAAGAUAAUACAAAUACUAAAAUUUGAAAGUCAUCAUGUCAUCCAAUGUUAAAAAAAAUCACACAAUUUUUUUUUUUUUUAGGUUCAAACGACAUUCUACCCCCCAACCUAUUCUAAACAUGAAAAUAAAAUAUGCAUGUAGAAAGGUGAAAAUGAUGCAGAAAAACUAAUUAGAAAGGUUACACUUAAAAUGAUAGAAAAAGGAAAUGUUUGAAAUUUUUUUUUUACCUAAGAAGAUGUGUUUCUAGAGUCAUUACACUCAAUAUUCAGCCAUCUUCAAAUCAAAAAUUUGAAAGUAUAUAUUUAUAAAUGAGAAAUUAGAAAAAAGAAGUUAGAAAAAAUUGAUUGUCAAAGCUUAAUAAAGAAAAUGUUUGGAUUUUUUAUUUUUAUUUUUACUUCCAAACCAAGAAGAUGUGUUUCUAGAGUCAUUACACUCCAUAUUCAGCCAUCUUUAACACAAAAAGUUAGUCACGGUUAGUCUCUACAACAAAAAAAAUAAGUAAAAACUUAACCAAGAUUCCACAAUUGUCAACUAUUCCCUCCCCCCAACCAGAAUGAAACAUUGUCCUCAAUGUUUUAAAGGAAAGAAGUAGAGUUUAGAAGACAUUACCUGGGUGGUGCAACACAUAAGAAAAUAUUUACAAGCGGAGAGUUAAAUCUAAUUUACACUUCUUACUGCUGCUACUGUUCCCAUCAUUAUUUGGACACUCCAACACCAAGGUCCUGGGAUCUGGGUCUGGUUGAUAAGCUUGUAACAGAUCAAGUAGCUCAUUAGCAGUAUGAACACAAAUAAAAACGUUUUUCGCUGUGGAAUGAAUGAAAUAGUUUUUUAUUGCAUGGUUAAUAAAUGAGAUGAAGCCAUCAUAAAAAUUAUUGACAUUUAACAAACUAAUCGAUUUUUGGUGAAUGUUCAGAUGGACCCAAGAUGCUAAUGUGAUAAGUGCCUCUAGAGUUGCAAGAUCUCCUGGUAGGAAAAUAAAAGCAUCAAUAUGAUUUAGCAUUUCAUUUAUUCUCUCUUGCAUAACUGAGACUACUAACUCUUCUCCAGUCGGUGAGUCAGACAAACUACGCAAAGGCUUUAAGGCUCUUGGGAUGAUGCCUAACACUUGGCUUCCUCUAACAAAAGCAGCUUCUGAGACCAAUUUUGAUAGCCCUCGGUUACCUCCUCCAUACAAUAAGUGUAAUUUUCUCUCUGUUAUGCUUCGACCAAGAUCUAUGGCUGCCUCAACGAACUCUUUAUGUUUGCCACAGUUAAAUUUAGAAAGCACACAAAUAUUUUUGAAUUGCUUAUUGGGAGUAGCUGCCAUUAGGAUACUUCUAGAAAACAAUGUGUGUGUGCUUAACAAAAAAUCAUUUUUAAAAAUCUUGGUGACAGUGGGUCACAGCUUUGUAUGAGGUAGCAUGUCUGUGUUUAGUAACGCGUAAAGCACAUGGCUCGAGAAUAAAAAAGGAAACAAUAAAAAGGAAAAAAAACAAUGUUAAAAUAAAAUUAUUAAAUACAAUAAUGCAAAUGAUAAAACAACAGUGAAAUAAAACAAUAGUGAAGUAAAAGGAUAUUUACAGGUAGUUGUGACUGUAGCUCACAUCUUCCUCUAGUUUUACGUCUAGAAAUGGCUUGAACGCCCUCUAUGGGUCGAGGAUGGGCUUCCCAUCCAAUUUUCUUAUAAACUGGAAAACAUGGUUAUAAUUAGAUUCCCGAGACUAUAUAGUGCACGCUCUUUCUGGAAUAAUGGCCACAACUGGAGAAUUGCUCCUUGUACAUAUCCACUGGGAUGCGUUUCAAGAGACAAAAGGAUAUCAUCCAAUGAUUAUUUAUUCAAGCCAUCCCUAAUGAAUUGAAUCUUAUAUUCCCUAUUAUUAGACAUCAUUCCUAAAGAACAUCAUUUUUUAUCGCAUCUCAUUCUGGUACACUUAUGACAAGCAACAAAAAGUCUUCGAGCUUUUCGUUUUCUUGUAUUAUUUCCUUUACCACAACCACACAUGUAUGCAAUAAAUUUAGGAGGCAACUCACCUGCCAAUCGUACCUUGGCCUCGAUUAACUAGCGGAUGUCAGCAGGUAUGUUAUUCCUCAUAAGCAAUCGCAUGCGUUCGAACCGAGAUUUAUAGAUUGUAAAGAUUGUGAAGCUUUGCUAAAAUCUUAUUUUUGUCCAUACUUUGCCUUAGAAUAUUAGUUAUUAUGGGAAACUGAAGUAACCGACUUGAUUGUCACGGAGUACUGUUAUUCGCCACUUAACCGGGUAACAAACUAAAGUACACAAACAAAGUAACAAACUAAAACACACAAAGAAAAUUACAAUCAUCCUCUUAUUGAAUUUACCUCAAGCUCCAACUGGAUGUCGAAGAUACCUGCCUCAAUGUCUCUGAGUUGUCUUUCUAAAGCCUCAACAUGAGAUACUAACUCUGGUGGUUGUAGAUCCCAAAUAUGAUGUGUUUUACAAAAUCGAAUCUGGCUUCUGAGAUGAGAUUUUACACAUUCAAGUCGUCUAAGAAGGUCCAAGAGGAUUUGUUUAACUGAGGCACUUAUGCUUAACAAUGAUAAAAUAAAACUUAAUGGUUAAAUAAAUACACUUAUGCAAAAAUAAUUUCAAUUAGCAAAAGAAUAGUAAAAAGAAAGAAAAAAAAAUCAAAUCACCGUAAAGAAAGAAAAAUCUCUAUUCAAAUUUGGUGGGUCACUCAGAUUUAUUUCAGUGUCCUCUCCAUGUUGUUGGUACUCUAGAUAUGCCUUUAAUAUUUGACCAUUAACUUUAAAAGUGACACCGUUCUUUGGAUCCUUAAUUUCAAUUGCUUAAUGUGGAAAAACAGUGUGAAUAAUAAAAUGGCCAGACCAUCGAGAGUGUAACUUACCUUGGAAUAAGUGUAAGCGAGAAUUGAAUAAAAGCACUUUUGACCUGGAGUGAAAGAUUUUCUCAUAAUUUGCUUGUCAUGAAAGACUUUCAUUCGCUGCUUGUAAAUCUUGGCUUUUUCGUAUGCAUCAUUGCGAAUUUCUUCAAGUUCUGCCAGCUGUAAUAUUCUUUCUGAGCUAGCUUGCUACAUGUUAAAGUUGAAUUUCUUGAUGGCCCAGUACGCACGAUGCUCGAGUUCUACAGGUAGGUGGCAAGUUUUUCCAUACACUGGCCUGUAGGGUGACAUCCCAAUCGAGGUCUUGAAAGCCGUUCUAUAUGCCCAUAAUGCAUCAUCGAGUCUUAAUGACCAAUCUUUUCUGUCUGGCUUCACCGUCUUUUCUAAUACGUGUUUUAUUUCUCGAUUAGAGAUCUCAACUUGGCUAUUGGUUUGCCGAUGAUAUGGGGUCGCCACUUUGUGAGUGAUGGAAUAAUUUGUCAAAAGAACUUUGAAUGCUUUGUUACAAAAGUGGGCACCACCAUCACUGAUUAUUGCUCGAGGGAAUCCAAAGCAUGAAACGAUGUUGCUUUUCAAAAAUCCUAUCACCACCUUGUGAUUAUUGGUUCUACAUGGAAUUGCUUCUACUCAUUUUGAUACGUAGUUAACAGCAACCAAUAUGUAUUGAUGGCUAAAAGAAGGGGGAAAGGGUCCCAUGAAGUCGAUACCCCAUACAUUAAAAAUUUCAACCACUAAAAAUGGGUUUAGUGGCAACAUAUUCCUUCGUGUAAUGCUCCCCAUUCGUUGACACCUAUCACAUGAAGAGCAGAAAGUGUAAGCAUAUCGAAAUAUAGUUGGCCAAUAGAAACCACAUUGUAAAACUUUAGUAGUUGUUUUCUUAGCGCUGAAAUGGCCUCCACAAGCUUGUUCAUGAUAGAAUGAAAUUCUUUAUUUCCAUAAAAAAUUUGGCUUUAUCUUGCUUGGUCCAAUGCUCUGGAAGUUGACCUAUAACAAGAUAAUUAACGAUAUCAGAAUACCAUGGUAAUGCUUCCACACUCAUUAAUUAUUCAUCUGGAAGUGAUUUAUUCAAUGGUAAUGGUUCUGUAAUUGUGUUAAAAUUGAGACGAGAGAGAUAGUCAGCCACAACAUUUUCUGUGCCUUUUUUAUCUUUGAAUUCCAAGUCAAAUUCCUGCAAAAGUAACACCCAACGAAUUAGUCUAACUUUUUCAUCUUUCUUUGUGACAAGAUAUUUAAGAGCAACAUGAUCUGUGAAUACAAGUAUUUUACCACCAAUGAGAUAAGAUUGAAAAUUCUCUAAUGCAAACACUACUGUUAAUAUUUCUUUUUCAGUAAUUGAAUAAUUCAACUAUGCAUCAUUCAAUGUCAUACUAGCAUAGUAAAUAAUAUGGGGAUUCGAUCAACUCUGUCCUAAUACUGCUCCUACUACAUAAUCAGAUGCAUCACACAUGAGCUCGAAUGGUAAGCUCCAGUUUGGGGGUUGAAUGAUGGGUGAUGAUAUCAACAAUUGCUUUAGUUUUCUAAAUGCCACAAGACAUGAAUCAUCAAAGAUAAAAUGUACAUCCUUAGCAAGUAGAUUGCAUAAAAGUCUAGAAACUUUGCUAAAAUUCUUAAUGAAACGUCUAUAAAAACCAGCAUGCCCAAGGAAAGAUCUUACUUCUCUAACUGUUUUAGGUGGAGGAAGAAUGGAAAUGAGAUCCACCUUGGCUUUAUCAACCUCAAUACCUUUGUAUGAAAUGAUGUGACCGAGAACAAUACCUUGUUUUACCAUAAAAUGACACUUCUCACAAUUUAAGACCAAGUUUUUCUCUAUACAUCUCUGCAAAACUAGUGUUAGAUGAUGUAAACAUUGAUCGAAUGAAUUACCAAAAAUAGAAAAGUCACCCAUAAAGACUUCAAGGAAUCGUUCAACCAUAUCAGAAAAAAUGCUUAAUAUGCAUCAUUGAAAUGUAGCAGGUGCAUUACAUAAUUCAAAUAGCAUCCUCCUAUAUGCAAAAGUGCCAAAAGGGCACGUGAAAGUGGUCUUCUCUUUAUCUUUUGGUGUUAUAUGAAUCUGAUUAUAUCAUGAGUAGCCAUCUAGAAAGCAAUAAAGUUCAUGGCCUACUAAUCUAUCAAUCAUUUGAUCGAUAAAUGGUAAAAGAAAAUGGUCUUUACAUGUGACAGAAUUCAACUUUCUAUAAUCAAUGCAUACACGCCAUCUUGUAGUCACUCUAGUGGGUAUUAAUUUAUUAUCAGAAUUGGUAACUACUGUGACUUCUGACUUUUUGGAGGACAACUUACACAGGACUGACCCAUGAACUAUUAGAAAUUGGGUAAAUGAUACCUGCAUCUAAUAGCUUAAGGACUUCAGUUCUAACAACUUCCUUCAUGUUAGGGUUCAACCGACGUUGCAUUUCCCUAGUAGGUUUAGCAUUUUCAUCAAGGUGAAUGUAAUGUAUGUAGUCUACUGGGUUUAUACCUUUUAUGUCGGCUAUGGUCCAUCAUAAUGCUCUUUUGUGCUCUUUUAAAACUUCCAACAACUUACCUUUUUGUUCGUCAUUUAGGGAUGAUGAGAUGAUUACUGACAAAGUGUUUUCUUCUCCCAAAAAUGCAUAUUCUAAAGGGUUGGGUAAUUGUUUGAGCUCGAAUUUCGGUGAUGAUUCUAAUGAUGGGUUGAGUUUCUUUUCUGAUGGUGCUAAUUGUUCAACUCUUGACUUCCAUUUAUUAGUAUCUGUUGAUAAAUCUUUUAAUCAAAUGCUAUUGAUGACAAUGUGCAAGUGUACACAACAAGUAAUAAAGUGAUGAAUAUUCAAGAUCAUCUCCAUAGGGAUUGAUGUUACUAGAAAUGUUACAGCAAGCACAAUAGUGCAAUCUAUCUUUAUUCCGGGAUGAACAAAUGUAAAGUUGGUUACUAUUAAAAUUAAUAGUUGUGAGAGAACAAAAUAAAACAAUGCAAUGAUAAAAUAAAUUAAAUAAAAAUGCGUCAAAGAAUCAAAUGAGAAUACGGUAGUUGAAUGAUCAAACUCUCUUUAUGGGCUGACUGUUUUUCACCAAGUUAACACCAGUUGCUACAACAAUUUCUAUAGCACUGGGCAAAAUUUAUUAUGCAUCCUCAGCUGUUGCCUAUUGGAAUCCUCAUAUCCUUAAGUAUCUUAGCAAUGACCAGUUACUAUUCUACCUACGGCAUGACAUUAUGAACAUUCAUUCUCUCCACCCUACAAGGUGAGUACCUAUGUCUAGUUUAUCACAAAUCUUAACUUCAAGUAUGGCCCUUAUGGGAUUCAAGAUAAACUUAAUACAAGAAACUUAAAUUAAGAUCAAGUAUUACUCUAAUAAUAUCCACUAAGACAUGCCAUUUUGCGGCUCUAUCUUAACUUGAACCAUUAAAUGGGUGGUCAACCAAAAUAACAGUUAUAAUAAUAGCUACUAGAGUAAAAUGCUACAGCAAUGAUAUAACAACUCAUAAGAACAGUCAAGAACUCAUUAGAUUGUUUGUCACUCAACUACAAGCAAGUUAAGUUCAUGUUCUUAAAGAGAAAAACAAACAACAACAUAUUGGUCAUGAAAUACAUUAUUUCAGUCAAAGAGUGAAGAAAAGGAUAAGUUGAGAACGGCAAAGAGUGAAUCCAAAUAACUCUGCUAGAUUCUUCAAUGAUGCUGCAUCUGCUCCCUUGAAUUCUGAUCUUCCUCUUCUUUUUCUCUCCAAUUUCUCCAAAUAAUUCCUUGCCGCCGUUUUAUGUGAUGCGCGCCUCCUUUUAUAACUGAAAACUAGAGUAAACAAAAGCUUCGGGCGUACAUGAGUCAAAUUAGAAAACUGCAGAUCGCAAUUCUGCAGCUGACCCGAGCUAAGUUUUCUCCUUCGGUGUUCUAGGAUUGCUACAGCAAUGGUCGCUUCAGUAAUGGCUAUAAUACUGCACUGUUCCCGGUUGUGUUUCACUUCUUUUGUGGCCAUAUUCUUUCUUCUUCUUGCUAGCCUAAUAUCUCAGCAUCCUUUCAUAUAUUAUAAACUUCUGAAAACCUAUAAUUAUGCACAUGUUUUGAGCACAAGUUACUUUAAAUCUAGCAAAACUUAUUAAGACUAAACUAAAAUGGAUGUUUAUGCAAAACAUAACCAAAGUAUAAUAAAAACACAUCAUUUACUCUUUAAGUGGUAUUGAUUUAAGUCUAGAAUUGCCGUAAUAACUCUCUUUUCAUAAAGUUAUCAGUGUCCAUGAAUGGUACUGAGUCAAGUAGGGCGUUGACCUCAUCGACUAAACUGUCAAUAUCAAAAUCCAAACCAAAGUGAAUUAAACAUGUUUGUAAAGGGUCAUCACUAAGGUUUGAAAGAAAAGUAUUAUCAACUAAUGCUUCUAUUAAAUCCACAUCAACAAUUCCAUCAUCUGCAUUGUGAGGUUGUUUGGCAAUGUUGAAGAUGUUUAGCUCCAAAGUCAUGUUGCCAAAGGACAAUUGCAUAUUUCAAGUCCUGCAUUGAAUGUGAGUAUUGACAGUUGCCAAGAAAGGUCGACCUAGGAUAAUGGGGAUGUGCUUCCUUGAAUCCUGGAUUGGUUGAGUGUCAAUUACAAUGAAAUCAACAGGAAAAUAAAACUUCUCUACCUGGAUAAGCACGUCCUCCACAAUACCACAAAGUAUUUUCAUGAACCGAUCUGCAAGCUGUAACACCACUGGAGUUUGGUGUAAUUCUCCCAGUCCAAGUUUUAUAAAUACUGAAUAGGGUAACAGAUUUACACUAGCUCAUAAAUCCAACAAAGCAUUCUUAAUUAUGUGGUUCCCUAUACUACAUGAGAUAGUGAGGGAGCCUGUGUCUUUGUAUUUUAGAGUAAUUUUGUGUUGGAGUAUAGAACUAACGUUUUCUGUUAAAAAGACCUUCUUUUGAACAUGAAUAUUUCUCUUUUUAGUACAAAGGUCUUUAAGAAACUUGGCAUAAAAUGACACUUAUUUUAUAGCAUCAAGUAAAUGGAUGUUAACACUUACUUGUUUGAAGAUUUCAAAAAUCUCACCUGUGGAUUUUCCCUUCUUUCCUUUAGCUAACUUCUGAGGAAAUUGAGCUUUAGGAACGUAUUCUCGCGGGUUGGUUUCUUCUUUCUCCUCCGAUAAUGAGUCUUCAACAUUUACAGGUACAAUUUGAUUUUUUUUUGUCACCAGCAUCUCCACUUUGUUGUUGACUUCUUUUCAUUUUCGCAAGGUCAUGACGGCUUUUACCUCUCUAUUCUGCCAUGGUGAACUGGUACUUGCUUCAUGCACUUCUUUAGGAUUAGGCACUGGUUGACUUGGAAAUUUAUCUUUCUCAACAGUUAUUGCCAGAGUUUGAACUGACAAGGCAAGUUGUCCCACCAUCUUCUCGAGGUUUGAAACUGAUUGGACUGUGAAUUGAAGCCUACUCUCAUUUCAUUUUGUAGUUCAUCAAAGGUGUGGUUCUGUUGCUCAAUCGUGGAGUGAGUAAGAUUCUCAAAAUUUUGGAUUGCAUCCUCCCAUGGUCUGGGUUGAGAGUAGUUCUGGUUAUGAUUGUAUGAUCUAAAUAGUGGCUGAGAGACUUGAGGAACUUGAGGAAUUGGUUGCAUUGGUAGAGCUGGAGCUACUGGUCCAAUCUGUUGGAAUCCCCGGCAACGGCGCCAAAAACUUGUUGUGCAAAUUUUAUUGAACACGCAAGUGCGCAAAUCUAUUGUAGAAUAGAUUAAUGGUGACGAGUGUCAGUCCCACGAGGAUGUUGAUUUUAAUUAUGUCUAAAAUUAAUUUUCUAAGUGGGUGGUUGGAUUUGUGGUGAAAAUGAUUUGGAAUAUUCUAAAAUUUAAAUUAGAAUGGCGGGAAUAAAUUAAAGCGAAAUAUAUUGAAAUGAAGCACUUGGGUGUCUAGAUCUACAUCAACAUGUACCAUGGGCUAAAUAUUCUUUAAUAAUGCCAAUUAAAUCAUGAGGGGGUUUUCCACUCCUCAUGAAUCACACUCUAAUCAAUAUGGUGCUAAGGGCUUAUCAUGCCAAAUAGUAAUAACAUUGCACUAGGAAGCCGGUUAUACCAAUGCGGUAUCUAGAUAAGAUUAUUACUAUCUGUCGACAAAAAGUCAAAACAUCCACAUAAAUUAGAGGGAAAGAGAAAGUAAAUUUACCAAAUAAAGCCCAUGGAACAUGUUAAGACUUCACCUUCAACCCAAGCUUUAAAGGAAAAUUGGCUACUCAUAAUUGAACUAGGAGUAAAAUGGAAAUUUAUUAAAACACGUAGAAAAUACAAGAUGGAGAAGGAAUUACAGAAAAUAGAGCUAAAAAAUGAAUUCAAGGGUCUCAAAUUAGAGGGGGGGGAGCCCUCUUUUUAUAGAUAUACUGAUUAAAUCAUGGCCAUUGGAUUAAAAACAAUUUGGACGCUCAGGAUUGUGCCACGUGUCAACAGUACGCGGUUUGACUACAUGGUUUGAAUAGUGACGCGGCUUGGUUAUAAAUAAUUCCGUGUAUUUGCAUGUAAUGUACGCACGAUUUUUGGUCCACUAACACGCUGCCACGUCACCGAUCAAUAGUAGAUAAGAAUUUUAGUCCAAUAGGAUCGUGACACCUCAUCAGUCAAUGUCACGUCAUCGGUCAAUACCACAUCAUCAUUCCGUAUAUGUGAACAGUGUCGUGAACAGUAACAUGGACAGUACCGUACAUGUGAAUAAUGUCAUAUUUUAUUUUAUGGUCCUCCUAAGAUUUUCGACUGUCUUGAGUUCAAAAGUGAUGUCUGUUUUGCUAUUUGAUCUCUCGUUCAUUGUGAAAUGACCGUGAUGCCCCUAAAAUACAUAAAAUACUUAAUUAUAAUACAACACACAUAAUUAAAUCACAAGAGACUUAAAUACAUAAAAGUAGAGAUGUAAGUGAAACUUGGAGUGUAAAAUGACGAUUUUCUCCUUUAUACAUAUACACUUUCUAACACUCAACAUCCAUCUACAAAUCUACAAUAAUAACCAGCCAAUCCAAGGAAACUCCGAACCUCUGUGACAUUUGUAGGUCGUUCCCAAUUCACAACAACUUCGAUCUUGUGAGGAUCGACAUAAAUUCCUUCAGCUGAUAUCACAUGGCGCAGAAAUACUACUUUAUCCAACCAGAACUCACACUUGUUGAACUUGGCGUACAAUUGCUUUUACCUUAAAGUCUGCAAAACAGUUCGCAAAUGUUCUGCAUGUUCCUCUUGGUUUCGAGAAUACACCAAAAUAUCAUCAAUGAACACAAUCACAAACCUACCCAGAUAAGGGCGAAACACCCUAUUUAUAAGAUCCAUAAAAGCUGCUGGAGCAUUUGUUAACCCAAAUGGCAUCACCAAGAACCCAUAGUGUCCAUAAUGGGUUCUGAAUGUUGUUUUAGGUGCAUCGACCUCUUUAAUUCUAAGCUGAUGAUAUCCCGAGCGCAAAUCAAUCUUAGAAAACACCUUCGCUCCCUGAAGUUGAUCAAACAAGUAAUCAAUAUGCGUAAGUUGAUAUUUAUUACGUACUGUAACUUUAUUCAACUGCCUAUAGUCAAUGCAGAGUCUAAGAGUACAAUUUUUUUUCUUAACAAACAAAGCUGGAGCUCCCCAUGGAGACACACUAGGUCUAAUAAACCCUUUAUCUACCAAUUCUUGCAGUUGAAUCUUAAGUUCCUUUAGUUCAGCUGGAGCCAUCCUAUACGGUGCUAUAGAUAUAGGAGUCGUCCCAAGGACUAAAUCAAUAGAAAACUCAAUCUCUCUGUUAGGUGGCAUCCUUGGAAGUUCAUCUGGAAAUACAUCUGGAAACUCCUGGACUACUGGAAUAUCCUCCAAUCUCGACUCUCGAAUUUCAGUGUUUAUCACAUGUGCAAGAUAAGUUGAGCAACCUUUUCUUAGUAACCGUCUUGCACCAAUGGCCGAUAUGACACAUGAGGGUAAAACGCUACGCUCACAACAAAAUUUCACCUCAGCUUCUCCUGCCUUAUUGAACACAACUUCUUUUUUGGAACAAUCCACAGUAGCAUGGUGAGAUGCAAGCCAAUCCAUGCCCAAAAUGGCAUCGAAAUCUCGAAUAUCUAAAAUAAUUAAAUUUUCUGACACGACUCAAAAGUGUAUUACUCCCAAGUAUAAGAUUGUCUAGUUACAAUAUAACCCAGUGAGUCCGGGGUCGAACCACAGGGAAUUUUAAAAUCUAGUUGUCAAUUUGUUAAACAAAGAAAAUAAAUUGUGGGAAAAUAAAUUAUUUGAAAACAAUUUAAAAAUAUGCUAAGGUUACGGGAUCCACUCUCAGUAUUCAAACUAUAAUUUUAAUACUCUCUCAUUUAUAUUUUGCCUCACUUUUACCAGUUAAUUAUUAUAUCAUUUAAUUCUAUGUGUGUGGAUAAAUAUGGAAUAAAGUACCUAAUGUGCCACACUAUAUUAAUGUGUCAAUAUUGUGUCAAAAUGCCAUACAAAUCCUAAAGAAAUUUAUAAAUUAACAUGACAUAAAAAUAACUAGAAAAGAACAAAAUAAACUUUAAAACUCAUUUGAGAAAAUAAUAAAUUUAAUAGUUUGAAACAUUGAACUUCACCCUUCACCUCAGCUUAAUAAAAUUAGCCACUCAUAUUGAAAGAAAACACAACACUAUUUAUUUGAUAAACUUUUAAAAUAUGUUAUAAGAAAGUUGAUUACAACAAAAGAAGAAAAAGACACAAUUUCUCAGUUGCACUCUAUUCUAUUUCGGCUUAAUGUUGCGGACCGCCCAAUUCGCUAGCCCAAUUGCCCACAAUUUCGGGCUAGAGAGCCAACACAAGGCCAAGAGUGCUAGCUUGGCCCAAUUCCGGAAACUUCUAGGCAACUCUAGCACAUUUGAGCUUGUAAAUACUCUAGAAUUCUUCAUAGAAUUCCAGCACAUGUAAAUAGCUAGGAAAUGGUAGAAUUCUCUAGAAUUUCUAGAGCUUGGCAAGCCUCCCCUAUAAAUAUGGGAUGGCAUUAGGCAUUUGUAUCCAACAAACACUACAACAAGCAUUGUAAUCUCUCUUUGUGCAAUACAAUUUCUCUUAUUCAGCUCCAUUGCUUUCUUCUCUAGUUCGAGAAGCUCUAGGCUUACUUAGCAACAUUCGGAAAAAUUGUCUAAGUGCCGCACAGGUUAGCUGCGCAAAAUACUCAUCUCGUGACAAGUGGUAUCAGAGCUAAGGUUUGCACACACGCAAGUUAGCUCACGAGCAAUGGCCAACCCUUCGAACGUAGCACAAGAGGGUGUUGUUGGUGUGGAUGUUCCACCGGAACCAAGCCGCGGCCGAGAGGGAGAACGCGCCCAAGGCAAGACUCGCAGCAAGUCCAAGGCCCCAUCCGUGGAUGCAUUGGAGCCUCGUGUGACUACUCUCGAAAUCGCUUUGUCCACCGCUCAAGAUAGCCUCGAGGGAUUGGAGGAAAGGGUGGACGGUCUCGAGGGGGAAUACGCCGAGUUCACGGUGGCAACCAAAGCUCUCAUCCAAGAGCAAGCGAACACUCUCCGAGGUGAGUUUCGUUCCUUCCACGAUGAGUUGCUCAAACUUCGUAGUUUUGUUCAGGAUGAACUACGCGCUGUCCGUGCGGAAGUGGAUGAAGUCCGCUCGGAUUGGGCAUGGCACAAGCGCACACUCUCCGCUAGUCCAGCUUCCGCAAACUCGAGUGAUGCACGCCGCAUUGACGUGCCAAAGCCCGACACAUACGAUGGCACACGUAAUGCCACCAUCGUGGAUAACUUUCUAUUUGGGCUUGAUCAAUACUUUGAUGCCAUGGGUGUUCGAGAUGAGGCUUCGAAAGUGGGCACUGCACCCACCUAUCUUAGAGGCGCUGCACAACUAUGGUGGUGUCGCAAGCAUGGCGAGAUGGGCAAGGGCAUUUGCACCAUCGACACUUGGGCUGACUUCAAGCAAGAACUCCGAAAGCAGUUCGCCCCAAGCAAUGCGGAGAAGGAAGCGCGAGCGCGCUUACGUCGCCUCAAACAAACAAGUAGCAUUCGGGACUACAUCAACGAGUUCACUACCCUUAUGUUGGAAAUAAGCGACAUGUUCGACAAAGAUUCACUCUUCUACUUCCAAGAUGGCCUCAAGGAUUGGGCCAAGACCGAGCUUGAUAGGCGUGAUGUUCAGACACUUGACGAUGCCAUCGCCGUUGCGGAAUCGCUCACCGAAUACUCUACCCAAUCCAAGGACAAAAAGGCCAACCAAGGCAAAGGUGGGGGAGAGAGUCGCAAGGACAAGGGUAACAACCGCAAAGAUUGGGGGGCAGAAAAAGCCGCCUAGCAACAAGAGCGGGCAAGGAAAAUCGGAGGGCAAGAAGGAGGCGCCAAAGCCGCGAAGCCCAUGCUUCAUAUGCAAUGGUCCUCAUUGGGUACGCGACUGUCCGGAGAAAAGGUCGCUCAAUGCUCUUUCUGCCCAACUUAAGAGCAACCCCACAAUGUCCACGGAGGAACCCCAACUCAACAUGGGUUCUCUCUAACGCCUCGGCGCACUCAAUCGCCAACAGCCCGCACUCAUCAAGAAAGGGCUCAUGUAUGUAAGCGCAAAGGUAAACGGUCAGUCCGUUCGCGCGCUGCUAGACACGGGAGCUACGCACAAUUUCGUGUCCGUAGACGAAGCCAAGCGCUUAGGCCUCAAGACCACCAAGGAAGGAGGCACGAUGAAGGCUGUGAACUCACCCGCCAAGCCAAUUGGGGGAAUCGCACAAGGCGUGUACAUUACACUUGGUACGUGGAGCGGGAAGCUUGACUUCUCCAUUGUGCCCAUGGAUGACUUCAAGAUGGUCCUCGGCAUGGAAUUCUUCAACCAAGUCCAUGCCUUCCCGCUGCUCGCUACAAACUCCCUAAGCAUCCUCGACGGGAGCAAAGCAUGCAUGGUACCCACGGAGCGAGGCAAGUCCGAGGAGAAGACACUCUCCGCCAUGCAAUUCAAAAGGGCUUUUAAGAAGGACCCAAGCUUCUUGGUCUCCAUCCGGGAACUAAACGAGGAAGGAAAUAGCGGAACGUCACCAAGCCAAGUCCCUCCGCGAAUUCAAGCCGUCCUCAAUGAGUACAAGGACGUGAUGCCUCCAGAACUUCCGAAGAAGCUCCCACCUCGACGAGAGGUAAAUCAUGCGAUCGAGAUGGAACAAUGUGCGAAGCCACCAGCCUUGGCGCCCUACCGCAUGGCGCCACCCGAAUUAGAGGAGUUGCGGAGACAACUCAAAGACUUGCUGGACGCAGGCUACAUUCGCCCCUCAAAGGCCCCAUUCGGUGCACCCGUGCUCUUCCAAAAGAAAAAGGAUGGAUCGCUGCGGAUGUGCAUAGACUAUAGAGCGCUCAACAAGAUCACCAUCAAGAACAAGUAUCCAAUUCCCUUGAUCGCGGACUUGUUUGACUAGCUUGGCAAAGCGCGGUACUUCACCAAACUUGACUUGCGCUCCGGGUACUACCAAGUGCGCAUCGCCAAGGGAGACGAACCGAAGACAGCGUGCACAACAAGGGACGGGUCUUUUGAAUUCCUUGUGAUGCCUUUUGGCCUUACUAAUGCACCCGCCACAUUUUGCACGCUCAUGAACAAGGUGCUCCAACCAUUUCUUGACCGCUUCGUGGUCGUGUACUUGGACGACAUAGUGGUGUAUAACACCACGCUCGAGGAUCAUGCCCAACACUUGCGACAAGUCCUCCAAGUACUCCGAGACAACGAGCUCUUCCUCAAAUUGGAGAAGUGCUCAUUUGCUCAACAAGAAGUGGAGUUCCUUGGCCAUAAGAUUGCGGGCGGAAAGAUCAUGAUGGAGAACGUCAAAGUAAAAGCCAUCCUCGAUUGGGAGCCUCCCUCGAAAGUGCCCGAGCUUCGCUCAUUCCUUGGGCUGGUGAAUUACUACCGCCGCUUCAUCAAGGGCUAUUCGGCCAAGGCGGCACUCUUGACGGAUAUGCUCAAGAAAAACAGAACGUGGCAUUGGUCCGAAGAGUGCCAACGCGCAUUCGAAGAGUUGAAGAAGGCAAUUUCGGAGGAACCCGCCCUCGCUCUUCCGGACCACACUAAACCCUUUGAAGUCCAAACGGAUGCCUCGGAUUUCGCCGUAGGAGGAGUCCUUAUGCAAGAAGGCCACCCCAUAGCGUUCGAGAGUCGAAAGCUAAAUGACACGGAACGCCGCUACACGGUGCAAGAAAAGGAGAUGACCGCAAUCAUACAUUGCUUGCGGGUGUGGCGACAUUACUUGCUCGGCUCUCACUUCACGAUUAUGACAGACAACGUGGUGACAAGCUACUUCCAAACACAAAAGAAGUUGAGUCCGAAGCAAGUACGGUGGCAAGAUUUCCUUGCAGAAUUCGACUAUCAGCUCGAGUACAAACCGGGUAAAGCCAAUGUCGUUGCGGACGCUCUAAGCCGCAAGGCCGAAUUGGUGACACUUAGCAUGAGCCAACCGAAGUCCGACCUUGUCUCACGCAUCAAGGAAGGCCUCCAACAAGAUCCGCUAGCAAAGGACUUGCUGGAGAAGGUGCUCGAGAGAAAGACAAGGCACUUUUGGCAAGAGGAAGGCAUCCUCCUCACCAAGGGAGACCAGCUGUUUGUGCCAAGGUGGGGAAGGAAGUAAUCAAGGAGUGCCAUGACUCCAAGUGGGCUGGUCACCCAGGAAUCGAGCACACCACUGCACUAGUUCAAGCCUCAUAUUUUUGGCCACACAUGAGGGACGACAUCGAGGCAUAUGUGCGAACUUGUCUUGUGUGCCAACAAGACAAAGUGGAUCAUCAACUACCAGCGGGAUUGUUGGAGCCGCUACCACUAGCAACAAGGCCAUGGGAAAGUGUCUCCAUGGACUUCAUCACAUCGCUGCCCAAGUCCGAAGGUUACGGUAGCAUCAUGGUCGUUGUCGACCGAUACAGCAAGUAUGCCACAUUCAUUGCCGCACCAAUCAAUUGCAAAGCGGACGAGGCAGCCCGCCUAUUCGUCAAGCACAUUGUGAAGCUUUGGGGAGUUCCGAAGAGCAUUGUGAGCGACCGAGACCCUCGGUUCACUGGGCGUUUUUGGACAAAACUCUUCAAAAUGUUGGAGACCGAUCUCAAGUUCUCAACAAGCUUUCACCUACAAACGGAUGGGCAGACCGAGCGCAUCAAUGGCCUCCUCGAGAUGUACUUGAGGCAUUAUGUGAGCGCUCAUCAGCGGGAUUGGGCAAAGCUACUCGACAUCGCCCAAUUUUCUUAUAACUUGCAGCGAAGUGAGGCUACGGGCAAGAGUCCAUUUGAGAUCAUCAUGGGAUUCCAGCCUAUGACCCCCAAUGCCAUAGCCUCGACUUACGGAGGGAAAAGCCCCGCGGCACACAAGCUCGCUCGCGAAUGGCACGAGGAAGCGGACAUCACGCGAGCCUACCUUGACAAAGCCGCGAGGAAAAUGAAGAAAUGGGCGGAUACAAGGAGACGACAUGUUGAGUACAAGGAAGGUGAUCAAGUCAUGAUCAACCUCCUACCCCAACAAUUCAAGACGUUGCGGAAAGUCCACAAGGGGUUAGUGAGGCACUACGAGGGACCCUUCCGAGUUGUUCGACAUGUGGGCAACGUCUCGUAUCAACUCCAACUUCCGCCAAGACUCAAGAUCCAUCCGGUCUUCCAUGUGAGCCUUCUCAAGCCAUAUCACGAAGACAUGGGAGAACCAAGUCGCGGAGAAUCGAGGCGCGCGCCAACUGCCGUUGUCACCGCGUUCGACAAAGAUGUAGACUACAUCAUUGCGGACCGCAUGGUUUCGAGGAGAGGCGUGCCAGCACAUAGCGAGUACUUGGUGAAGUGGAAAAAGCUCCCCGAGAACGAAGCCACUUGGGAACGUGAAGAAGAUUUGUGGCAAUUCGCUGAGCACAUCCAGAGGUUCAAGCACGAGAGCGCGACGAGGACAUCGCGAGCUUAGGUGGGGGAGGAUGUUGCGGACCGCCCAAUUUGCUGGCCCAAUUGCCCACAAUUUCGGGCUAAAGAGCCAACACAAGGCCAAGAGUGCUAGCUUGGCCCAAUUCCGGAAACUUCUAGGCAACUCUAGCACAUUUGAGCAUGUAAAUACUCUAGAAUUCUUCAUAGAAUUCCAGCACAUGUAAAUAGCUAGGAAAUGGUAGAAUUCUCUAGAAUUUCUAGAACUUGGCAAGCCUCCCCUAUAAAUAUGGGAUGGCAUUAGGCAUUUGUAUCCAACAAACACUACAACAAGCAUUGUAAUCUCUCUUUGUGCAAUACAAUUUCUCUUAUUCGGCUCCAUUGCUUUCUUCUCUAGUUCGAGAAGCUCUAGGCUUACUUAGCAACAUUCGGCAAAGUUGUCUAAGUGCCGCACGGGUUAGCUGCGCAAAAUACUCAUCCCGUGACAUUAAGCUCUCUCUGUUCAGCUCUCUAACUUCUCAAUACUCAGCUCUUUGCAUUUCCUUGCCUUUUAUAGGCAAGGAAUGCAUUAUCUUUAUUUAUUUUAUUAUUAUUAUUAUAUAUAUGUACAUUGAAAUGUGUAAUGGUCAAGUGGCCAUGACCAUCACGAGAAACUAAAUUGCUUGGUUUUUUUUUUUUAUUCAUUUUCAUUUUUUUAUUUUUUAUUUUUUUACAUCUCCUCAAUAAUGCUUCCAAAUUGCUCCAGCAAUCCUUCUUUGUUCCCGCUUUCAAUUCUAAUUUAUUCUUGAAAAAUAUUUAUAAGAUAAAAAUUAACAGAUUAUGAAUUAAUUUAACACAAAAAUUUAUUUGGGGAGCAUUCAUAUAAUUUAUAGGUUAUGCGUGCAUUAAUCAACACUUUAAGUGAAAAACUAAUAAUUUUAUCCUUAUUACACGUACACAUUUUAGUGUUAAUCACAGCCCCCUCCCCAACCAGCUUAUUGUUAGGCCCUAGCAAUUUAAGCGAUAAAAAUUUAGAGAAAUUUCAAAACCAAAUUGAAAAUCUUUUUUUUUUUUUGGAAAAAUUGUGUUUACUUCUUUCAUCAGAUUAAUGACAACAAUCAAAUAAAAGUAUAAGUAUUAUCUUCAGCCUAAAGAAAAUCACACCCACAUAAAUCAGUUAAGUAAAAUCAUGUAAAAUGAUCAAUUAUCAGAGCUACAUUAAUCAAGCCACUUUAAGUAAAAUUUAUGAUGUUAUCAUUAUUAAUGUUUGGUCCACAACAGCGCGAUAAUGAUAUUGAUGUGUACUUGGCACCACUAAUAGAGGACUUGCAAACUCUAUGGGAUGUUGGUGUGGAAGCUUAUGAUGCCUACAAAAAAAUAGUUCUUUAAUUUACGGGCUGUGCUAUUGUGGACUAUAAAUGGUGGAAAGCUCAAUGAAGAUAUAAUCUAUGAUGAUUUGCGAAAUUAAAGGUCAAUAUAUGUUGUGUGCACUUAUUUAUGCUUCCAAAGAUUACCAAAAAUAAAUUGGAUUUGAGUUUAUAUAGUUUGAGCCCAAAAACUAGCCAUUAUGGAUUUUCUAAUGAUAACCGGCUUGCCGCUUUUGGAAUCCGGUUAGCCGCUUUUAUGUUACCGUUACAACAAAUAUUUGAAUUUUACAACAUCCAGCAUUCCACUUUCAAAAUUCGGUUAGCCUUUUGCAAAAGUGAUUGCUACAGUGAACUAUUUUAUAAAAUUAUAGUUUUGACCCAAAACUUUAUAGAAUUAUGAUAUGGCCCAAAACGUCAUAAAACUUUACACAAAGGUCUAAUAAAAAAUAAUUUGAGCUUUUAAAAACUUAAUCAUUCUUAAUUUUAUUUUUUAUCAUCAAAAUCAACAUUAUGGAAACAUAUAUGUUAACAAUCUUCCCAUUUUUUAUGACGACAAACCUUUUAUGUAUUUAAAGAAUGAUUACACAAAUUGCUCCCCCUAAAUGUAAACUUCUCUUACAAUUUAGCUAAAUUAACAAAUUUAAAUACAUGUAUUCUUCUCCCCCUUCAUCAUUAAAAAGAAAACUUAGUGGAAAAAUAAAAAAGAGUAACAAAUUUGUUAUAUAUGUUGUCCGAGUAGAAAUUUCGAUAGAAUCUCCCUCUAACAACAAACAUUACCUUAAAUACAAGUUUAAUAAUAUUACUCCCAAAUUAUUAUAAAUAAUGAUACAAUCCAACUCCAUAUACAAAUCAUCACACAAUCCAUCAACCAUAAAAAGAUUAUGAACCAUUAUUCCAUCAAUUACCAAAUCAACAACUCAUAACAUAAAAUUAUCAUAUAAAACAACUAUGUAAUCAAAUCAUCAUCAUAUCCCAAAAUCAUCAAAAUCAUCACCAUAAUCACAUAUCAAUCAUCAAAACAAUACUCAAAGUGCAUAUUAUUGUCUUUCUUUUGACAACAUCGAAAUGAUGUGUUACUUUGUCUCCCCCUUUGGACAACAAAAAAAUUCAAAAUGCAUAUUAUCCAAAAUCAUAUUGUAUGCUCCCCCUAAAUAUAUGGCCAAUUUAAAAUUUUAACCAAAAUAAUUUUAUCCAAAAACAUAUCAUAUUUAUCUCCCCCUUCAUUGUAAAAAAGAAAAGAUAGAUAGAUGCAAUCAAAACAAUAUCAUAAAAAAUAAUUCGAUGAAGAGAUUACCCAUUUUGUGCGAGCAAAAAUUUCGGCAGAGUCUCCCCUUAAAAAUGAAAAAAUCCUCAAAUACACAAAAUGGUUAAAAACACUUCCAUAUAAGCUUAAACAAUUAUAACAAAUCAACAACUCCAUCAAUUCAUCAAGCAACACACAUAAUCAUCAAUCAUUAAAAUCAUCAAGAAAUCAAAUCAUCCCAAGUUCGUGUCGAAUUUUUUAAAAAUGUUCUUCGCAAAAAGGUUUUGAUUUGUUUACCAAAUUGGCAUGCAAAAGUUAUAAAAACGUAUUAUAAACUAUCCAAGCUCCAUAAUUACUAAUCACAUUUUAGAAAUCAAGACAACUAAACUCAUCAAAGAUCUAAUGUGACAUUUCAAUAUAACUUAAAAAAUCUUAUAUGCUUAAAAUUCUCGAAGUAAAUGUAUUUUUCUCCUUUUCGAUAUCAUUUAAAACAAGUAAUGCACAUUCAACAAUACAUCGAUAAAGUACAAAAAAUGCAUCCAUUCACCAAUCAUAGAUUGCAUAAGAUCAAACUUCAUCAAAUACAAUGUAAUCAUCAAAGCACAUUCUUUAUCAUCAAAACAUAAGUAAAGCAUAAGUACAUAAUGACAAUAUAUAGAUCAUCAAAAUUAACAUAUGGCAAUAUAUAGAUCAUCAAAAUAAACAUAGCUAUUAAGAAAAGCCAUCAUUAUGAGUAAAGAACAAGUGCUCAAAUCCAUUAUUACAAAUGCUCACAUAGGCCAAUUUAAUGAAUGAUGAUAUAAUACAAUAAAUGACAUAUGAAUUCACACAUACAUAAGUGAUGAACAAAUAAGGAAGAUGAAUAAAUAACACGAAACAUGAUGAUAGACAAUUUAAAAGAUGAAAUCAAGGAUCAUACAAUCAUCAAAAUCAAACAAAGGCAUCAUGAUAAGUUGCCAUACUACCAUCAUAUAUAUCUAUCCAUGCAUCAUGAUUACACACAAUAAUAAUUCAAUUAUGUAAACGUACGAGCAUGCUUUCGUAAAUUCAAGCUAUUAUCCAUCCAUCAUGAUCCAUUCAACCAAAUCAAAAUGGUAAGAAUUGUUACCAAAACAAUUAAAUCAUUUUACUUAUCGUUUUCUCUUAGAUCAUGAUCAAGUGAUUAUUCUCACAAGCUUUCAUUGAAGAACUCUCCACCAUUUCUUGAUUAUGGUACCUACAAAAAAAAAUAUUCUAGUUGUGCCUUUUGAUACCCAAAUACUCUUGGGUCUUUGAGUGUUAGUAAUGAUUCCUUUUGGAACUCCAAUACAUUUUGCUCCAUAAUAUGCAUUUCUUUUAACUGGACACCUAUUCUUCAUGUGACCAUUUUGAUUGCAAUGGUGGCAUACAACUUGAUUGUUAAUGGAGGUACUCUUCACAAAAUAAUUCUUAUAAUACUUUUGUUUCAAAUUUGGCUUAUAGCCAAUACCUCCUUUGUCAAACACACAUUUUUGUGAAUUAAGCAAGUUAUCCAACAUUUUUUGCCCAUUUGUAAAUUUUAAGACAACAUCACUAAGUUCAAUAUUCUUUUUCUUAAGCAUCUCAUUUUCUUUUUUCAAAUCAUCUACAUGUGAUUCUAUAUGUUCAUGUAAAGUGCUAGGUUUCCCAUUUGAUAAUGCAACUCUAUCAUGCAAUGUUUUAUUUUCUAAUUCUAGGCAACUAAUCUUUGCACUUAGAGAUUCAUUUUUAUUUGUGAGUUCUACCGUUUUCUUUUUAAGACAUGCAUUCUUUUUACCAACUUUCAUCAAUUCAUCAUACAAUUCUUUAAGAGCAUCAUAUAACUCAUCAUAAGUAGGAAGAUUAUUUACCUCAUCAAGUUCAUCAUCUCCUAUUGCCAUAAGUGUUAGGUUUGACACUUCUUGGAAAUCUUCUUCAUCACUCGAUUCUUCAUCGCUAUCGUCCCAAGUAGCCACCAUGGCUUUCUUCUUGAGUUUGUUGAGAAGUGGAACACUCCAAUCUUAUAUGGCCAUGCUUUUUGCAUUCAAAACAAACAAUUGCCUUUUUAUUCCCUUUCUCCACCUUAAGGUUUUCUCUCAUGAGAUCUUUAAAGUUUCUUCUCUUGAUUUGCUUUUUAAAGAUCCUUCUAAACAUUCUAGCAAUCAUCUCAAUGCCUUCAUCUUUAAAGUUACUUCCAUCAUCAUCACUUUCAACUAUAGAAGAUUUAAAAGCAAAACUCUUCUUCUUUUUAUCUUCAUCAAUUCUUUCAUUAGUUAUAUCUUCUUCAUAUGAAAUAAGUGAACCAAUAAGAUCAUCAAGUGAUAAAGUAUUAAAACUUUUUGCUUCUUCUAUGUCCGUUCUCUUUGGUCUCCACUAUUUUGGCAAUGAUCUAAUAAUUUUUUUUUUACUUUUUUCACUAUUAGUAAAUAUGUUACCUAGUGCUUCAAGAGAAUUCACAAUAUCGAUGAAUCUAGUGUACAUAUCAUGAACACUCUCAUAUGAUUCCAUUUGAAACAUCUCAUAUUGCCUAGUGAAUCUACUAAUUUUACACUCCUUGACUUGAUUUGUUCCCUUAUAUACAACUUCAAGUUUCUUCCAAAUUUCAUAAGCAUUUUCACAACUAGAAACUCUAUGAAAUUCUUUCUUAUCGAAAGCACAAAAUAAUGCAUUCAUUGCCUUGGAGUUUAACGAUAUCUUUUUCUUUUCUAAUUCACUCCAAUGACUUGAAGGUUUUGGAAUAUCAUCUCAUGCUUCAUUUUUAGUCAUAGGCAUGAACGGACCAUCACAAAUAACUUCCCAAAUUUCGUAAUCUAAGGCUUGCAAAUAAAUUCUCAUCCUAGUUUUCCAAUAAGGAUAGUCAUUACUAUUAAAGAAUGGAGGUCUAGUGGUAGAUGGGCCUUCCAUGAAGGUUGAGCUAAUUUGGGUUGCUAUGGAUCUUUAACUCUAGAAGAUUAAGUCUACACAAGAGCACCUCGCUCUGAUACCAAAUGAAAUACUAACUAGGCAACCUAAGAGGGGGGUGAAUUGGGAUUUUAAAAUUUAAGUUAAGCAAACCACACAACAAUUUAAUCUAAUGCCUUAAUGGAAUAAAAAAUAAUAAAUUCAAUACAGCACAAUAAUAAGAGAGUAAGGGAAGAGAAAACAAACACAAUGAUUUUUAUGUGGUUCGGGAAUCCUCGCCUACGUCCAUGCCUCCAAGCUCACCCGACUUGAGGAUUUCACUAUCCAAGCCUCCCAAGGCUUCAAGUUCUUUACAAUUGACUUUCAAUGUGUCAAUGGACCUUUCCAAUCAAGAGAUUAUCUCUCCAAUCUCUUCACCUCAAGUGUUUCUCACAUUUAUACACUCACAAUUUAAUGUGAAAUGAAAAUUACAACAAACAACUCUCUUUUAGAGUGGAUAUACAAAUGAUAGCUUAAUGAAGAUUUAAUCUAUGAUGAUUUGCAAAAUUAAAGGUCAAUAUAUGUUGUGUGCACUUGUUUAUGAUUGCAAAGAUUACCAAAAAUGAAUUGGAUUUGAGUUUAUAUAGUUUGAGCCUAAAAACUAGACGUUAUGGGUUUUCUAAUGAUAACCGGCUUGCCGUUUUUGGAAUCCGGUUAGCCGUUUUUAUGUUACCGUUACAACAAAUAUUUGAAUUUUACAACAUCCGACAUUCCGUUUCGAAAUCCGGUCAGCCGCUUGCUACAGUGACUGCUACAGUGAACUAUUAUCUAAAAUUAUAGUUUUGACCCAAAACUUUAUAGAAUUACGAUAUGGCCCAAAAUGUCAUAAAACUUUACACAAAGGUCCAAUAAAAAAUAAUUUGAGCUUUUAAAACUUAAUCAUUCUUAAUUUUUUUUGUUAUCAUCAAAAUCAAUAUUAUGGAAACAUGUAUGUUAACUGUGAGCACAUUAAAUGGCUAACGGGUCAUCAUUCACAAAAAGCCAAGAAUGAGAGAUGGUUGAGCAAUGAUCACAACUGCCACUUUUCAACUUGCCUUAAUAAAAAGGUUAAUAAUAUAUGUUCCAUUAUAUAUUCUUUUUAGUAAAUCUAUUGUCAUGUUUAUACAAUUAUUCAUUCAUUAUGAUUAUUAUUAUAUAGGUAUAUGAGAUCAUAGAUGAUGAUGAACAUGUCUCAGACACCUUGAGGUGGUUAUCUCAAGGACCCCGUCCUUUUGUAGUUAAGCACCCAGGAUAUGACAUCAAUGGAUAUCGUUUCCAUACUCGGGAACGAGACCAACAAUGAGUUCAUCAAAAUAAUGGAGUUAGUCUUAUUGCAGCAACUUUACAAGUAGCAAGUGUCAAGGACAAAAAUCCUAUCCUUGGUGACAUGUCUUACUAUGGAGUUAUUAACAAAAUAUGGGACCUUGACUAUCAUAUGUUCAGAAUCCCUUUGUUCAAGUGUGAUUGGGUUCAAAAUAAUGGGGAUGUUAAAAUCGAUGAAUUUGGCAUCGCUUUAGUGGACUUAAAUCGCUUGGGACAUAAAUCAUACCCAUUUAUAUUGGCUUCAAAAGCAACACAGGUCUUUUAUGUCACUGAGCAACUUGAUAAAAGAUGGUCAGUUGUAAGUCAUAUGGAGGUGUUCCAAAAAUGACAAGUGCUGAGGAUAUAGAUAUCAUGAUGGAACAUAAUCCUUUGACCAAUGGGUUACCAACUAUUGAAAAUUUAAAUGAUGCGGACAAAUAUGCAAGAGAUGGCAAGCAUAGAAUCUCGAUUGAUGCUUGGAAAAGCUGAUGGCAUUCACUGCUUGUAUGUCUUAUAAUAGUUUUGUGUUACAUUAUCUUUUAUUAUUAUAUGUUCCUUGUAUUGACUUUAGAUUAUUAUUUUUCAUUAUUUAUACUUUACAUAAUGUUCUAAUAUUAAAUGUGGAUUCAUUGCAGAAGCAACCUUAUGGAUAAAGGAAAAGGACUUGCUGAUGAACACUCUAAUGAGGAAAGUAUUGAUUAAUCGGGUAAUAAAGAAGUUCCUGAUGAAGGUAAUUCAAGUGAUAAGGAGGUUCCUGAUGAGUUUCCUAAUUCAGAGGAUCAAAAUGAUGUUCCAAAGAGUAGUUCCACUGUGAGAGAACCAACUAAAAACUCUGGCAAGAUGAGGAUGAGUGGUGGGAAGAUUGUAGUCAGGUACAAUGGGCUCCUUGUACUUGUUGGCACUGAAUCUACUGAAUUAGCAAGCUUUAUUAGGCUUUAUACUUCUAUUCCGGAUAUUAAACAAGAAUGAAAAAAGGUUACUCCACAUUUAAAGAGCCAUUUGUGGGAGUUUAUAAAGGUAAAAUGAUUAUUCAUAUUUAUAUCUUAGAAUUAAAUAAUGUAUAUGUUAAACUAUUUGAUCAUUAUGCUAUGUAUUUUUCUUAGGAACGUUUUAUUGUUCAUCCAAAUAGUAAGAAGCAAUUUUUUCAAGCACUUGGUAGUGCAUUCAGAAGCUUUAAGUACUUGCUCACCAGAAAGUAUAUCUUGCCACACAAGCACAAACGUAAAAGGUUGAAGAGGCCACAUUUUUCAGUACAGUAAUAUUCCUCAAAAUGUUUGGGAUACAUUUGUGAAUUCUAGAUUGCCCACUGAGUUUGAGGUGAAUACUUUUAAAUGUUAAACAUUUAGGUAUUUCAUAGAACCAUCUCUUAAAUCUAAUUAAGGACUGUUUUAUGCAGAGAAUUAGGCGUCAACAGCAAAAUAAGAGGGCUAAGAACAAGUGGAACCAUCGUUUAAGUAGAAAAGGAUAUGCUGGAUUGCUUGAUGAAAUUGUAAGUAAUAUGAUACUAACUUGACCAUUCUUGUAUAGCUAUUGGUAUAGAGAUGGUUGGUUUGAUGAUGAUAAAUUGGUAAACCUUUUGUUUUAAUUUUCUGCUUAUAAUUUGUGGUUAGUUAAGGAUGCAUACCAGCUGUGACAUUAUUAUUUUUUUAAACUAUAAUGCUCGGAAACUAGACUUGUCGAAACUGAAGUUGACAGGAGUGUAGCAUAGAAGCAUGCUAGGAAGAUGAAAAAGGUGAAUAUGACCCUAAUGUUGAAUCAGUUGUGAAGAAGAUUGUAAGUAAUAGCAAGUUUUUUUUUUUUCAAUUAGGCUCUAUUGGAAAGAAUUUGAUAUUCAUCAAUAUGAUUAUUAUACAAUUAGGAUGCACUGAAGGAGAAAACUAAAAAAAGGAGAAUUUAAAGCAAAUGUAAGAAAUGAUAUUCUUGCAAGUUCAAUUGGAAAGCCUGCCACUUCUGGACAUAUGCAGGGUGUUGGGAAAUUUAUAUCGCCUAAGAUGUACUUUGACACCCCAAAAAAUUCAUUUCAAAUGCGACAAGAGAGACUAAACAUACUAGAGAGGUUAGAUAAGCAAGAAGUAGGGUUGAGUGAUCUGAAGAAGAAGAUUAAAAAGUAACCUCGACAUUCAGAUGUUGGAAGCUCAAACUUUCCAUUACAUGAGCAAACAAUUGAAGAUGAAGCUGAAGAAAUGACUACUCAUAAUGAGGACAAGGUAUGAUACAAAUUGUUAUGCACAAUCAAGUUAAAAAAAUGACUUAAACAUUUGAUUUUAGACAAUUUUAGUCGUAAUCAAAAUCGUAAUUACAAUUUGUUUUUUUUUUUUGGCUUGUUAGUGAAUCGGCAUGACAAGGAAUGGAUCACCUGCAAAGAAGGAGCAUGAAACACUGACAAAGAAAAGGCAAUCACCAAAGAAGAUGAAUGAGUUACCAAAGAAGCAAGUAGCUGUUGAUUGUCCUGGAGACAAACCAGAAAGUACAAAGAAAAAGCAAUCAACAAGGAAGAAGAAGAAAUCACCAAAGCAGCAAGUGAUUGUUGAUUGUCCUAGAGACAAGCCAAAAAGUUUUAAGAAAAUGCAAUCACCAAGAAAGAAGAAAGAAUCACUAAAGCAGUAAGUGAUUGUUAAUUGUCCUAAAGACAAACCAGGCAGUCCAAUGAAAAGGCAAUCACCAAGAAAGAAGAAGGAAUCACCAAUGAAGCCUCACAAGAAACCAAGAAUGACUUUUGAAAUUUCAGGAGACAAACCAUCCAAUCCAAAAAAGAAGACAUCACCAAAAAAAGCCUCAAGAAAAGCCACUGUCAAGAAGAAGAACAAGGAAUUAUCAUACUGUGUAUAUGAACUGAGUUCUUGGGAUUGUAAUAUUUGGAAAUAUUUUUGAAACGAGCAUGGCUCAAAUAGGUUAUUACGUACCUUAUCAGUUGGAUAAAGACCAUUUGGGUUCAUACACACAGGACUCGUAUCAUCAGCCCAUGAUAAGGAUGCCUUUACUACAAGGGUAAAAAGGACACAAUUUAUUGCGGAACAGUUGAACAAAGCAAACAAAGGACAAAUGAUUUUCAUGCCAUAUAACCCUGGGUACAGUUCUAUUUACUUUCCAUUGAUGAUCAUUUACUAAAAUUGAUUCAUAAUUUCAAUUUCUUUGUGUAAUAGUUUCCAUUGGGUGUUGAUUGUAAUUGAUAUGACGACAAAGUAAGCAUUUUAUCUGGAUUCUAUGAACAACGAUUUAGGCGACGACAGUGACCUGAAGGACAUAGUUACCAAGUACGGUGAUAUUGUAUUUCUAAUAUAAUUUUAUAUAUCAUGUUUAUUUACUAACUACAUGUAUUGUAAUGUAGUGGGAUUUCAAUGCAUGUUGCGAUGAUUGGUAAAAAAAGGGUGAAACCAUAUAUCAAAAAAGUUUUGGUAAGCAAUUGUGACUUUUUUUUUUUUUUUUUGCAGCCCAUGACUUGUUAAUAUUUUAUCACUUGAAAGAAUUCAUAUGCAUAUGUAUUAAUGAUUAUUCUGUUGAUGAUAUAGUCCCCAAAUCAACCAGGGAGUACUGAGUAUGGAUACUAUGUGCUGAGGUUUAUAAAAGACAUAAUUGCAGACCCGAGUUUACUUCUCCAUAAUGUAAGUACACAUUCUUUCAUAUGCAUUGUAGGAUUACUUCACUUAUUACCUUUUACUAUAUAUAGUUUACUUUAGUCUGACAUGUGAUCAUCAUUUGACAGUUUAAAGGCAAAUGUGAAUACACUCAUAGUGAGCUUAAUGAAGUGCGUCUCGAGUAUGCUUCCUUUGUGUCUGAGCUGAUAGUAUUAGCAGUAGAGUUGAUGAUGUAUAUUUUUCUGAAGUUCUAAUUAUUAGUGGUAUUAUGGUAGUAUUUUGAAUUUCUAAGUGGUAGUGAAUUUAAUAAAGUCUUUAUGGAAUUUCAAAUUCCUUGUUACUAGAAGAUGAUAUUGUUUUGUUCCAAAACUAAGAUGUUUAUCAGCCUGGUAGUGUAAGAUCUUGAUCAGCCUUGUAGUGUUUCAGAUGAUAUAUAGUGUCGUGAUGUUUUUGUAUGCUGGUAAUGAUCUAGAUGGUAGUGUUGGGAUGUAUUAUUGUGAUAAUUGAAUAGAUGAUGUUUUGACAAUGUUAUGGUUAUUUCAAGUGAUGUUUUGAUGAUAUUGUUGAGAUAAUUUUGAUGUAUUGAUUUUAUACAUAUUUUGAUUUUUAAAUUUCAAUAGAAUUUAUAAAAUUAUAAAAUAAUAAUAUUAAAAAUAUUAUUAUUUAAAAUAUUAAAAUUUAUUUUCUAAUUUAAAAAUAUUAAAAAUUAUUUAAAAUAUUAAAAAUUUCUAAUUUAAAAUAUUAAAAAUUAUUUUAAUAAUAUUAUUAUUUUAAAAAAAUUCUCAUUGUGACACCAUAUUAACAUCAUAAAGCUGCGACACAUAAUUACCUGCCAUAAUUUAAAGUUGAAUUCAUAACACCCACCAAAAGUUUUUUCACAAUAAAACAAAUUUACCACCAAAAUAUUAAAACGACAUCACUUUUUUUGUGACACAUUUGUGAUAGUUAUAAGUUGUCACAUACUCUUGUGAUAGAUAAAUUAAUGUCACAGAUUUAUCACAGGGGCUACAAUGACAAAUAGAAACUCUGUCAUAAAGAGGGUCGGAUGACGGAUAUUCUCUGUCAUGGUAGCCCAUUUUUCUAGUAGUGAUUCAUGAUUUUCUUAAGAUUUUACAUCAUCUUGGCUUUAUGCAUUUAAUGAGUAAGACUUUAUAUCAUCUUAGCUUUAUGCAUUUAAUGAGGGAUAAGGUUUACUAUAUCCCCUAAUUAAUUGUGUUAAUUCUAUUAUUUAUAGAAUUUUCAUUUUAUGGCAAGUCUAAUAAAUUAAAAUUUUAUUUACUGAAUAUCAUGUAAUAGGUUUUAAUUUAUUAAAUUCCUAACUAAUUUAUUGAAAUUCCAAUUUAUUAGGAAUAUCGUUUCCUAGUUUAAUUAGAUGUCUAAUUUAGCAAGUUAAUUAGUGAAUGAAUUUUAUAAUUGGUGCGUAUGAUUUAUUUAGAGGAAAAAAUUGGUUUAAACAGAAAGUUUAUUAAAUGCUCUAGAUAUUUCUUAGAAGACAAGUAAAGCAAGCAUAUCAUAUUUAUUCCUAUUUAGAUUUAUAGGAAUUAUAAGAGGAAAUAAACUUUUAUUUAGAAAGAAUCCUAGUCUUUCAACUACAGUCUUAAUAAAGUUUUUCACAUCAGCCUCAUAGUCAUCAUACAAUAUAUCAAUUUUUUAUGGGUACAAUAUAUCAUAUUUAAGCCAAGAUUUAUCCAUUUUUUGUUUAGUACCUGACAUAUAAUUGACAUAAAUUUCAACAUAAUGUACUAAUGGUUUGCAAUGAUAAAUUGUUUCCAUUAUCAAUAAAAUUAAGCAACAAAACAUUAUUAAUAUUUAGUUUAUAAAUUUAAUGAAAUAAAUAAAUUUAAAACCAAAACUCGUCAUCACGUGCAACAAAUAUAACUUCACCAACGUGCUGUCAUCGUUUACCAAAACCUCUAACUAACAAUACCCACUAAUAACAUCCUAAAUAAUUUAGGCCACAUAUUUUAACAUUUAUUUAAAAAAAAUUUCUAACGAUCCAGCAUUUCAUGGACCACAAGACUAUCCAGCAUUUCAUGGACCACAAGACUAUGUAUACAUAUAUAAGCAACUAAACGUUCCUUGGUCCACAUGACCAAACUUGCCCCCACAUGGUACCAUUUCUUUCAAACAUAAAAAAGACAAUUGAAAAAGGGGUCCUCACUUUUCAACUCAAUAAAAUACACUAGAAAUUAUUAUCAAGUUUCCAAAUCUAACUCACAAUCAUUAAAAAAAAAUAUAUCAACGCCAUUGGACCCUAGUUUUGGAUCCAUCCCAAUAAAACACACUAGUCAAUGAAAAGUGCUAUAUCAUCAAGAAAAAUCAGUUCACAUAUAUGCAAAUUUUGACUGAAAAAUUACACAAUAUAACAACAUUCAGACAAACCAUUGCCAGCAAGCAUUUUUUAAACAUUGAAUGGAAAGGCAAGUAAAGAAUUGAACAAACCUGAUGUUAGAAAUCGAAUUCGAAAGGGAACAAAGCAGUGAAGUCCUGCAACUCAGGAAAAAAAUUAAAAAAAAAAGGACAUACUAAAUUAAAUGAUUGAGCAAUUUCUAGAUUUAAUAAAAGGACAAAGUAUAAGCUUCUUGAAUUAAAAAAAUAACCAAAGAUAACAGAAAAACAAACAAGAAUUAAAAAAAUAAAUAAUAAAGAUAAACCAUUCAUGAUAGAAAUCCCCCCAAAAAAAGGGCAUAAAUUAUGAACAAAUAAGGGAGAUAACAACAAAACUGACAAUUAAUCUUAUAAUGCCCAACUAAUUUAUUCAAAAUAAAAAAUAAAAAAGCUAAUUGACAAUAAAUCUAAGGAUUCGGUAAUUACAAGGAUGGCUUCUUGAUAACUCUAUGAAAUAAGAAUUAUCAUGGCACUUUUAAACUUAAAUCAAUAAUACUUAGAGAGUAAAUAAUGUGUUUUCAUUGCAUUUUUAUUAUAUUUUGCAUAAACAUUCAUCUUAGUUUAUUCGUAAUAAAUAUUUUUUGAUUUAGAAUAAUUUAUAUGCUAAAUCAUAUGCAUAAUUGUAGGUGUCCAGAAGCUCAAAUUUCAAGAAAAGAAUGCUGAUGCAAUAGGCUUGCAAAAGAUGGAAAAUAACUUAGCUACAAAAGAAUUGAAACAAAUCUGGACAAUGCAGUUGCUGUAGCCGUUGCUGUAGCAAUCCUGGAACAACGACAAAGAAAAUUUUGUUCGGGAUACUUGCAGAAUUGCGAUCUGCAGUUUCCUAACCUGACUUAUGUGCGCCCUAGACUUCCGUUUACCCUAAUUUUCAACUAUAAAAAAAGCACACAUCAUAAGGAAUAGGGGGAGCCGUCACCCAAGGAGAAAAACACAUAGAAACAAAAGAAAAACAAGAUUCAAGAGAGAGAUUAAGGGCUGCACAAGAGGAAAAAUUGCAGAGAUCAAUUGGGAGCUCAAUCUUUCUUAUCCUUUUCUUGUUUUCAUGUUCUCUAUUUAUUCAUGGGGAUGUGUUUCAUGGCCGAAACUUUGUUCUUUAUUUUUCUUUUGCAAAUCAUGAACUAAAUUUAUUUGAAUUGUUGGUUUAUUGACUGAAAAUAUGAGUUGUUGCAUGUUUGUUGUAGCAUUUUGUUUUGAUAGCAUUUAUUUUUAUUCAUUAUUUCGGUUGAUCACCCAUUUAAUGAUACAAGUUAGGAGAGAGCCACAAAAGGGCCUAUCUUAGUGGAACAUAUCAGAGAAAUACUUGGUUUUAGAUUGGGUUUACUGGAUUGAGUUUAAUUUAUCCCAAAAGGGCCAUGCUUAAUCUAAAAUUAGUGAUGAACUAGACAUAGGGAUUCACUUUGUAGGGUAAAUAGAACCUAAGCGUGUAAUGUUAUAUCUUAUGUGGGCAUAACAACUGAUCACUGUUAUGUUGCAUAUAGAUAUAAGAUAUCCUACAUGCGAUGGCUGAGGAUACAUAAGGAUUCUACCCAAUGCUGUAGCAACUGAGCCAACCAUUAGAAAAUAGUCAAGACCAUUAGGAGAGUUUAUUCACUCAACUACUCUAUAUUUCCAUUGGUUUUAUCCUUGAGUUUGACGUGAUAAUUUACUUUGUUGCAUUUAUUUAUUGUGUUUUUAUUUUAAUUAGUAUAUUAAUUUCAUUAAUUAUUUUAUCUUAAUUUAAAACAAAAUCUGCACUGUUAAGAUUGUUGUAGCAAGUAUGAUAACAUCAAUCCCUGUAGAGACGAUCUUGAAUACUCAUCACUUUAUUACUUGUUGUGUACACUUGCACAUUGACACUAAUAGCAUUUGAAUUCAUACCAACACUUCUCCACCGCCAAUUAAACAAUGCAAAGAAAUAGUGACAACGAUGACUUCAACAGUGAACGUGUUGAUGGAAGGCGCAACAAUGAGUAUAUAUGGUGAUUUUGUGCUUAAAAAUUUAUAAUGAAGUGGUUGCUUCAAUAGCAUAUACAAUGAUUUUGGUUUCCAUGCAAUGGAUUUCAAAACCAAUUUUUAUAUUAAAGUAGGGCUUGUUAAUUAUGGAUUUUGAGGGGUUUCAAUGGUGAGGUUUCUCAGCCCUCGCCGAUGGAGUGAUGAAGUCAGAGGAGCUGAAGUGUUUAUUAACACUUAGAAUUUUCUUGUAGUUUAAAGUCUAUAGUAAACAACAACGUUUAGAAGUUAAAUAAAUAUUUUUAUUUUUAAAAUUUUUUAAAUUAUGAAAAAUCAACACGGUGCCGUUUCAUGCCCAAAUUGAUAUAUCCUAAACUCACAGUUUCAUUAAAUAUUAAUAUGCUAUCAUAUUUAUAUGAUAAAUAAAAACUCUAUCACAAAUUUGUCAUGCCUUUAUGAUGUAUGAAAAUUCUGUCAUGUGUCUAUCAUAUUCUUGUGAUAAAUGACCAAUUUUCUAAUAUCUAUCACAAAAAUUCUGUCAUGUUAGCCCAUUAUUCUAGUAGUGAGAUAUUUAUCCAACUGGAUUACAAAGUAAUUGAAAUUAAUUGUAACACCUAUGGCCAAAACUUGGACCCAGUGUUAUUUUAUAAUCAAAAUUGAAACCUAUAGUUACAGUCAGCUUGAAUCUGAAUCAAAUGAGCAAAGGGGGGCAAUUGCCUUCUCUAAGCUCUAACCAUGAAACAAUAAUCAAAUCGUCAGACCUCUAAAAUAAGCCAAUGAAACAUUACUCACAAACCCAUCGAUUAACAUCUUUAAAGCUUUGGCACUGAAACUUAAACGAGCGUUUUGUGUUAAAUAGUAUUGAAAGUAAACACAGCAGCAAACUUAAACGAAAAAGUAUUGUCAUUCAUUGUGUGAAAAAUUAUGCGAAAUUCUGAUAUUUUACGUCGAUCUAUCCAAAUCCAAGCAGGAAAAUGAAUGCUCGAGCAAUAUUCAAAUAUCAAAAGAGCAUAUUUUCAAAAUUAAGUUAGGAAAAAAAAUUUCAGUAUCAAUUAUCAUCAACGGGUUCUUGAUGUUAAGAAUAAGCAUUAACAUGAGCUGCUCAGGUCGGCUGAUGAAUCAGCAAGCUGUUAAGCAAUAUGCUGAGUCAUCAGCCACGUCAGCAGUCAGUUACGGAGGCUGUUGCUUUGCUUAAGAAGCCUCUGGAUAUGUAUAUAUAAACCCCUGUAAUCUCAGUUCAUUUUGUAGCUUAAUGAAAUGAAUUUGGCUCACUAUUCUUCUAUCAAAACUUUUAGUAUUUUCCCUUCACUUUCUAGGCAAACAAACACAGCAACAUCUUUUAACUGUUGAAAUCUUCCAGCUCCGGUGCAAGCCUCAGUCACAAUGUAUUCACUCGAUGGCACAUCUUCACCCAGACUUUUCGGUAAAGUGAAUUAAAGCUUUCAGAAUGAUAGAAAGCAAAUGCAUGAGCCACGAAGAUCUGGAAGAAUGCCAAAGCCAAACCCUAAGUAUACUACUGAGAGCAUGAGUUGACUCCCAUGCAAGCCAUGCAUGAGACAUGCAUAUGCAGAUAUUGUGAAGAUAAGUGCUGGAGCCGUGAGAACAUGAGUUGACUCCCAUGCAAGCCAUGCAUGAGACAUGCAUGUGCAGAUAUUGUGAAGAUAAGUGCUGGAGCCGUGAUCUGGGGAUAACCUUAUCAACGAUUGUGCAACGAUUAAAGGGGAAGCUAAGACACGGAAGUUGUUUUCGAUUAUCUUUCUGUUUCGAAAUAUUAGCUAAGUUGUUAUUUUAAUAUUUGUUUUAUUGAUUUCAGCCGUGAUUGUGGGUUGAAAAUCAAAGUCUUGUUAUUAUAAAUAAGCUCCAGAAUAUGAAUAAAGGCAUUGAGAAUUCAAACUACAAUUAUUUGGUUAUUUCUCACCAUAAGCAGAAAAAUAUCACUAGCAUUAUUCGUAAUCAUUGUCUGCAUCUGACUGGGACCUAACACAGAACGAUACAUAAAACUUUAAAUUGUUCCUGUAACACACAGAAAGUCUUUAGUUCGGUAUCGUAAAUUCAAUUUCUUAUAAUCUCAUUAAUAUACUUUUUGAAUUUUAUUGUGAUCUUCAUUAGGCGUCAAUUUUUAUUUUUCAUUUAAAAGAAAAAGCACUUCCGGAGUCAUUGUAAGAUCUUUUUCUGUGUAAAUAUCUUUUUCUUUUAAUUUAAAAUUAGAUAUAUCAAACUUAUUCAUCGGGGUUUUGUUACAUUUCCUUUUAUUUUCAAUAAUUAAUUUGUUAUCUAAUUGGUCAAUAAAUUUGCUUCUUGUUUGUCCAGUACACUAAUAUAGAUGCUGUUCAUUAGAAGCAGACACAUAGCUGUAAAUUAUUUCUUAGGUUUUGAGAUAGGAAUGACGAAGGACAGAUGCAGGGGCACUGUUUUAAGUCAACCAAAGUUAAAGAUGAUUCGAACUCAUAGUUCUUGCAUAAAAACCUUUGUUAGCUUUACUUUUGUUGUCAAAAUUAUUAUUAUUAUAAUUUUUUUAAUGGUAGAAGUAGAACCUAAUCCCUCACAAUUAUCAAUUAAUACUAUGUUAAUUACCAAACACUAUUAUUUUUUUAUUCAUACCUAGUAGUGAUUUAAAUUUGAAAAGCGACAAAACCAUAAACCAGUUUUUAAUAUAUAAUAAACCAGUUUACAUUUAUUUUUUUAAGGAGAAAUGUAAGGAUCCUUUUAAUAAAAAAAAACCAUCAACAUUAAAAUGAUAGAAUUAGAAACGAAAAUCACAACAACAUUACAAUUGCAUUCAGUUUCUACGUAUCCUCCUCCUCCUUGUUGCCUUUUGCUGCGUUCCCAACUUCUCCAGAAUCCAUCCGAUAAUUCCUGUGCUGAAGUUGAACCCGAGAACCAAUCCUGCCACAAGUCCGCCCGCAUAGCCAAUCAGAAUGAUUUUCCAAUCAGAUGCGCCCGAAAACAGAGACUUCUCCGACCUUUAAGUAUGAUCUUCAAUUGUUGGAGGUUCACCACUCUCACAUUCUUUGGACAAAGGCCUUCCACAAAAUCCUGAGUUGCGGUCCAAAGAAGUGUUGUCAAAUGUAGCAAAUUGCUUUCCUUGUGGUAUAAGCCCUGCAAGGCAAUUGUCCGAGACAUUGAAGAAUGCGAGAAAUGUGAGCUGAACCAGUUGUUGAGGAAUCUGUCCUGAAAACUUGUUAUUUGAGAGAUCCAAUGAUUCCAAAUUUGUUAGAUUGCCCAAACAUGAUGGAAUAUGGCCUUGGAGAUUAUUGUUCUGGAGGUUUAGAACUUGAAGUCCCUUUAAAUUCUCAAUCGAUGCUGAAAUCGCCCCAUCAAAACUAUUGUUUGAGAGAAUAAUGCCCGCGAGGAUAUCUGGAAUCUUGUUAUAUGUCAUCAUUCGCCCUUUGCUGUUCAUUGUCAAUGAUCAGUAGUCAUAAGUGCUAAGUAUAUCAUUGGACAAUUGUCCAUACAGACAAAGCACAUCUUGCAGAUAUCUUAGCUCACUUGCAUUGACAAUUUUCAUGGCAUUCCAACACAGGAAACUCUUUGAUGGAAGCUUUCCAGUAAAUCUGUUGUCAGAUAGGUCAAUAAUGCGGAAUUUAGAAAAUCCACAACCAGUUCUGGGUUCUUCUAUAAUGCCAUAAAAUAUGUUGGAUCGUAGGAUGACGACAUUCAAUUUUGGCAGACUUCCUAACCAAGAGGGAAAAGUGUCACUAAUCUGGUUGUUCCCAAGACCAAGAAAUUCCAACUUUGAACAGUUGAUCAAUGAUCUUGGAAUUCUUCCUUGAAACAGAUUAUGGCUUAAAUCCAUCACGCCUAAUCUACUUUCUUUAGUGAAUGUAUUUGGGAUGGUCCCAGAGAAGUUGUUCCCCUGCAAGUCGAGCACUGAAAGUUCAUUGCUGAAAUUGCCUAAACACUGAGGAAGCAAGCCACUUAAGUUAUUGUGAGACAAAACAAGGCUUUCAAGUAUAUUCAAAUUGCAUAUCCACGAUGGAAUUUCCCCUGUUAAGCUACUGCUAAAAGCUAGAUAGUUAACGGUUCCGGGGGGUGGAACUGGGAGUGGUCCUUGUAAAUUAUUAGAGCUAAGAUCAAAAGUCACCAAAUCACCGUUAUUCCCUGGAAGAAGAAUAGGAUGCUGAUCAAACCCGGUUAACAAGUUAUGCGAAAGGUUCAAGGCAUUUAGAUUAUGCAUAUUGGGGUCUAACAACCAUUUGGGUACUUUUCCCUCAAUUCUAUUGUCAGAAAGGUCCAGGACCACCAUAUCACGUUGGUUUUCCAAGAAAUGUGGAAAUUUAGUAAGAUUGCAUGAACGCAGUCCUAUAUAUUGAAUUUUCUGUGAAGUGGUAUUAGAAGUGGCUUUGGUGAGCAUUGACAACCUAUUUAAUGAGAGACCUAAAACUAACUCUAUCGUUCCUCCAUAAGAAUUUUGAGCCAUGUCAAGGACGACAAGUUCGGUAAGAUUCCGAAGUGAAGAUGUAAUUUGACCUGAAAAAUUACACUCAGACAUAUAUAUUGCUUCCAAUGACCUAAGAUUUCCAAUGGAACCAAGUAAGUUACCUGAAAAAUUAUUAAAUCCAAGAUACAAAAAUUGUAGCCGGGUGAAAUUACCAAUUGAAUGUGGAACUUUGCCCCAAAAACCACAUGACCUCAGAUCUAAUAGCUUCAAAGAACUAAAAUUUCCAGUCGACCAAGGAAACUCACCCAAAAAUUUAUUAAAUGAAAGGUCAAGUUUUUCCAAAGAAAAAAGAUUUCGAAUGGAAGUAGGCAACUCGCCAAAAAAUCCAUUUUGUGAAAGGUCAAGUUCUUUCAAAGAACCAAGAUUUCCUAUGGAAAUAGGCAACUCACCAAAAAAUCUAUUUUGUGAAAGGUCAAGUUCUUACAAAGAACUAAGAUUUCCAAUGGAAAUAGGCCACUCACUCGACAAAAAAUUUGCAGAGAGAUCUAGUUCUUUCAAUGAAUGAAGAUUACCAACAGAAAUAGGCAGCUCACCUUGUAAUUCAUUUAGUGAAAUGUCUAAAUGAAGGAGCUUUGAUAGAUUACCGAUCGAAGAUGGAAUUCUUCCUGAAAUUAGUAAAAAAAAAAAAAGAACACAUUGCUUAAGUGGAAAAUAAAAAAUAAUAAUAAUUUUUACUAAUGAAUUUAACAUUGCAAUUGACAAUUUUCGAGUAAAAUAUAUAUAUUUAACAAUAACAUGCAUGUAUAUUAAUUAAGGAGAAAAUAUAUAAAAUUUAAUUACCUUGCAAUUCACAGUUUUGAAGAGAAACAAACGUCAAAGAAGAUAGAUUUCCGAUGUUAUGAGGUAUCAUUGAAUCAAUAGAAACAUCACCAAGGUCAAGUGUUUUUAGAUUACUUAACUUCUCGACUAAAUUUUCGAAACUGGGCUUCUGGAGUUCAACUCUACUACCAGGAACAUCAUUUAGUGAUAAAUCAAGGGACACCAAGUUGGAGAGCUUUAGAAUUUCUGAAGGUAUUUGACCAGAUAAAGAAGUUCCAGAGAGGUUCAAGUAUGAUAACCUGGAAAGGUUGAUGAUUUCUGGUGGGAUUUCGGAGGAAUUGAAGUCAUUCAAAGCAAGAUUAAGCCACUCGAGAUGGACAAGCUUGGAAAGGCUGCUGCUAGAGUCGAUAGAACCAAAAAGGCAGCUAUGGGAGAGGUCAAGCUUGAUGACAUGACCGGUGUUCUUAUUGCAAUGAACGUCGUCCCAAGAGCAGCAAUCAACGCUACCUUCUUCUGGCUUCCAUGAUGCCAUUGUAGGACGACAGUCAAAUUUCCAAGCAUAAAAAUCACCACUGAUGCGGCUUUCUUUGAAUUGCAACAAAGCAGAAAGCUCAUCAUCAUGGCAGAGUGGCAGCAUAGAAGAAGCAGUGACGUUAGCAAUUGUAAAAUUAAAGAAAAAGAAGGGAAAAACUAACCGUAUGAAUAUUGUGAAUAAACAUAUGGACGAUAAGCCCAUAGUUUUCUCAAAAAUAAAAUUUGUUUAACUUUGUAGAUGUGAAGAAAUUUAAGGAUCUUUAGUUUGGACUCUUUUUUGUUUUUUUAAGUCGACAAAAGUUAGUCUUAAUAAUAUUUAUUUUUUAUUAUUUGAUGUGAUGUCGUAAACUUUUACCAUUCCGUCACCACCGAAAAUACGUUUAUAGCAAACGUGAGGAUUAAUUAAUUAGCACAGGGAAAAAAUGAAAAUGAGUAAAUGAGUAAUACAUUCAUUUUUAUUUUUUGUUUGAAAAAAUGAAAAACAUAAUUCCGAAGUGGUCCUGACCACUUGAAAUUUUUUAAAAAAUGAUAAAUAUUAUUUGGAUAUGAUAUCAACUCAAAAUUCAAACAAAUCUUACAAACAACUGGGGAAAAAUGGUGAAUUCCAUUCCUUAACCGUGGUUUAUUAAAUUUAAAAAAAAAACUAGUGAAAAAAGAUGAUAAUUAAAUUAAUUUUAAUGGAAACAAAGUCACAAUAGUAGAAGUGACAAUUUCGGCACGAUUAGCUAAUUAAUCAGACACAAACACAAGACAAAUUAAUGAAUUUGGAUUUACUAAAAUUGACAUGAUUUUCAACUUUGAUCAAUUAAAAACCUUUCAUUUCGUAUCAUCGGACCCACUAUUAAUCAUCAUAAAUUAUAGUCAACAGACGAUCGAUUUCAGAGACUCAAGACUACUAAUGAUAAGCCUUUGCAUGCUCUGUACAUAUGCCGUGUCAGAAAAUUAUUUCUUACUUUUUAACAUAAGAAUGACGAAAGAGUGAUGUAUUUUUGGACACUGUUCUAAGUCAACUAAAAUUAAAAAUUGGCCAUAUAUCAUUAUAAUGGAUAUCAAGAUAAUUUGAACUCUUAGUUGUUGGAUAAAAAAAUAUUGUUAUCUUUAUUUUUGUUCGCAGAAUGGUUAUUAGUAUAGUUCUUUUAAAGUUCUCAAAAUUUUCAUUUAAAAAAAAAUGUUCCUACAAUAUACCCAAAAAAAAUAAAAAUUGAACCCCAAAAAGAGAAAACUAUUUUUUAAAAUAUAACACAGAUAAUAUCGGUGAGAGUAAUUUAGGUCAAUUCAAAAUCGCUAAUUCGGAGUCAGAUUCAUGUAUUAAUUGUAUCAUAAGUUACCAUCUCUGAGUACGACUAUGGCGUGACAGAGGCUAAUGGAAACUCCAGACUAGUGAGAGUCUAUCGUUACUGAAAAAUGCAUGAAUGGCAUGGAUGCAAAAGUAAUAAAAUUUGGAACUGAUGAUUAAGCCAUUGGCUAACAAAAAUUAACUUCUGAAGAGGCAAGGUCCCUCAAAAAAAAAAAAAAAUUCUUUAAUUUGUUCCAUUGUUUGGUUUGACAAAAUAUAUCAUCUAAAAUUUGGAACUGAUGAUCUAUCGAAGUUGACCUGUGUUUAUAUUUCCUUUCAUUUUCUAUAAUUUGUCAUCUAAUGGGUCAAUGAAUUAAUUUUCUUCUUCUUCUUUUUUAUCCUUUCCGCACUUGAAUUUCCCUUCACGGCAAGUUGAGUAUUCUGCAUACUUUAGGGAAUGUCAUUGUCUUGAUGACUUUUCACUACAACUCUAAAAUUUUCCUCCCCACGGCAUUUGAAUUUUCUUUGUAAACCGCGCACUCGUUGGCUGAGUGAUGACACCUCCUCAACUUAAUUAUUCUCAAGGUCAAGAAUUCGAGUUUUACUCCUUUAGGUUUCUUAGCCGAGCUGCCAAUGCGCCAAUUUGUAAUGAGCUUUACCUGAUGGUCUCUGAGAUGGGCUCUAAUUAGUGCACCUAAAUUCCUCUUAUGUUAGAAACUAAAGUUUCUAAAACUUUUUAACUUGUUUAAAUUAUCCUCCAGCAGUGCCUUGAAUGAGAUCUUCUACUCCAUCAAUGCUUGUAUGUUGUGUUUCAUUUGGGGAUUAGAUUUCCCAGUACGUAGACAGAGAACUCUGACUCUGUUGUCCGAUGUCUCUGCAUUUUCUUGAACUCUCUACUCUGACUCUCAUCGUGUAAUUAAGGAGGAUUAAAGUAAAAGAAAAGGGUAGAACCAGUUCUCCCUAUUUGUUGCACUAGCUAUCAGAUUUCCAUAUUAUACUAAUUAUUGGCCAAAAACAUUUUUUUUAUUUAAAUUGUCAAAAAGACUUGAAUGUUCUCAUCCUAAAAUAAGUUCCAUUAAAACAAUCAUAAUAUUUAUGGAAUGUUUAUAACUAGAAUGAGUGCUCCUACUUAAACUAGUAAAAUCUCUUGAACUAAUUUAAAUGUUCAAUCCUGCUCACAUGAGUGAGGAGAGGGUAUUUGUUUUAAAUUUUAUUGUAUUGAAUUUCGCACUUUCAAUACUUCAACGCAGUUAUUACGAUUUCAUCAAGUUUACGAUGUUAAUGAUCAAACAGUACACUUUCUAAACUAACUAAAAUAGUACCUAGCUAGCUAAUUAGAUAACGGAUUAAUGGAAUGGAUGUGGGUGUCUAGUUUUAGAGUUUGAAAUUUUUUUUUAAAUUAAUCAAAGAAAGCAUAUUUUUAAUUUUGAGUUAUUGUACUAUUAAUUAAUAAUUUAAUUAAAAAAUUUAUUUAUUUGCUAUCAUAAUAGUUGUUGAAAAUGCCUUUAAUAGGGGUUGGUUCAAUAUUUGGUUAGAGUCUGAUUUCAUGCUGGCGAUCCAACUUCUUCUUUUCAUCCCUCUUUGACCAUUUGAAAUGUACUUGCAUUGCAAAUGUCUGUAGUCAAACUUGGGUCUUCAAUGUACUCACAUCCCUUGGUAGGAUUUCUCUCCUUCAAAGAUUAGCGCUCUUUCUUCUCGAGAUGCAAAUGGCUUUUCAAAUUGUCAUUUUUGUUAAUGUAGGUCCUACAUUCAUGGUUUUCUGAAGAUUUUAUAUCAUCUUAGCUUUAUGCAUUUAAAGAGUAAGAUUUUAUAUCACCUUAGCUUUAUGCAUUUAAUGAGGGAUAGGGUUUACUAUAUCCCCUAAUUAAUUGUGUUAAGUCUACUAUUUAUCGAGUUGACAUCUUAUAGCAAGUUUAGUAUUGAAAUUUUAUUUACUAAAUAUCAUGUAAUAGUGAAACGACCCGCCCCAAACCCCAGGGUGAGUCUAUCUAAUCUCAUCAAAACUGGAUUGAUAAUAAUGUAAUUGUUAAAGAUUCUGCCGAAAAUUCAGCAAAGUUUCCUUUAUAAAUAUAGCACUCCCAAUCUGAAAAUAUGUAAAACAAGCACUUCCAAAAUAAUUCAAUUUACAACAAACUCCAAUAAUCAACAUCCUCAACUAAAAUGCUGAGUUUUUCUCAAGACAUCUCCAAAGUCUCAAAGAAUAAUAUUAUAACUAAUAUUAAUAUACCUCAGUUUAUUUUUAAUCCUAAAAAAAUAAUAUAACAAAAUUAUACAAUCCCAAAAGAACGAGAUAACCAUCAUGUCCUAACAAAAAGCAUCUAUAUCUUCUAACACCAUCACGUGGCCAAGACUCAAAAUAUAUUUACAGUCGUUAGGUCGGUCUAGUGUACUUGCAACCUCCUGGUGGGGGGGGGGAAUAUAAUAAAAACGGGAUGAAUAUAAAACUCAGUGAGUGGAUAGUAAUUUUUGAAAAUUAAUUCUUAUUUUAAAAGAAAUAAUCAUGUCAUUUCCAAACACAAUUUUAUUAAACCAUAUGUGAGAAACCAGUAAUAAAUCAUUUAACAUUUAAAUCGGAUUACUAACCAUGAAAAGCAUAUACAAUAUCGUACCUAAUAACCAUGGAAAUCAUAUCACGAUAUUAUAUAGAAUACACAGAUCUGAAAAAUCAUCACCAAACAAGUACCCAGGGGAAUAAUCUCGUCGUAUUUAGACCUCAAUGGACAGGCAAUGACGUACUAUCUAGGUACCGUCACCCCCCAGAGCUACACGGAUAGACAAGGAAAUACCAUCUCAUAUCUCAUCAUAUCAUCUCAUCAUAUUUGUGCAUGCAUAAUCUAGUCCCCAAAGGACAAAAGCACCCAAGCACACGGCCCAAAGUCUCUAUGUGUACUCAGACGAGCCCCAAAGGCCUGUAUCUCAUCUGUGUCAUAUGUAUCUCAAUAUCUGUCUGUAUCUCAUAUCUAUAUCUCUGUAACCAUCAUACCGCAUGCAUAUCCCCCCAAAAGGCAAAAGCGCCCAAAUACACGGCCCAAAGCCUCUAUGUGUGUUCAGACGGGCCCCAAAGGCCUCUCAUCUCAUCUGUAUCACUGUAUCUGGAGGGAAGGGUAUUGUCCAAUGAUUUUAAAAGCAAUCUCUAUACUCAUAUUCAUAUACAUUAUAAUCAUAUCUUUCUUUUCAUUAUCACAUCUAAAUCCACUUUUCUCAUCUUUAAGAUACUCUCAUAUUUUAUUCAAGUCUGUACGGAAAACCAUUAACCAAACAUUUUAAUAUAAUGUUAAUGCGUGAAUAAAAUCUAUUUCGAGAAAAUCAUUAAAUCAGAAUAUUUAAAAUACUUAUUUCGCAAACAUGCUUUACUAUCAUAAUUAACUAUGAAAAUAGGUUUUGUAUAUUCCAUUCAUAGUGACGGUGUUCACGUCCGGUUAUCGUCCACGUUCGCAGACUGCUUAUUGCUUGCGGAUCCUCCUAAAUCAAGGAAACGACAUAAUUAUUUUUCAUAAAUUGGAAUUACGACUAAAUUUAUACAAUAAACUUGAAACGAACAUCUAUCCAUAAUUUACAACUCCCGUGUCGAUAGAGUUACCAAAAUACCCUUGAAUCCGUAAAUCAUUAAAUACUCUGAAAUCGUAAAUCACCGAAUUACCCUUAGAAUCAUAAUUACACUCAAUCCUCAAUUUUAGGAAUUACUAAAAUAUCCACAGGCUCAUGAAUUACAAAAUCAAUGAAAUGACAUAAUUAUUUUCCAUAAAUCGGAAUUAUGACUAAAUUUAUACAGUAAACUCGAAACAAACAUCUAUCCAUAAUUUACAACUCCCGUGUCGAUAGAAUUACCAAAAUACCCUCGAAUAUGUAAAUCAUGAAAAUACUCUGAAAUCGUAAAUCACUGAAUUACCCUCAAAAUUGUAAUUACACUCAAUCCUCAAUUUUAGGAAUUACUAAAACAUCCACAGGCUCAGGAAUUACAAAAUCACCCUCAAAAUGUGAAAUUACUGAAUUGCCCUUGCCGGUCAAUGGUGGCCGAAAUUCAAGCAACAGUGACCGGAAAGCUCAGGUUAGACACUUCUCGCUGAGCUAAGUUCAAUGAUACUGGCGGUGUGCUCCCACGCUUGGCGACGACACCGGAAUCUAGCUCGACAGCCCUGUAACUACAACGGCUGAACCACAGCAAAUCGACAGCUCUCGGUGGCUGUGGAUGGUCGGAAAAUCAAAAGGGAGUUGUGGGGAACAAAAUCCAGCCAGUGGUGUCACCCAAAACCGCCGAAAAUCUCGACAGAGCAAAGUGGAAAAGUCGCGGGUUUUUCAAGCUUUGGUCGCCGAUGUUCUGGUUGUUUUUCGAUAACGUGGACGGCUGGGGUAUGAUGGCCAGACUUCAAGCCUCAGAUUGGUACCAAGCUUGACCGGUGGAGUGGCCGAAAUCGUAAGAUAUGGCCGAGUCAAUUUCGGGUCAAACAGGUCGGGUUUUUGGGUCGGUUUUGACAGCUUCUCUCUCACUCUCUCACACGUGUAUUUGUUACCCCAUUUCCAGCUUCUUCAUUUACUUUUUAACCGCCUCACCUCUUUUUUUUCACAUAUGUUACAAUCCUCCCCACUUAUAAAAAUUUUGUCCUCGAAAUUUACGUACCUAAUAAGAAAAGAUAAGGAUACUGAGCUCGCAUUAAGUCUUCGCAUUCCUAUGUAGCCUUUUCCUUUGUAUGAUUCCUCCAUCGUACUUUUCCUAGAGGAAUGGUCUUAGAACGCAGAACUUGGUGUUUCUCUUCUAGUAUCUCCACUAGUUCCUUUUCGUAAGUCUAAUCUUCCUUCAACUGAAUUGGUUGCUUCGAUAACACAUGGUUCGGAUCAUAUAUGUACUUUCGGAACAUUGAGACAUGAAACACAUCGUGGACUCUGGAUAACUCUGGUGGUAGAGCUAAUCGAUAAGCUAACAGACCGAUGAGCUCAAUGAUCUCAUAAGGCUGAAUGUAACGUGGUCUUAGCAUCCCACGUUUCCUAAAUCAAAGCACCCCUUUCCAAGGAGAUAUUCGUAUGAAAACUCUAUGACCAACUUCAAAUUCAAGUUCCUGCCUACGCUUGUCUGCAUAACUCUUCUAUCUAUCUUGGGCCACUUUUAAUCUAUCCUGGAUCAAUUGUAUCUUGUCGUCAACUUGGUGCCUACAGCAUUUUGCAAGCUGGUCCAGAACUUAGAAGUAAACCGGGAAUCUCUAUCUGAGACUAUGGACACGGGUACUCCAUGAAGUCGAACUAUCUCAGCCAUAUAAAUACUCCCUAACUUGUCCAUCGAAUAGGUGGUUUUGAAUGGUAAAAAGUGAGCAGAUUUUGUAAGUUGAUCAACAACCACCAAAAUACUAUCAUGUCCUUUCUGAGUACGUGGAAGUCCCGCUAUAAAAUCCAUAGUGAUGUGCUCCCAACUUCCACUCAGGAAUAGAAAGCGACUGAGAACACCUUGUAGGCCUUUGGUGUUCAGCUUUAAUCUGCUGACAGACUAAACAUCGAGAAAUAAAUUCUGCUAUCUCUCUCUUCGUGCCCUUCCACCAACAAUGAUCCCUCAGGGUGUUGUACAUCUUCGCCCUACCAUGAUGCAUCGCAUAAGCCGAACAGUGAGCUUAUUCCAUAAUCUCUUCUUUUAGAUCCUUAAUAUCAGGUACACAGAGUCUAUUACCCAUGACUAAGACUCUGUCGUCUCUUACCGUAAAAUCGGUUCGUAAACAUUUUUGCACAUCCUCUUUCAACUUCAUUAAUUGUGGGUCCUGAGCUUGCAUUUGGUGAACUUUGUCAAUCAAAGUCGGCCUAACUCGAAAGUUAGCUAUUAAAGCUCCACAAUUGUCAGCGUUCAACUUGACUUCCAAAGAUCUCAACUCGAUCAACAGAGGCAUAUAUGUCAUUCGUAAGUGAGCUAUAAAGCUGGAAGACUUUUUACUUAGUGCAUCAUGUACCACAUUCGCUUUGCCCGGAUGAUAAUCAAUAGUGCAAUCGUAGUCCUUAAUUAGCUCGAUCCAUCUCCUCUAUCUCAAAUUUAGCUUUUUCUAAGUAAAUAAAUACUUGAGACUCUCAUGAUGGGUGAAAAUCUAACACGUUGCCCCAUAUAGGUUAUGCCUCCAUGUCUUGAGUGCCAAUACCACUGCUGCUAGCUCUAGGUCAUGUGUUGGGUAGUUUUGCUCAUGCUUCUUAAGUUGUCUAGAACCAUAAGCCACCACUUUAUCAUGUUGUAUUAACACACAACUCAAUCCUUGCCUAGAGGCAUCGUUGUAUACCACAAAUCCUUCAUUACCAAAUGGAAGUGUAAGAACUUGUGCUGAGGUCAAACGUAUCUUAAGUUCUUGAAAACUCUUUUCACAAUCAUCAUCCCAUUAAAACUUAGCAUUCUUUUUGGUUAACCGUGUUAGAGGAGUAGCAAUCUUAGAGAAUCCCUCCACAAAUCUACGAUAGUAGCCAGCCAACCCCAGGAAACUUCUAACCUCUGUGACAUUUGUAGGCCAUUCCUAUUUCACAACAGCUUCAAUCUUUUGAGGAUCAACAUAAUGCCUUCAGCUGAUAUCACAUGGCCUAAAAAUACUACUCUGUCCAACCAGAACUCGUACUUGCUGAACUUGGCAUACAACUGCUUUUGUCUCAAAGUCUGUAAAACAGUCUGCAAAUGCUCUGCGUGCACCUCCUCACUUCGAGAAUACACCAAGAUAUCAUCAAUGAAUACAAUCACAAACCGAUCCAGGUACGGGCGAAAUACCUUAUUCAUAAGGUCCAUAAAAGCUGCUAGAGCAUUUGUCAACCCAAAUAGCAUCACCAAGAAUUCAUUUGUCCAUAAUAGGUUCUAAAUGUUGUUUUAGGAACAUUGGCCUCUUUAAUUCUAAGCUAAUGGUACCUCGGGCACAAAUCGAUCUUAGAAAAUACUUUCGCCCCCUGAAGUUGAUCAAACAAGUCAUCAAUACACGGAAGUGGAUACUUAUUGUGUACCGUAACUUUUUUCAACUGUCUGUAGUCGAUGCAAAGUCUAAAAGUCCCAUUUUUUUUCUUAACAAACAAGACUGGAGCUCCCCGCGGGGACACACUAGGUCUAUUAAACCCUUUAUCUACCAACUCUUGCAAUUGAAACUUCAGUUCCUUCAACUCUGCUAGAGCCAUCCUGUAUAGUGCCAUAGAUAUAGGAGAUGUUCCAGGGACUAAGUCAAUAGAAAACUCAUCUUCCCUGUUAGAUGGCAUCUUAGGAAAUUCAUCUGGAUGGCCUACUACUAGAGCCACCCUCUGCCCAGCUCUGGCUAUGCUUCUGCUUCAGUGCACAAACUUUGCAUCCCUCUGAAAUAUUGUGCUCUACUCUCCUGGCUGCCUCAACUACCUCUCCAAACUCAGUGUAUCGUAAUGCAGUCACGGUGGUACGAAUCUCAAAUCGGAGGCUUUCCUCAAACCAUUUGCAUCUCUCUUUCUCAUCACCGACUACAGAUGUAGCAAAUCUAAAGAGGUCUAAAAAUUUCUUCUCAUACUCCUCAACUGUCAGGGAUCCCUGAACUACCAGAAGGGAUUCACUCCGUUUAAUAUCCUAAUACACAGCUGGAAAAUAAUGAUUGUAGAAUUCCUUAUGGAAAAUGCUCCAAGUAAUCGCAGCAUGCCCCUGAUAUCAUCUUUCCACUGUCUGCCACCAAUGGUAAGCUCUAUCCUCGAGCAAGAAAGUGGCAAAGGAUAAUCUGUCAUCCUCUGAACACUUCAUCAUGUCAAAAGUACGCUCUGACUUAACAAACUAUGACUCAGCCUCAAGUGGUUCUUCGGAAACAUUUAAGUUUCUCACUCGCUCAAUAAUGAUUGCAUUGCCAGCAUGCUCUUGAGUCUGAUUCUGCACAACUGUAGUCAUGAUCUGAGCUAGCCUAUCAAAUGACUGCUCAAUAUUUGGGGCAAUCCCUGGCGCCUAUUGUGCAAUUUCAUAUGUGGAGGAUUCAACUACCCCUCUUUCACAAGUUCACUUUCCCCCAUAGGUACCCCACUAGAAGACAACCCAACUACUGGCCUAGUACGGCCACGACUACGUCUACUGCUACGACAAAGCAUGAUGGUGCCUACAAGAUAUAAAUUCUAACUUUAAUAAAAAAAAUAAAACUUAUUCUUACUAAGGUAGUAAAGUCUGCAAAAUCUAAAACCAUGCUCUAAUACCAACUUAAACAACCAGCCCCAAACCCCAGGGUGAGUCUAUCUAAUAAUAAUCUAAUUGGUAAAGAUUCUGCCGAAAAUUCGAUAGAGUUUCCUUUAUAAAUAUAACACUCCCAAUCUGAAAAAAUGUAAAACAAGCACUUCCAAAAUAAUUCAAUUUACAACAAACUCCAAUAAUCAACAUCCUCAACCAAAAUACUAAGUUUUUCCCAAGAUAACUCUAGAAUCUCAAAGGAUAAUAUUAUAACUAAUAUUAAUAUACCUCAAUUUAUUCUUAAUCCCAAAAGAAUAAUAUAACAAAAUUAUACAAGCCCAAAAGAACGAGAUAACCACGAUGUCCUAACAAAAAGCAUCUAUUUCUUCUAAUACCAACACGUAGCAAAGACUCAAAAUGCAUUUACAGUCGCUGGGUUGGUCUGGUGUAUCUGCAACCUCCUGGUGGGGGGAAAAUAUAAUAAAAACGGAAUGAGUAUAAGCCUUAGUGAGCUCAAUGAGUGGAUAGUAAUUUUUGAAAAUUAAUUCCUACUUUAAAAGAAAUAAUCAUAUCAUUUCCAAAUACGAUUUUAUCAAACCAUAUGCGAGAAACCAGUAAUAAGUCAUUUAACAUUUAAAUCAGAUUGCUAACCGUGAAAAGCAUAAAUAAUAUCGUACUUAAUAACCAUGGAAAUCAUAUCACGAUAUUAUAUAGAAUAUACAGAUCUGAAAAUCAUUACCAAACAAUUAUCCAGGGGAAUAAACUCGUCGUAUCCAAACCUCAACGGACGGGCAAUGACUUACUAUCUAGGUACCGUCACGCCCCAUAGCUACACGGAUAGACAAGGAAAUACAAUCUCAUAUCUCAUCAUAUUUGUGCAUGCAUAAUCUAGUCCCUAAAGGACAAAAGCGCCCAAGCACAAGGCCCAAAGCUUCUAUGUGUACUCAGACGAGCCCCAAAGGCCUGUAUCUCAUCUGUAUCAUCUGUAUCUCAAUAUCUGUCUGUAUCUCAUAUUUGUAUGUCUGCAACCAUCAUACCCCAUGUAUAUGCCCCCAAAAUGCUAAAGCGCCCAAACACACGGUCCAAAGCCUCUAUGUGUGUUCAGACGGGCCCCAAAGGCCUCUCAUCUCAUUUGUAUCAUUGUAUGUGGAGAGAAGGGUACUGUCCAAUGAUUUUAAAAACAAUCUCUAUACUCAUAUUCAUAUACAUUCUAAUCAUAUCUUUCUUUUCAUUAUCACGUCUAAAUCCACUUUUCUCAUCUUUAAGAUACUAUCAUAUUUUAUUCAAGUCCAUACGGAAAACCAUUAACCAAACAUUUUAAUAUAAUAUCAAUGCAUGAAUAAAAUCCAUUUCGAGAAAAUCAUUAAAUCAGAAUAUUUAAAAUAUUUAUUUCGCAAACAUACUUUACUAUCAUAAUUAACCAUGAAAAUAGGUUUUGUAUAUUCCACUCACAGUGACGGUGUUCACGCUCGGUUAUCGUCCACGUCCGCGGACUGAUUAUCGCUUGCAGAUCCUCCUAAAUCAAGGAAACGACAUAAUUAUUUUCCAUAAAUUGGAAUUACGACUAAAUUUAUACAAUAAACUCAAAAACGAACAUCUAUCCAUAAUUUCGGGUCAAACGGGUCGGGUUUUUGGCUCGGUUUUUACAGCUUCUCUCUCACUCUCUCACACGUGUAUAUGUUACCCCAUUUCCAGCUUCUUCAUUUACUUUUAUUUACUUUUUAACUGCCUCACCCCUUUUUUUCACAUAUGUUACAAAUAGGGUUUAAUUUAUUCAAUUCCUAGCUAAUUUAGUUAAAUUCCAAUUUAUUAGGAAUAUCGUUUCCUGGUUUUAACUAGAUGUCUAAUUUAGCAAGUCAAUUAGUGACAUGAUUUUUAUAAAUGGUGCGUGGGAUUUAUUUAGAGGAAGAAGUUAGUUCAAACAAAAAGUUUAUUAAAUGCUCUAGAUAUUUCUUAGGAGAUAAGUAAGGUAAGCAUAUCAUUUUUAUUCCUAUUCAGAUUUAUAGGAAUUAUAAGAGGAAAAAAAUUCUUAUUUGGAAAGAAUCCUAGGCUUUUAACGACAGUCUUAAUAAAUUUUUUCACAUCAGCCUCAUACUCAUCAAACAAUAUAUCAUAUUUAAUCCAAGAUUUAUCCAUUUUUGUUUAGUACCUGACAUAUAAUUGAGACAAAUUUCAACAUAAUGUACUAAUGGGCAGCAAUGAUAAAUAGUUUCCAUUAUCAAUAAAUUAAGCAACAAAACAUUAUUAAUAUUCAGUUUAUAAAUUUAAUGAAAUAAAUAAAUUUAAAAAUAAAAACUUGUCAUCAUGUGCAACAAACAUAACUUCACCAACGUGCUGUCAUCAUUUACCAAAACCCACUAAUAAUAUCCUAAAUAAUUUAGCCCACAUACAUUUAACAUUUAUUUAAAAGAAAUUUUAACAAUCCGGUAUUUCAUGGACCGCAACACUAUAUAUAUAUAUAUAUAUAUAUAAAUACAAACGCAACUAUACAUUCCUUGGUCCACAUGACCAAACUUACCAUUUCUUUCAAACAUAAAAAAAAAUUGAAAACGGGGGCCUCACUUUUCAACUCAAUAAAAUACACUAGAAAGUAUUGAAAAAGGGGGCCUCACUAUUCAAGCGUCACCAUUAGCUUGGAUGUAUGUAAAGAUGAUUUGAACCCAUAGUUGUUGCAUAAAAACCUUUGUUAUCUUUACUUUUGUUGUCAAAAUUAUUAUUGUAAUUUUUUUAAUGGUAGAAGUAGAACCUAAUCCCUCACAAUUAUCAUUUAAUAAUAUGUUAAUUACCAAACACUAUUAUUUUUUUAUUCAUACCUAGUAGUGAUUUAAAUUUGAAAAGCGACAAAACCAGAAACCAAUUUUUAAUAUAUAAUAAACCAAUUAUUAUUAUUUUUUUUUACGGUGAAAUGUAAGGAUCCAUUUAAAAAAAAAAAACACCAACAUUACAAUGACUGAAUUAGAAACGAAAAUCACAGCAACAUUAUAAUUGCAUUCAGUCUCUACGUCUCCUCCUCCUCCUUGUUGCCUUUUGCUGCGUUCCCAACUUCUCCAGAAUCCAUCCGAUAAUUCCUGUGCUGAAGUUGAACCCGAGAACCAAUCCUGCCACAAGUCCGCCCGCAUAGCCAGUCAGAAUGAUUUUCCAAUCAGAUGCGCCUGAAAACAGGGACUCCUCCGAGCCUUCAGUAUGAUCUUCAUUUGUUGCAGCUUCACCACUCUCACAUCCUUUGGACAAUGGCUUUCCACACAAUCCUGAGUUGCCGUCGAAAGAAGUAUUGUCAAAUGUAGCAAAUUGCUUUCCUUGUGGUAUAGGCCCUGUAAGGUAAUUGUCUGAGACAUUGAAGAAUUCGAGAAAUGUGAGCUCAACCAAUUGUUGAGGAAUCCGUCCUGAAAACUUGUUAUUUGAGAGAUCCAGUGAUUCCAAAUUUGUUAGAUUGCCCAAACAUGACAGAAUAAGGCCUUGGAGAUUAUUGUGCUGGAGGUUUAGAACUUGAAGUCCCUUUAAAUUUGCAAUCGAUGCUGGAAUCGCCCCAACAAAUCUAUUAUUUGAGAGAAUAAUGCCCGCAAGGAUAUCCGGAAUCUUUUUAUAUGUCAUCAUUCGCCCUUUGCUGCUCAUUGUCAUUGAGUAGUCAUAAGUGCUAAGUACAUUAUUGGUCACUUGUCCAUACGAAGAAAGCACAUCUUGCAGAUAUCUUAGCUCACUUGUAUUGACAAUUUUCAUGGCAUUCCAACACAGGAAACUCUUUGAUGGAAGCUUUCCAGUAAAUCUGUUGUUAGAUAGGUCAAUAAUGCGGAGUUUAGAAAAUCCACAACCAGUUCUGGGUUCUUCUAUAACACCAUAAAAUAUGUUGGAUCGUAGGAUGAGAACAUUCAAUU